UAGAAGCAGCAGCAUCGGCAUUGCGCCGUGAACUGUAGAUGCAACCAGGCAACCAGUGGGGUUGUAAAUCUUCUGUGAUUUGCCGUGUGAAAUGUGAUGCCCUCUGGGACUUGUAUUUUUUCUGUAAUAUCGUCCAGUUUGUGCUUCUUGGUGUUGCUAGCCUGGUGCCCUGGUUGGAUUCAGGGCAUGAACAAUGGUUGGAUUCAGGAAAUAAAGACAGUAAUGGCUUCUUGACAUGAUAAAUUCAGGUACUGAAUAAAGUCGUGGUCCUGCUACUCUUGGCGAUGCUUUGCUGCUUUGAGAUUGCUCUUCUUUUGAUGCACGAUAUAUUCCUUUUCUUUCAGUCUCUUAACUUUUUUAUCUUUUGAUGAGAGGUUCUGUUAACUCCCUUUUCUUUCAGUUUUUUAACUUUUUUUUUGACAAACUGUUUCUUAACUCUUUUCUUUUGAGAGGUUCUGUUAACUCUUUCCGGCCAUUAAGAGAACACAGUUUCUGCUAAAACAGCUCUUUUGAGAAAUAUUCUGUUAACACAGUUUUGUAGUGGCGGCUACGCGAGCGCCGCCUGAUGGGAAAGGAUAGUGGGCCGGCCACUGUGCAGCUCAUUAAUAAUUAUUUCUGUUAAAAGAUAAAAAAUAAAAAAUAAAAAUUUUGCAGUGGAGAAUUUUCUAUAUGUAAAUUAAAAAUGGUUCCUAGAAAUUUCCAUUCAUGUUCCUAGAAAUAAAUGUUCUUAUAUGCAAAAAAAGGUUCAUACCAAUUAAAAAUGGUUCACCAUGAAUGGAAAAAAAAUUAUGCACAUAUCUUUUGAAAAGUUCGUGUAUGUCAGAAAAAUGGUUCAUGUGUGAAUAUAUUGUUCAUGAAUUGUUUAAAAAUAUAUUCACAUAUGCCCCUCCAGAUUCUAGAAAUACAAAAUAUGAAGAAGAAAAGAAAUAGAAAACCGAAAUAUUNNNNNNNNNNNNNNNNNNNNNNNNNNNNNNNNNNNNNNNNNNNNNNNNNNNNNNNNNNNNNNNNNNNNNNNNNNNNNNNNNNNNNNNNNNNNNNNNNNNNNNNNNNNNNNNNNNNNNNNNNNNNNNNNNNNNNNNNNNNNNNNNNNNNNNNNNNNNNNNNNNNNNNNNNNNNNNNNNNNNNNNNNNNNNNNNNNNNNNNNNNNNNNNNNNNNNNNNNNNNNNNNNNNNNNNNNNNNNNNNNNNNNNNNNNNNNNNNNNNNNNNNNNNNNNNNNNNNNNNNNNNNNNNNNNNNNNNNNNNNNNNNNNNNNNNNNNNNNNNNNNNNNNNNNNNAAACUGAGAAAUGUGAGUAGUAUACAAGAAUUAUUUCAAAACUUGUAAUAUGUCAAAAUAUUAUUUCCAAAAUUUGAAAAUGUUAUGCGCGUAUUGCUCAGGUAACCUUGCUUGUUGUUUUUCUUUUCUUUUCUGCUAAUGCCGAAAACACAGCAAUUGAGCCAUAUGGGAAUGAAUAUAUCUUGGUGGAAUAACAUAUGCUUCGCCAUUUCUCGGAAGCUAACAAUUAUUCCUUUCUGUUGCUUUUUUGCCCCUUUUGGAAUGACUUACGAAAUACAGAUGUCUUAACAGGAUAGAUACUACAGGACGGGGAGGAGAUGCCGGUUCCUUGUUGGUGUCACCUUGUUUCCGUUCCUUGCUCAAAAUGUUUUUUCCAAUGUCAUAACAGUGAUUAAUUGAGUCGUGAAUGACUCCCUACUGCACAAAAUGCUGCAUCCAUCAUGUGCAUUGCCUAAACCUGAUAGCAAUCAGUUACACUCGAGUUCUAAAACCCUCCCGAAGGUCCCAAGCAGACAGACAGUUCUAGCAUAAAAAAUUCUCCUCUACGUGCUUUAAGCUAAGGACACAUAAGAUAAAUAUAAACUGCCACACCAUUUUCGGAUCUGAGUGGGUGUUCAAAUUAGGCGGCGGCAGCAACCAUAGCAGUGCGAGCAGUCGUGAAAGUCGAGAUCAAUGCUCCAAGCUGCAGUUUGUCAUUGCAGGCGAAGGUUAGUCGAUACCUGCACAGAAAUGAUGUCAAUAACGUUGCUGACUGUUUGAAGAGGCACUGCCAAAAGAAUUAUCUGACUUUUGGUCCCAGUACUUCGGGAAUAUAACAAUUCAACAAGUCAAAAGAAAAAUAUAAUCUUAGCUCAUUCCUGGGGAAUAUUUCCGAUGAUCAUUUUAGAUCAUACUGUAUAAGGAAUCCAGUACAGUACAAACCCAAACAUUCCAGAUAAGCAAAAGGUUUCCUAGGCAUAAUUGCUUCGUUGAAACUACCACAUUUUUCACUUUCUGAAAAUCAACAUGUUGGACGUGUAGAGAACACACAUGCCAAGUUAACCAAAUACAAAUUAUGCUUUGGAGUGUGGCACUGUUUCGGCAACAUGAUUUGUGUCGCUUGUUGCUUUGCUUAGAGUUGACUAAAGUCUAAAGCCUAAAGGAAUGACCAUGCUCACCAAGCCAGCCUGGCCAUACCAUUACAGUUACUAAGCUAUGGUAAGUACUUCUUGUGUGAACUAAAAUGACUACCGGAAUAACACAAUAAGCAUAAACCAUAUCAUCAGAACAAGUCAGGUAAUUUAACUUGUGAGAGGUGAGCACACAGUGUUACUAUUACAGUUAGGUGUCGUGAUGUGAGCAGAAUCAUCGGCAAAAUAUAUCUAAUCGAUGACAACUUUGGAUAAAAUUGAACUUUAAAAGUAUAGACACGACAUACUCGAUAUCUGCCAAAUCAUUAAUCAACUUUACUCGUACAUUGGAUGGCAUAUUAAUUUUGAACACAAACCUGCAAAAAAUUAAUUGAAAUAAUUAAAAGGAAGCUUAGUAGGAUUUGGAGAAUAAGGAAGCUUAGAAGGAACGAAAGGGAGAGGGAGCACUUACAUAGUGACCUCCCGUAUGAUAUCAAUCAAGGCCAGACCUUUUCUCAUCUUUGUAUCAGAUAUAUCUGAAAAAGAUAUGGAUACAGAUUGCACAUUAAGCACACAUUUAGAUCAUGAAUUGUGAAAGAUGGUAAUGGUAAUUAGGAGUACAUUUGAAGCUGGUUGAAAAUGGUUCAUUUAGUAACCAACUCGCUAUCUGCUCAAUAUCUUUAGGCAUGGGAUUUCCCGUGCAAAGGUAAACAGCUUCUUCUGUUAUUUGUGAGGAUGCCAUGUGUGUUGACUGCAUACAAAAGGCAAUGCAUGUCAGUAUAAAGCAAAGGUACAUCAGGUCAUGGAACAAAACAAUGGAUAAGAAUAUAGCAGCUUUGAAAUAUUAAAAAAACUUGAGAUUAUUCAGACGUAACCUGCAAUAUAUUCAAAGCCUUCCUCAUGUCACCGUUACUUAACCGCACAAGGGCUGUCAAGCCACCCUUAUCGACAUCAAGUCUGCAAGAACAAGCAUAAACCUAGUGUUGCCAUACUCAAAUAUAUAGAAAAAUAAAAAUAAAAAUUACUGACUUCUAAAGUCCCAACAGAGUACUGAAGUUAAGGAUAGAAAACUGAGGAACCUGACAAAAGGUCCAGAUUCCAAACAUAAUCUUACAACAAAAGGGUAAGUUCUUACCCCUCAGAUUUUAUUACAUGUUGAAGACGCUCACUAACAUUAGUGCCAUCAAGUGGAGCAAAUCUAAACCUAGUGCACCUUGAUUGUAGUGCUGGAAUUAUUUUGUUCACAUGGUUGCAUAUCAGUGCAAACCUUGUGCUCCUUGUAUACUUCUCAAUGACUGCAAGUCGGAUCAAUGUAAAUAUUUAAUGAAAAUAAUAAUAUCAUCUGGGUAAAAAAAAGGACGAAAGAAUAGAAAAACCUCUUCGCAAUGCAAAUUGUGCAUCCUUGGUCAUGGCAUCGGCUUCAUCCAAAAGGACCAACUUAACAGCAGGCUUUGCUCUACAGUUAACAGCAUUGUGAAGAAGUGAAGAACAAUACUAUAAUUGCUUAAUACUGCAAUAAAUCUUCUUUCUUCAACAGUUCAUUCAACCAUACUAGCAACCCAAUGCAGUUAAGGAAUCAAGUGUGGGUAUCAAUAGACGCAUGCAAGUAAGCAACUCUAGCACAGGUAUUUAAUUCAUAUUGUAAUUGCAUACUUACAAGAUACUUACAACCAUACAACCUCAUGUUAAUACGCAUGCAAGUAAGCAACUCUAGCACAGGUAUUUAAUUCAUAUUGUAAUUGCAUACUUACAACCAUACGACCCCAUGUUAAAACUAAGGGAUCCUUUUCUUAGCAAGCUACUGAAGUUCCACAUUAGAACAAUGAUAGGGCCAAUGGAAAUCAUCUAUUAAGCCAAGCACAAUACAAGGAACACCAGCCACCCACAUGCAUCCACACAAAAAAAAGGUAAGAAUAUUCACAAUUUUUUGCAACGAAAAAUAGCACUUAGUGUAUACCCAAAAGAGAGGCUGUGUGCACUAGCAAAGUCCUGUAUCUGCUGCCUUACAACACCAAUCCCACGUUCAUCUGAUGCAUUGAGCUCAAGAAUCAUGUUGCCAUACUGUGAGCCAUAUAUCUUCCUCGCGACAGCGAGUAUUGUUGAUGUUUUCCCAGUGCCAGGUGGACCAUAGAGCAACAAAUGUGGAAGCCUAUUCUCAUCUGUAAGCCUAUCAACUACAAUAAAUAAAAUGAUAUAAACUUAUUAGAUUACCUCACAGAUUCAAAGUGCGGAAACAGAAUCAUGCAUUAAAGGUUUUUUUUUUGGCCAAGCUAGUACUAGGUAAUAAUAAAAUGUGUGACAGCUUACAGAGAGCUUGAUUUUGGGGCGAAAAACCCCAAUCUGACAACAGAUACAUACAAAAUCACUCGGGAAAACCACUCUUCACCCCCAAAUCACAGGUCACAUUAGCAGUGCGCCAUUGUGAUAGUGUCUAACCUAACCUCUAAAGCAUCAAAUAAAUCUCAAACAGCACACUGCUAUAUUAGAGAAGUCCAAAAUCCUAACCAUAUGAAACUGUUGGAAUUUUGCUAGUAGGCCUUUGGCCCAAAGCCCAACUAAAAUUCUGAAAUUCUCUUGGCCCAUUCAUGCACACAUGUGAGUGGAGUGAGUGAGGCUAAAGUUUAGUCUCACCUUGGAAGUUGAGAGAGAGUUGCACCUCCUUAUAAGGUGAGCUCUUCUACCACUUGUAUGAGCAUGAGAAGAGGAGACCUACACGCGCGCUCCUCCUCCUCGCUCGCCUCGCCACGCCUCGCCUCGCGAGCUCGCUCGCCUCGCCUCGCCACGCCACGCCUCGUCACGACGCGCCGCAGGUUGCGGGAUGAGCCGAGCCGGGGACAGAGAUAUGCACGUUGUCUAUAUUUUUGCUGCAUGGGAAAAUUAAUGAGUCAUUAAUUAAUAAUUAACGGACGCGUUAAUUACUGAACCGUUUCCGAUUCUUUUGGAUCGUGACGACUCGGACGUGGGUUUACUCCCACGACCUACCCGGCCCGCAAUAUAUAGUCAGGCAGACGUCUACCCUAGCCACCGCUUCGUAUGGUUUCCCAUCACCGUUCCAGAUCAUUGCGCCGCCAAGCUAGUCUUCUCCAUCCCUCCUUCCGGCGUGCACCGCGAGAAGGGACAGCAGGCCUCCGGAACCCCGCCUCUCGUGAUCCUGUACGGGAGAGGGGCGAUCAGGUUUUUGGGGAGCGCACUCGCGCGACUGCUGGCAGCGAUGACUUCGCGAACGACGACUUCUUCCCCGACCUCGGCAACCUCAUCCUCGACGACAUGGGCGACAACAUCAACGCCGGUGGUGCUGCACCCGCUGCACCGUAUGUGAUUCUAUCCUUCCUGUUCGAGAUCGUGAUAGAAUUCAUGUUUCUAGUAUGUGCCCUAGAUGUGAUAUGUUCAUCUGCUAUGCUAGUUCACAUGAUUAGUUUAAUCUCUGCUGCUGUGGUCAUGAUUUAUAUUCUGUUUAUUCGGAUUAAAUCUCGUAGUAAUUUGCUCAUAUUUCCAACAAUCCAAAAACCUGAUUAUAGGCAAUUUACUCCGAGUGGUUUUGCCGCGCAUCUGAAACCGCCUGCCUUUAAGGGGGCGCAAUAUAAGAGGUGGCGCACGAGAGCAGUCUACUGGUUUCAGACCAUGGGCUGCUAUGAUGCCACCAAGGGCAAGCCUGAGGGCGAUCUUAAUCCAGCACAACUGGAAGCUUUUGAGAAGAUCGAUACCCUUUUUAAAGGCGCUCUUCUCAGUGUUCUUGAUGACUCCAUUGUGGAUUCGUAUAUGUCGUUUGACAACGGCAAGGACAUGUGGGCUACGCUCGAGGCCAAGUUUGGUGCCUCGGACGCCGGCAGCGAGUUGUACGUCAUGGAGCAAUUCUAUGACUACAAAAUGACUGAUGAGCGCCCUAUUGUACAGCAGGCUCAUGAGAUACAGUCGCUCGCAAAAGAACUUGAGUACUUCAAGUGUGUGUUGCCGGAUAAAUUUGUUGCCGGAGGCAUCAUUGCCAAUCUUCCACCUUCGUGGAACAAUUUUGCUACUUUCCUGAAACACAAGAGACAGGAGUUUUCCGUUGCGGAUCUCAUUGGUACUCUUGAUGUUAAAGAGAAGGCAAGAGCAAAGGACACACGUGCUCGAGUUGCUGAGGAAGGUUCUAGUGCCCACAUGGUACAAAAGAAGAACUCCCAGCCCAACAAGUACAAAAACAAUAAGAAUAAAACUCAGGGCAAAGGCAAGUUUGAUACAAAGAACAAGCCAUCACAUUCUACCAACUUCAAGAAGAAUUCUCAUAAGAAGGGGAAGGGACUUUGCCAUGUCUGCGGUGAUCCUAAUCACUGGGCUCCAAAGUGUCCUAACCGCUUUGAGGAGCACGAACAUGAGAAGAGCGGCAAGUCCGCUAAUGUUGUCAUCGGUGAUAAUGAUAUGAAGGAAUCAGGGUACGGUAUUUUUCCUACCAUCCUUUCAGUAUUUCAAUCCCCUGAUUGGUUAAUUGACACCGGUGCCAAUGUACAUGUUUGUGCUGACGCCUCCAUGUUUUCUUCUUACCAGGCAACAGGGACUUCACCCGUGCUGAUGGGGAACGGGUCACAUGCCAUCGUUCGAGGUGUUGGUACGAUCGAUCUGAAGUUUACUUCGGGGAAGACUGUGCGUCUGAAGAACGUUCAUCAUGUGACGUCCAUCAAUAAAAAUCUCGUUAGCGGUUCCCGUUUAUAUUGAGAUGGUUUUAAGUUGGUUUUCGAAUCCAAUAAAGUUGUAAUUUCUAAGUGUGGACAAUUUGUUGGAAAAGGCUAUGAGUGCGGAGGCUUGUUCCGCCUAUCUUUGUCAGAUAUUUGCACUAAAGUUAUUAAUAAUGUUUGCCACAAUAAUGAGUCUGAUAUUUGGCAUUCACGACUCUAUCAUAUUAACUUUGGUUGCAUGACGCGGUUAGCCAAUAUGAAUUUAAUUCCGAAAAUCUCUACUGUCAAAGGCUCCAAGUGCCAAGUAUGUGUGCAAGCUAAGCAACCUCGCAAGUCCCAUAAGACUGCAGAGGCAAGAGACUUGGCGCCACUAGAGCUUAUACAUUCUGAUCUUUGUGAGAUGAACGGCGUGUUGAUUGAUGACUCCACUAGAUAUUGUUAUGUGUAUCUUCUGAAAUCAAAAGAUGAGGCUUUGACUUUCUUUAAAAACUAUAAAGCUGAGGCAGAGAACCAACUUGAUCAAAAAAUUAAACGGCUUAGGUCCGAUCGUGGUGGAGAGUAUUUUUCCAAUGAAUUUGAUCUGUUUUGUGUGGAACAUGGUAUAAUCCAUGAGAUGACGCCUCACUACUCACCCCAGUCAAAUGGGGUAGCCGAAAGAAAGAACCAAACUCUAACUGAUAUGGUUAACACCAUGUUAGACACUUCGGGUGUAUCCAAGGAAUGGUGAGGGGAGGCGCUAAUGACUGCGCGUCAUGUCCUAAACCGAGUUCCCACAAAGCAUAAGACCAUGACUCCAUUUGAGGAAUGGGAAAGGAAAAGGUUGAAACUCUCUUACCUACGUACUUGGGGUUGUUUGGCGAAAGUCAAUAUACCAAUUCCCAAGAAGCGCAAGCUUGGACCAAAAACCGUGGAUUGUGUUCUUCUGGGCUAUGCUUUUCAUAGCAUCGGCUAUAGAUUUUUGAUAAUAAAAUCUGAGGUAUCCGACAUGCAUGUUGGUACGAUUAUGGAAUCAAAUGAUGCAACUUUCUUUGAGGACAUAUUUCCUAUGAAGGAUAUGUCGAGUUCAUCAAAUCAGGAGAUACCUACUCCAUCUAGUGAGGAAUUCACUCUAAUUCCUGAACCCACCAUUGCGAUGGAACACGUUGAGAAUCCUGUUGAGGGUAACAAUGGAACUCCUGUGAGGAGUAAGAGACAGAGGACUGCAAAGUCUUUUGGUGAUGAUUUCAUUGUGUACCUCGUGGAUGACACACCCAGGACUAUUUCAGAAGCCUAUGCAUCUCCCGAUGCUGACUACUGGAAGGAAGCUGUACGUAGCGAGAUGGAUUCCAUCUUAGCUAACGGUACCUGGGAGAUCACUGACCGUCCAUAUGGGUGCAAACCUGUAGGAUGUAAGUGGGUGUUCAAGAAGAAGCUUAGACCUGAUGGUACGAUUGAAAAGUACAAGGCACGGCUUGUGGUCAAGGGUUAUACCCAGAAAGAAGGUGAAGACUUCUUUGAUACUUACUCACCCGUGGCUAGACUGACCACAAUUCGGGUGCUGCUAUCACUGGCUGCCUCACAUGGUCUUCUCGUUCAUCAAAUGGACGUUAAGACGGCUUUCCUUAAUGGAGAGUUGAAGGAGGAAAUUUACAUGGAUCAGCCAGAUGGUUUUGUAGUACCUGGUCAGGAAGGAAAGGUGUGCAAGUUAUUAAAGUCUUUAUAUGGCCUUAAACAAGCUCCUAAGGAGUGGCAUGAGAAGUUCGAAAGAACAUUAACUACUGCCGGCUUUGUAGUAAACGAUGGUGACAAGUGCGUGUACUAUCGCUAUGGUGGGGGCGAAGGAGUUAUUCUUUGUCUGUAUGUCGACGACAUAUUGAUCUUUGGAACCAAACUUGAUUUAAUCAAGGAGGUUAAGGAUUUCUUAUCUCGCUGUUUUGAGAUGAAGGAUCUAGGAGUAGCUGAUGUUAUCUUAAUGUAGGAUCGAAAGUAUGUCUAGAGGGGGGGGUGAUUAGACUACUUGACCAAAUAAAAAUGUAACCUUUUCCCAAUUUUAGUUCUUGGCAGAUUUUAGCUAUUUUAGGACAAGUCAAGCAAUCAUCACACAAUUCAAGCAAGCAUGCAAAGAGUAUAUUGGCAGCGGAAAGUAAAGCAUGCAACUUGCAAGAAUGUAAAGGGAAGGGUUUGGAGGAUUCAAACGCAAUUGGAGACACGGAUGUUUUUCCCGUGGUUCGGAUAGGUGGUGCUAUCCUACAUCCACGUUGAUGGAGACUUCAACCCACGAAGGGUAACGGUUGCGCGAGUCCACGGAGGGCUCCACCCACGAAGGGUCCAUGAAGUAGCAACCUUGUCUAUCCCACCAUGGCCAUCGCCCACGAAGGACUUGCCUCACUAGCGGUAGAUCUUCACGAAGUAGGCGAUCUCCUUGCCCUUACAAACUCCUUGGUUCAACUCCACAAUCUUGUCGGAGGCUCCCAAGUGACACCUAGCCAAUCUAGGAGACACCACUCUCCAAGAAGUAACAAAUGGUGUGUUGAUGAUGAACUCCUUGCUCUUGUGCUUCAAGUGAUAGUCUCCCCAACACUCAACUCUCUCUCAUAAGAUUUGGAUCUGGUGGAAAGAAGGUUUGAGUGGAAAGCAGCUUGGGGAAGGCUAGAGAUCAAGAUUCAUAUGGUAGGAAUGGAAUAUCUUGGUCUCAACACAUGAGUAGGUGGUUCUCUUCUCAGAACAUAUGAGUUGGAAUGGUGUGUGUGUUCUGAUGGCUCUCUCCACGAAUGAAGAGGAGGUGGAGGGGUAUAUAUAGUCUCCACACAAAAAUCCAACCGUUACACACAAUCUACCAAUCUCGGUGGGACCGAAUCAUCAAACUCGGUCGGACCGAAAAGGUAAACCUAGUGACCGUUAGAGAUUUCAGUGGGACUGACAUGCAACUCGGUAGGACCGAUUCGGUUAGGGUUUGGGCACAACGUAAUCUCGGUGAGACCGAUUACACAAACUCGGUGAGACCGAGUUUGGUAAUAAGCUAACCAGAGAGUUGGUCAGGUAGACUCGGUGGGACCGACUUGCUCUUUCGGUGAGACCGAAAAGUUACAAGAAGGAAACAGAGAGUGUACAUUGCAAUCUCGGUGGGACCGAUUCGCUCUUUCGGUGAGACCAAAAAGUUACAAAAGGGAAACAGAGAGUUUGCAAUCCCAUCUCGGUGAGACCGAGAUCCUUAUCGGUAGGACCGAAUUGCUAGGGUUUUGGCAGUGGCAAAUGACAAGUGAAACUCGGUGGCGCCGCAUAGAAAGAAUCGGUAUGACCGAGUUUGGCUUAGGGUUUAGGUCAUUUGUGGAUAUGGGAAAGUAGUUGAGGAUUUUGGAGCAUAUCACUAAGCACAUAAAGCAAGAGGCUCAUUAAGCAACACCUCAUCCCUCCUUGAUAGUAUUGGCUUUUCCUAAAGACUCAAUGUGAUCUUGGAUCACUAAAAUAUAAAAUGAAGAGUCUUGAACUUUUGAGCUUGAGCCAAUCCUUUGUCCUUAGCAUUUUGAGGGUUCCACUUUCACCAUCCAUGCCAUGCCAAUCAUUGAGCUUUCCUGAAAUAAUCAUCUUGGAAUAGCAUUAGCUCAAUGAGCUAUAUGUUGUUAUGAAUUACCAAAACCACCUAGGGAUAGUUGCACUUUCAAUCUCCCCCUUUUUGGUAAUUGAUGACAACAUAUAGAUCAAAGCUUCGACAAAUGAUAAUAAGCAUGAAAUAUAUCGUCGCUUUGAGAAGUAUGUGACAAGCAAGAGCUCCCCCUAAAUUUGUGCAUAUUUAAAAUUUGCUUUGGACUGCAAAUGCACAACGAGUUAGAGUCAUGGGUUACUCUUCCAUGUCACAUACAUCUUGGUGGAGCGCUCAAGAAUGAUAAGAAUGAAAUACAUGCACUCAUCACCAAGAAUAGUGAGUGAUCACAUAAGAUGGAUAGAAUGAUAAUAUUAAGCAAACAUUAAGUGUAGCUUAUGAUCAAACACAUGAUCAUCGAUGUCUCACACAGAUAAGGGCAUUGUAUCUCACACACAAGCAAACAAAGUUCGAGAAACCACCAAAUAAAACAAGAGAGAAUAAAAGCAACACUCUCUCUCUCGAAGCCUAUGAUCUAUACAUUUUCUCCCCCUUUGGCAACAAGUUACCAAAAAGUUCCUAGAAAAUGCAUAGUGCUAAGUCGACACUCAGGCUUGAUCUUCAGGUGGUGGUGGAGUCCGGAGCACUCCAAGGACGAAGCCUUCUGUAGACGUGGUCGGAGUCAAGGCUGAAGUGGAUGCUGGAGCUGGUGGAAUUGAGGCUGUGGCUGGUGCAGACGUGGUGGCUCUGGUGUCAGCAACUGCAGAUGACCUCGGCCCUCGUGGCACCCUGUCAAAGGUAUCAGUCGUAGUCUUGCCUCUCCUCUCCUGCAUAUCAUCCUGGAGCUGCUCCACGGCAGUCUGUAUCUCUGUCACCUUGACAUCCAAGUCAUAGAACUUUUGUUCCAUGAUCCUCCCUAAGCUUGCCUGGUUCUGAGUCAGGGUGGCUAGUCCUUGCUCAAUCCGCAGGGUGGAUGCAAUCAGGUAACCAAGCUGCUCUUGUUUGGUCUUCAGGAAGUAUUCAGAUGCCUCCUCUUGAGUAGGCAUCCUGGCAGCUUUCUCCUUCUUCGCCUUCUCCUUCUUGGCUUGUGCUUGGGCAGAUGAUGGCUCAUUCUCAGUCAUGACCACUUGAUUAUCUUUGAAGUCUGGACGGAUGGGCAGGUGUUCCUUAUCCAAUAAAUAUAUGCCCGUGCCCAUCUUUGAGUUGAUGAGCUCCUGAAUCUGUGGGGCAUACCCACAGCUCCUCUUUUGGUCGGCUGCUGUCCUCUUGAUUGUUUCCACUAUGAGGCUCAUGACUUUGAAUUUUUGAGGCACGUCAAAGACAUGAAGCAAAUUGAUCGCGUGACCUAUGAUCAUCUUGUGAUCUCCAGACUUGGGCAAUAGUGUGUGCCUCAGUAUCCAGUUGAUAGUGGGCAGUCCUGAUAGAAGAUAAUGCAUUGAGCGAAACUUGAACGUGUCAAGUGCUUCAUUCGGAAUCUCCUUGUACAUGUUGGACAUAGAGUUGUGGUCCAUCUUCUUCUUGGCAUAAAUGUCCAAGUCAUCUGCUUGCUCCUCUGGGGCAUGAAUUAGCUGAGCCCAUUCAGCAACUGUGGACUGGUACCUCGUACCCUCUGACAUCCAUACAAUCCUGCCAUCUGGAUAGAAAUGGGCUGUGGAGUAGAACUGCAUGAUGAGUUCCUCGUUCCACUUUGUGAGCUUCUGCCCAACAAAGUCCUCUACUCCACACGCCUUAAAGCUGUCUUGCACUCCAGGGUAGUACUCUUCGUUGUCCUUGAUAUACUGCCAAUCGACCCAUCUCAUAUCGCAGACAAUUGGCUUCUUGUCUAGCAGCACUGUCUCAUAAAAAUCCUGCUGCUCCUUGGUGUGAAACCUAUAGUCAACUGCAGUCCUUCUCCUAGAAGCAUAUGGGUCCGCUUCUCUCCACUUCCUCAGCCCUGAAUCUCUCCUGAGCUUCAUAUCCUCAGCCACAGGAUGAGCAUUGUUGUGAUCUGGGAUCUUGGGCUUGAGCUUUCUGAGAACAUUCUCUUCCUCUUCCUCUACAGCUUCAGGCAUUGGGGCCUUAUUCUUCUCAGUGGCUGGGAUGCUUCUUGUGUUCCUCUUUGGCUUUGGCUUUGGAGCUGGCUUGGCCUUGGGAGCAGCUUCCCCUGAUCUUAUGGCAUCACCCAUUAGCUUGGGUGCCUUAGGUGCUGGUGCAGCUACCUCUUCUUCUUCCUCCUCAUCUUCCAUGAUGGAGGCCUUGCCAAGCACUCUGGCUACAGUUUUAUUUACCCUUUCCUUCCUCUUUUUGCCCUCAGCGGCAACUGGCUCAACAGGAGUGGGCUUCUCAGUUGAAGCUCUUGCCUUAGACAUGGGCUGCCUGCCUGCUGGCCUUUUGAUCUUCAGCCCUGGCUUUGUGCCCUGUGCUGGCUCAACUCUCUUGGAGGUGGCUUCCUCCUUUGCCACAUAAUCCUCAUCUUCUGAGUCUGAGGUUCUCUUCUUUCUCUGACGUGUGGCGGCUUUAGGCAGAUUGCUGGGGGUGCUCCUGCUGCCAUCAUCUGAGGAACUUGAGGGACUAGUGCCCUCACUCAACUGCACUUGCUGUUCUGACAGGUUCUGGCUGUCACUUUGGUCUGACAUGAUGCAAACUCUGACUGCUGACCCUGUGAAUAGAUUAUAGACGAGAUAGAGUGGAUGAGCAUCACAAAAUGCAGAGAUUUUUGCAAAAGAAUAAUUCAAAAACUUAGUUUUAGUUUUCCACUGAAAGCAUCUCGGAUCUACCGAUUUCUAAACUCGGUGACACCGAAGCAGUUUUGGCACCUGAACUGGUGAACUUGGUCAGACCGAGUCAUAGUUUGGUGGCACCGAGACUGCUAGGGUUUCACAGAGUUCCAAAAUCGGUCACACUGAUAAGUAAUUCUCGGUCAGACCGAGUCUCACUUGUGCAAUGGCAUAAGCCAAAUCGGUGGGACCGAGUUUUUCAACUCGGUGGGUCCGAGAUGGUUUCAGCGGAAACCUAACCCUAAAAUUUUCGAAUUAAACCUAAUCUACGAGUUCAUUGACUGGAUAGGAGUUUAUCAAACGUGGCAAGAAUCAUGAUGAUCACAAUGUGCUAGGAAUCGGAUUGGAGAAUAGCACAAAAAUCGAGUCCAUACCCUAGUUCGGCGGAGACUCGCUACGACGGCAAUGGCGGGGUAGAAUUCCCGUUGACGGCGCGGAGACCAGCGACUGGAGGCGGCUGGCGGCGAGGAGACGAUCCGGAGACCAAGUCGGCAGAGCAGGCUAUCGCGCGGGCGAAGGGGUUCGGAGAAAUUUCCAAAUUUUUACCCGUGACUAUAUAUAGCCCGACCCUGUCGGUGUGACCGAGUGGUUCAAAUCGGUUGCACCGAGAUCGAAAACCUAGAUCAACUUAAUGAUCUCGGUAGGACCGAAAGUAGGUAAUCGGUCAGACCGAGAAUCACAAAGAGGUUUUGGAAGUUUAAGUCUAUGAGGAAUCGGGGACUCCGAGCACUCCUCACACAGAGUGGUUCGAAUCUGACUUGAUCAAAUUUUGUGAUGCAGCAUGAAUAAAGUUUGAGACGAGAAAAGCAUAGAUAACUAGAGGAGGUUCUUAGGCAUUCUUGUCCAUCCACUUGGCAAAAGGAAAUAAAACCAAACAACCAAAACAACAAGUGGAUGUCCUCGAAUGAGUAAAAUAUGCAACCAGCAUGCUCACACAACAAGAUGGCAAAUGAAAUAUGUGACAAAGCAUGCACAAUCAAUUCUAGCAUCUAUCAGGCAAUUUGCGAUGACUAGGUCAUCUAUAUAUGAGUAUAUUGACUUAGGAGUCAAGUGAGAACACUUGAUCAUAGGUCAUACUCAUCGUUUAAGCUCAAGUGGGGUUACCACUUUUACAUAAAGCAUCGUUGUGUUCACAUCUUUAGAGUUGCUUUAGCUCAAGUCUUAGAGCAAGGCUCCCCCUAGAUGUGAUAUCCCCUCUAAGAGGGAUGAACUAACCUUGGGUUUUGUCGAUGAUGACUUCAUGUAGAUGUUGAAGAUGUGGAUGCUCAAUGUUGAUGUAGAUCACUUGGAGCUAUCCAUUUGAGUGAAUUGCACUUUCAAUACCUACAUGGGUUAGUCCCACAAGGAACAAACAAGGAUAUCCAUAGACAUAGAGUGAUGCACACACAAGAUGAUGUCCAUGAAAACUUUAGGUUACCUUGUCCCUUGUCUUACCAACAAGAGGGUUUGUGACUCCUUGAACUAGUACAAGAUGUGGAAGUUGAUUGCACUUGUUCUUGCCAAAAUGAUAAGAGUGAGGUAUGUUGGCGGAGUCACCCUCAAGAACUCUCUAGUUCUUCUUCUUUUGGAUCCACACCAUCUUGAUGGGAAUCCUUGGAGUUGUAGUCGUACUUGAUGAAGUGGAACUUGAAGUAGUCUUGGGAAUCCACUUGACUAAGGUCUUGGGAGCUUCUUCAAAUGCAUCAAUUUCCUCUUGAAGCUUGUCCUUGCCUUUUUGCUUGUAGUCUUGUGGUGGAAGAUCAUCUUGAGCUUGUGUCCCCUUGAAAGAAGUAUCAUACUUCUCUUGUUGAGGAACAAACUUUGUCUUGGGGUAUUGAUCUUCUUCCCACUCAACUCCAUUGGCAUUGAACUUUCGUUCAAAACCAACACCUUGAUUCUUCCGGUGCAUUCCUUGCUUGCGCACAAUUUCCUCGAAUUGCUUACUCCCGGGAAGGCUUUUGUACACUCCUUUCUCUAUAAUUCCCUUCAAUAAGCUAUUUUCUUGCUCAAGUGUAACUUGGCUAAGAGAAUCAUUAGUGGAAUCAAGAGAACUACUAGAAGCAACAAUAUUGGAUUUAGCAUGGUCAUUGUUACUACUAGAGGAAGAAUCUUUCUUGUUCUUGUUACUAGACUUGACUUGAGGCAUGUAAGUGGAUAAGAUUAAACAAUUGGCAAUGUAAGAAGAACUUUUCUUGCGGAGAUCAUCAUUGAUUGCUUUUAAUAACUCAUGCUCUUGCUCAAGAUUGAGCUUUUCAAAGCGUAAUUUCUCAUGAGCUCUUAAAAGUUCUCGAUGAUCUUCGAAGAUAGUUUCAUGAGCUAACUUAAGAGUGUUUAGUUCUUUAGUUAGAGCCUCAAUCUUCUCCUUAUCAUUGUCAUUCGUUUUAUCUUGAUUAGCAUGAUUAAUUGAUGUUUCAUCAUAGUACUCAUCACUAGAGUUGUCAACAAGCAAAUCAUCAUCACCUAACAAGUCAUCUUCAUCACUAUUAAAAUCAACAUACUCGGGGUGUGUUACCUUAGGACCUUUGGCCAUGAAGCAUCUUCCAAUUCCUUCAUUUGGUGAGUCAAAUAUGUCGUAGGAGUUGGUUGACACAAGUGCUAGACCGGCAACACCUUCAUCUUGAGUAUCUUCGGAGUCGGAGUGAUAACUUCUCUCGGAGUGGCUGUCGGAGUCGGAGCCGGAUACCCAUUCACCAACAUGAGCUUGAUGUCUUUGUUUUGUGUAGCUCCUUGAUGAUUUUUCCUUCCUUUCCGAAUCCUUGCUUCUCCGUGAGUAUCUCCGUUCAUAACGAUCAUCUCUACUCCUUCUCUCUCUUGGUGGUGAUUCUUUGCUUCUUCUUUUUGGAGAAUCUUCUCUUCUCUUGUAGGGAGCCGUACACUCAUUGGAAUAGUGUCCGGGUCUUCCACAAUUGUAGCAGUUUCACUCUCGACUAGAAGAUCUUUUGUCAUUGUAGGACCUUGACUUGAAGCUUCUAUCUUUGCUUCUACUCUUGUAGAAUUUGUUGAAGUUCUUCACCAUUAAGCUCAAUUCUUCAUUGAAGUUUUGUUUCUCACUUGAUGAUGUGGGGACUUCACAUGAGGCUUUGUAGGCACCACUUGAUUUGUUGUGAAAUUCCUCUUUAUCCUUGAGUGACAUCUCAUGAGCAACAAUUCUUCCAAUCACUUCCGUUGGCUUGAGAUCUUUGUAAUUGGGCAUCAUUUGGAUCAAUGUGCACACGGUAUCAUAUUUCCCAUCCAAGGCUCUUAUAAUCUUCUUGAUGAUGAAUCUAUCGGUCAUCUCUUCACUUCUUAAGCCGGCAAUCUCAUUUGUGAUGAGAGCAAGCCUAGAGUACAUUUCAGCGACACCUUCACCAUCCUUCAUUUUGAACUUGUCAAGUUGACUUUGGAGCACAUCCAACUUGGAUUCCUUGACGGAGUCGGUACCUUCGUGCAUAUCAAUCAAAGUGUCCCAAAUUUCCUUUGCAUUCUCAAGACGGCUGAUUUUGUUGAAUUCUUCGGGGCACAAUCCGUUGAAGAGAAUAUCACAAGCUUGAGCAUUGUAUUGCAACAUCUUCAACUCAUCCGCGGUAGCUUCACGGUUUGGUUCUCUCCCAUCAAAGAACUCACCUUGCAAACCAACACAAACAAUAGCCCAUACGGCGGGGUUAUGUCCAAGAAUAUGCAUUUUCAUUUUAUGCUUCCAACUAGCAAAAUUAGUGCCAUCAAAGUAAGGACCUCUACGGUGAUAAUUUCCCUCGCUAGACGCCAUACUCUCCUCGGUUGUGAAACCAAGGCUAUAACCACCAAAAGCUAUGGAGAUCAAGGCAAAUGGAGACCAAAUCUCUGAUACCACUUGUAGGAUCGAAAGUAUGUCUAGAGGGGGGGUGAUUAGACUACUUGACCAAAUAAAAACGUAACCUUUUCCCAAUUUUAGUUCUUGGCAGAUUUUAGCUAUUUUAGGACAAGUCAAUCAAUCAUCACACAAUUCAAGCAAGCAUGCAAAGAGUAUAUUGGCAGCGGAAAGUAAAGCAUGCAACUUGCAAGAAUGUAAAGGGAAGGGUUUGGAGGAUUCAAACGCAAUUGGAGACACGGAUGUUUUUCCCGUGGUUCAGAUAGGUGGUGCUAUCCUACAUCCACGUUGAUGGAGACUUCAACCCACGAAGGGUAACGGUUGCGCGAGUCCACGGAGGGCUCCACCCACGAAGGGUCCACGAAGUAGCAACCUUGUCUAUCCCACCAUGGCCAUCGCCCACGAAGGACUUGCCUCACUAGCGGUAGAUCUUCACGAAGUAGGCGAUCUCCUUGCCCUUACAAACUCCUUGGUUCAACUCCACAAUCUUGUCGGAGGCUCCCAAGUGACACCUAGCCAAUCUAGGAGACACCACUCUCCAAGAAGUAACAAAUGGUGUGUUGAUGAUGAACUCCUUGCUCUUGUGCUUCAAGUGAUAGUCUCCCCAACACUCAACUCUCUCUCUCAUAAGAUUUGGAUCUGGUGGAAAGAAGGUUUGAGUGGAAAGCAGCUUGGGGAAGGCUAGAGAUCAAGAUUCAUAUGGUAGGAAUGGAAUAUCUUGGUCUCAACACAUGAGUAGGUGGUUCUCUUCUCAGAACAUAUGAGUUGGAAUGGUGUGUGUGUUCUGAUGGCUCUCUCCACGAAUGAAGAGGAGGUGGAGGGGUAUAUAUAGCCUCCACACAAAAAUCCAACCGUUACACACAAUCUACCAAUCUCGGUGGGACCGAAUCAUCAAACUCGGUCGGACCGAAAAGGUAAACCUAGUGACCGUUAGAGAUUUCGGUGGGACUGACAUGCAACUCGGUAGGACCGAUUCGAUUAGGGUUUGGGCACAACGUAAUAUCAGUGAGACCGAUUACACAAACUCGGUGAGACCGAGUUUGGUAAUAAGCUAACCAGAGAGUUGGUCAGGUAGACUCGGUGGGACCGACUUGCUCUUUCGGUGAGACCGAAAAGUUACAAGAAGGAAACAGAGAGUGUACAUUGCAAUCUCGGUGGGACCAAUUCGCUCUUUCGGUGAGACCAAAAAGUUACAAAAGGGAAAUAGAGAGUUUGCAAUCCCAUCUCGGUGAGACCGAGAUCCUUAUCCGUAGGACCGAAUUGCUAGGGUUUUGGCAGUGGCAAAUGACAAGUGAAACUCGGUGGCACCGCAUAGAAAGAAUCGGUAUGACCGAGUUUGGCUUAGGGUUUAGGUCAUUUGUGGAUAUGGGAAAGUAGUUGAGGAUUUUGGAGCAUAUCACUAAGCACAUAAAGCAAGAGGCUCAUUAAGCAACACCUCAUCCCUCCUUGAUAGUAUUGGCUUUUCCUAAAGACUCAAUGUGAUCUUGGAUCACUAAAAUAUAAAAUGAAGAGUCUUGAACUUUUGAGCUUGAGCCAAUCCUUUGUCCUUAGCAUUUUGAGGGUUCCACUUUCACCAUCCAUGCCAUGCCAAUCAUUGAGCUUUCCUGAAAUAAUCAUCUUGGAAUAGCAUUAGCUCAAUGAGCUAUAUGUUGUUAUGAAUUACCAAAACCACCUAGGGAUAGUUGCACUUUCACUUAAACAUCAAGCUGUUGAGAGAUGAGAAUGGUGGGAUCACACUACUUCAGUCUCAUUAUGUGGAAAAGGUCUUGAGUCAUUUUGGGUAUAGAGACUGCACGCCUUCUCCAACUCCAUAUGAUGCUAGUGUGUUGCUUCGAAAGAAUCGACGGAUUGCUAGAGAUCAACUGAGGUAUUCUCAGAUUAUUGGCUCGCUUAUGUAUUUGGCGAGUGCCACGAGGCCUGACAUCUCUUUUGCUGUGAGCAAGCUGAGUCGGUUUGUGUCAAAACCAGGAGAUGAUCAUUGGCAUGCGCUUGAGAGAGUUAUGCGCUAUUUGAAAGGCACCGCGAGCUAUGGGAUUCACUACACCAGGUAUCCAAGGGUACUAGAGGGUUAUAGUGACUCAAACUGGAUAUCUGAUGCUGAUGAGAUUAAGGCCACAAGUGGUUAUGUUUUUACACUUGGUGGUGGCGCUGUUUCCUGGAAGUCUUGCAAGCAGACCAUCUUAACGAGGUCAACUAUGGAAGCAGAACUCACAGCAUUAUACACUGCCACUAUUGAAGCAGAGUGGCUUCGUGAACUCUUGAUGGACUUACCUAUGGUUGAAAAACCAAUACCCCCUAACCUGAUGAACUGUGAUAAUCAAACUGUGAUCGUCAAGAUAAACAGUUCUAAGGACAAUAUGAAGUCCUCAAGGCAUGUGAAGAGGAGACUAAAAUCUGUCAGAAAAUUGAGGAACUCCGGAGUUAUUACGUUGGAUUAUAUCCAAACGUCGAAAAACUUGGCAGAUCCCUUCACAAAGGGUCUAUCACGUAAUGUGAUAGAUAAUGCAUCGAUGGACAUGGGUUUGAGACCCACCGCAUGAGUUGUCCAUAGUGGUAACCCACUCUAUGUGAUCGGAGAUCCCGUGAAGUAGAAGUGGGAGACAAGCUGUUGGUCGGCUGGGAGGAGAGUAUCCCUAUAUUAAUUAUCCCACUCCGUGAAGAUGCAAUACUCUCCUGAUCUGCAUGGCAGGUUGAUACUUAUCUUAAUGUGUUCCAAGUGGCUUAUUCGGGUAAGCAUAGAUGUUGUCCUGCAGAACAUCUUCUGAGGAACACACCUAUAUGAAUUUGACUAUCAACGUCGCAGUCUGUGAGAAUUGGGUGUUCUCUAACAAAUUCAUGAAAGGCCCUGGAGUAUGACGUAUACGCUCCACCCGCGGGGAAGCCUUGCGGCAGCCCAGUACCGGUCAAGAAAUUGUGUGAAACUAGUUUCACAGAAAACUUGUAGUUCAAGGCAUAGUCCACUAUUCAAGUUGUGAUCUAGUGUAGCAUAAAUUUCUAAGUGGAAGUUCAACUUCACAGUCUCCACUAACCACCGAUAUAUAAAACAAUGUUUUGGAACUAAAUGAUGAGAUGUGCCAAUGAGACGUUGUGGGGGAUUGUUAGAAUUUUGCUAGUACGCCUUUGGCCCAAAGCCCAACUAAAAUUCUGAAAUUCUCUUGGCCCAUUCAUGCACACAUGUGAGUGGAGUGAGUGAGGCUAAAGUUUAGUCCCACCUUGGAAGUUGAGAGAGAGUUGCACCUCCUUAUAAGGUGAGCUCUUCUACCACUUGUAUGAGCAUGAGAAGAGGAUACCUACACGCGCGCUCCUCCUCCUCGCUCGCCUCGCCACGCCACGCCUCGUCAGGACGCGCCGCGGGUUGCGGGAUUGAGCCGAGCCGAGAACAGAGCUAUGCACGUUGUCUAUAUUUUUGCUGCAUGGGAAAAUUAAUGAGUCAUUAAUUAAUAAUUAACGGACGCGUUAAUUACUGAACCAUUUUCGAUUCUUUUGGAUCGUGACGACUCGGACGUGGGGUUUACUCCCACGACCAACCCGGCCCGCAAUAUAUAGUCAGGCAGACGUCUACCCUAGCCGCCGCUUCGUAUGGUUUCCCAUCACCGUUCCAGAUCAUUGCGCCGCCAAGCUAGUCUUCUCCAUCCCUCCUUCCGGCGUGCACCGCGAGAAGGGACAGUAGGCCUCCGAAACCCCGCCUCUCGUGAUCCUGUACGGGAGAGGGGCGAUCAGGUUUUUGGGGAGCGCACUCACGCGACUUCUGGCAGCGACGACUUCGCGAACGACGACUUCUUCCCCGACCUCGGCAACCUCAUCCUCGACGACAUGGGCGACAACAUCAACGCCGGCGGUGCUGCACCCGCUGCAUCGUAUGUGAUUCUAUCCUUCCUGUUCGAGAUCGUGGUAGAAUUCAUGUUUCUAGUAUGUGCCCUAGAUGUGAUAUGUUCAUCUGCUAUGCUAGUUCGCAUGAUUAGUUUAAUCUCUGCUGUUGUGGUCAUGAUUUAUAUUCUGUUUAUUCGGAUUAAAUCUCGUAGUAAUUUGCUCAUAUUUCCAACAAUCCAAAAACCUGAUUAUAGGGAAUUUACUCCGAGUGGUUUUGCUGCGCAUCUGAAACCGCCUGCCUUUAAGGGGGCGCAAUAUAAGAGGUGGCGCACGAGAGCAGUCUACUGGUUUCAUACCAUGGGCUGCUAUGAUGCCACCAAGGGCAAGCCUGAGGGCGAUCUUAAUCCAGCACAGCUGGAAGCUUUUGAGAAGAUCGAUACCCUCUUUAAAGGCGCUCUUCUGAGUGUUCUUGAUGACUCCAUUGUGGAUUCGUAUAUGUCGUUUGACAACGGCAAGGACAUGUGGGCUGCGCUCGAGGCCAAGUUUGGUGCCUCGGACGCCGGCAGCGAGUUGUACGUCAUGGAGCAAUUCUAUGACUACAAGAUGACUGAUGAGCGCCCUGUUGUACAGCAGGCUCAUGAGAUACAGUCGCUCGCAAAAGAACUUGAGUACUUCAAGUGUGUGUUGCCGGACAAAUUUGUUGCCGGAGGCAUCAUUGCCAAGCUUCCACCUUCGUGGAACAAUUUUGCUACUUCCCUGAAACACAAGAGACAGGAGUUUUUCGUUGCGGAUCUCAUUGGUACUCUUGAUGUUAAAGAGAAGGCGAGAGCAAAGGACACACGUGCUCGAGUUGCUGAGGGAGGUUCUAGUGCCCACAUGGUACAGAAGAAGAACUCCCAGCCCAACAAGUACAAAAACAAUAAGAACAAAACUCAGGGCAAAGGCAAGUUUGAUACAAAGAACAAGCCAUCACAUUCUACCAAUUUCAAGAAGAAUUCUCAUAAGAAGGGGAAGGGACUUUGCCAUGUCUGUGGUGAUCCUAAUCACUGGGCUCCAAAGUGUCCUAACUGCUUUGAGGAGCGCGAACAUGAGAAGAGCGGCAAGUCCGCUAAUGUUGUCAUCGGUGAUACUGAUAUGAAGGAAUCAGGGUACGGUAUUUUUCCUACCAUCCUUUUAGUAUUUCAAUCCCCUGAUUGGUUAAUUGAUACCGGUGCCAAUGUACAUGUUUGUGCUGACGCCUCAAUGUUUUCUUCUUACCAGGCAACAGGGACUUCACCCGUGCUGAUGGGGAACGGAUCACAUGCCAUCGUUCGAGGUGUUGGUACGGUCGAUCUGAAGUUUAAAUCGGGGAAGACUGUGCGUCUGAAGAACGUUCAUCAUGUGCCGUCCAUCAAUAAAAAUCUCGUUAGCGGUUCCCAUUUAUGUCGAGAUGGUUUUAAGUUGGUUUUCGAAUCCAAUAAAGUUGUAAUUUCUAAGUGUGGACAAUUUGUUGGAAAAGGCUAUGAGUGCGGAGGCUUGUUCCGCCUAUCUUUGUCAGAUAUUUGCACUAAAGUUAUUAAUAAUGUUUGCCACAAUAAUGAGUCUGAUAUUUGGCAUUCACAACUCUGUCAUAUUAACUUUGGUUGCAUGACGCGGUUAGCCAAUAUGAAUUUAAUUCCGAAAAUCUCUACUGUCAAAGGCUCCAACUGCCAAGUAUGUGUGCAAGCUAAGCAACCUCGCAAGUCCCAUAAGACUGCAGAGGCAAGAGACUUGGCGCCACUAGAGCUUAUACAUUCUGAUCUUUGUGAGAUGAACGGUGUGUUGACAAAAGGUGGAAAGAGAUACUUCAUGACGUUGAUUGAUGACUCCACUAGAUAUUGUUAUGUGUAUCUUCUGAAAUCAAAAGAUGAGGCUUUGACUUUCUUUAAAAACUAUAAAGGUGAGGCAGAGAACCAACUUGAUCGAAAAAUUAAACGGCUUAGGUCCGAUCGUGGUGGAGAGUAUUUUUCCAAUGAAUUUGAUCUGUUUUGUGCGGAACAUGGUAUAAUCCAUGAGAGGACGCCUCCCUACUCACCCCAGUCAAAUGGGGUAGCCGAAAGAAAGAACCAAACUCUAACUGAUAUGGUUAACACCAUGUUAGACACUUCGGGUCUAUCCAAGGAAUGGUGGGGGGAGGCGCUAAUGACUGCGUGUCAUGUCCUAAACCGAGUUCCCACAAAGCAUAAGACCAUGACUCCAUUUGAGGAAUGGGAAAGGAAAAGGUUGAAACUCUCUUACCUACGUACUUGGGGUUGUUUGGCGAAAGUCAAUAUACCAAUUCCCAAGAAGCGCAAGCUUGGACCAAAAACCGUGGAUUGUGUUCUUCUGGGCUAUGUUUUUCAUAGCAUCGGCUAUAGAUUUUUGAUAAUAAAAUCUGAGGUAUCCGACAUGCAUGUUGGUACGAUUAUGGAAUCAAAUGAUGCAACUUUCUUUGAGCACAUAUUUCCUAUGAAGGAUAUGUCGAGUCCAUCAAAUCAGGAGAUACCUACUCCAUCUAGUGAGGAAUUCACUGUAAUUCCUGAACCCACCAUUGCGAUGGAACACGUUGAGAAUCCUGUUGAGGGUAACAAUGGAACUCCUGUGAGGAGUAAGAGACAGAGGACUGCAAAGUCUUUUGGUGAUGAUUUCAUUGUGUACCUCGUGGAUGACACACCCAGGACUAUUUCAGAAGCCUAUGCAUCUCCUGAUGCUGACUACUGGAAGGAAGCUGUACGUAGCGAGAUGGAUUCCAUCUUAGCUAACGGUACCUGGGAGAUCACUGACCGUCCAUAUGGGUGCAAACCUGUAGGAUGUAAGUGGGUGUUCAAGAAGAAGCUUAGACCUGAUGGUACGAUUGAAAAGUACAAGGCACGGCUUGUGUCCAAGGGUUAUACCUAGAAAGAAGGUGAAGACUUCUUUGAUACUUACUCACCCGUGGCUAGACUGACCACAAUUCGGGUGUUACUAUCACUGGCUGCCUCACAUGGUCUUCUCGUUCAUCAAAUGGACGUUAAGACGGCUUUCCUUAAUGAAGAGUUGAAGGAGGAAAUUUACAUGGAUCAGCCAGAUGGUUUUGUAGUACCUGGUCAGGAAGGAAAGGUGUGCAAGUUAUUAAAGUCUUUAUAUGGCCUUAAACAAGCUCCUAAGGAGUGGCAUGAGAAGUUCGAAAGAACAUUAAUUGCUGCCGGCUUUGUAGUAAACAAUGGUGACAAGUGCGUGUACUAUCGCUAUGGUGGGGGCGAAGGAGUUAUUCUUUGUCUGUAUGUCGACGACAUAUUGAUCUUUGGAACCAAACUUGAUUUAAUCAAGGAGGUUAAGGAUUUCUUAUCUUGCUGUUUUGAGAUGAAGGAUCUAGGAGUAGCUGAUGUUAUCUUAAACAUCAAGCUGUUGUAAGAUGAGAAUGGUGGGAUCACACUACUUCAGUCUCAUUAUGUGGAAAAGGUCUUGAGUCGUUUUGGGUAUAGAGACUGCACGCCUUCUCCAACUCCAUAUGAUGCUAGUGUGUUGCUUCGAAAGAAUCGACGGAUUGCUAGAGAUCAACUGAGGUAUUCUCAGAUUAUUGGCUCGCUUAUGUAUUUGGCGAGUGCCACGAGGCCUGACAUCUCUUUUGCUGUGAGCAAGCUGAGUCGGUUUGUGUCAAAACCGGGAGAUGAUCAUUGGCAUGCGCUUGAGAGAGUUAUGCGCUAUUUGAAAGGCACCGCGAGCUAUGGGAUUCACUACACCGGGUAUCCAAGGGUACUGGAGGGUUAUAGUGACUCAAACUGGAUAUCUGAUGCUGAUGAGAUUAAGGCCACAAGUGGUUAUGUUUUUACACUUGGUGGUGGCGCUGUUUCCUGGAAGUCUUGCAAGCAGACCAUCUUAACGAGGUCAACUAUGGAAGCAGAACUCACAGCAUUAUACACUGCCGCUAUUGAAGCAGAGUGGCUUCGUGAACUCUUGAUGGACUUACCUAUGGUUGAAAAACCAAUACCCCCUAACCUGAUGAACUAUGAUAAUCAAACUGUGAUCGUCAAGAUAAACAGUUCUAAGGACAAUAUGAAGUCCUCAAGGCAUGUGAAGAGGAGACUAAAAUCUGUCAGAAAAUUGAGGAACUCCGGAGUUAUUACGUUGGAUUAUAUCCAAACGUCGAAAAACUUGGCAGAUCCUUUCACAAAGGGUCUAUCACGUAAUGUGAUAGAGAAUGCAUCGAUGGAGAUGGGUUUGAGACCCACCGCAUGAGUUGUCCAUAGUGGUAACCCACUCUAUGUGAUCGGAGAUCCCGUGAAGUAGAAGUGGGAGACAAGCUGUUGGUCGGCUGGGAGGAGAGUAUCCCUAUAUUAAUUAUCCCACUCCGUGAAGAUGCAAUACUCUCCUGAUCUGCAUGGCAGGUUGAUACUUAUCUUAAUGUGUUCCAAGUGGCUUAUUCGGGUAAGCAGAGAUGUUGUCCUGCAGAACAUCUUCUGAGGAACACACCUAUAUGAAUUUGACUGUCAAUGUCGCAGUCUGUGAGAAUUGGGUGUUCUUUAAUAAAUUCAUGAAAGGCCCUGGAGUAUGACGUAUACGCUCCACCCGCGGGGAAGCCUUGCGGCAGCCCAGUAUCGGUCAAGAAUUUGUGUGAAGCUAGUUUCACAGAAAAUUUAUAGUUCAAGGCAUAGUCCACUAUUCAAGUUGUGAUCUAGUGUAGCAUAAAUUUCUAAGUGAAAGUUCAACUUCACAGUCUCCACUAACCACCGAUAUAUAAAACAAUGUUUUGAAACUAAAUGAUGAGAUGUGUCAAUGAGAUUUUGUGGGGGAUUGUUGGAAUUUUGCUAGUAGGCCUUUGGUCCAAAGCCCAACUAAAAUUCUGAAAUUCUCUUGGCCCAUUCAUGCACACAUGUGAGUGGAGUGAGUGAGGCUAAAGUUUAGUCCCACCUUGGAAGUUGAGAGAGAGUUGCACCUCCUUAUAAGGUGAGCUCUUCUACCACUUGUAUGAGCAUGAGAAGAGGAGACCUACACGCGCGCUCCUCCUCCUCGCUCGCCUCGCCACGACGCGCCGCGCCGCGCCGCGCCGCGCCGCGGGUUGCGGGAUUGAGCCGAGCCGAGGACAGAGCUAUGCACGUUGUCUAUAUUUUUGCUGCAUGGAAAAAUUAAUGAGUCAUUAAUUAAUAAUUAACGGACGCGUUAAUUACUGAACCGUUUCCGAUUCUUUUGGAUCGUGACGACUCGGACAUGGGGUUUACUCCCACGACCUACCCGGCCCGCAAUAUAUAGUCAGGCAGACGUCUACCCUAGCCGCCGCUUCGUAUGGUUUCCCAUCACCGUUCCAGAUCAUUGCGCCGCCAAGCUAGUCUUCUCCAUCGCUCCUUCCGGCGUGCACCGCGAGAAGGGACAGCAGGCCUUCGGAACCCCGCCUCUCGUGAUCCUUGUACGGGAGAGGGGCGAUCAGGUUUUUGGGGAGUGCACUCGCCCGACUGCUGGCAGCGACGACUUCGCGAACGACGACUUCUUCCCCGACCUCGGCAACCUCAUCCUCGACGACAUGGGCGACAACAUCAACGCCGCGGUGCUGCACCCGCUGCACCGUAUGUGAUUCUAUCCUUCCUGUUCGAGAUCGUGGUAGAAUUCAUGUUUCUAGUAUGUGCCCUAGAUGUGAUAUGUUCAUCUGCUAUGCUAGUUCGCAUGAUUAGUUUAAUCUCUGCUGCUGUGGUUAUGAUUUAUAUUCUGUUUAUUCGGAUUAAAUCUCGUAGUAAUUUGCUCAUAUUUCCAACAGAAACCACCAAACUUCACCAAAUCACUAGCAAAGCCAUACUACAUAACAACUCUACCGAAUCCAUACACCAUAUUCAACUAUCGUGUGGUAAAAAGCGUAGAGGAAGUGAAGGCAGACCCGGGACCUCCUACCUGACAGCUAGUAUAGACCUGCCCAUCACGAGGCAAAGCGAAAUCGCUCGCCACACUCCAGCGCACACCUUCGUCGCUUUCGUGUGUUCUACUACUAGAAAACCGAUUGAAAACCAGCAAAUGAGAACAAAAAUCCCCUUAAAAAGCACAAGAGAAAAAAUAACACUAAAAACAAAAGAUAAACGGUGUCGCUAGAGCUGCUAGCAUGACCGCAGGAUUGGCCGGCCCAAGUCUUGCCUUUUUGCCGCAGCAAGCGGCACAUCAGAGCUCUCCAAGAAACACAAUACUUUGUGUCAACUGAGCUCAGUCCACGACCCACAAUUUGGCCAUAACAAUCUCGGCAAGGAGGCCGGGACUACGUCUUGCCUAUUGCAAGACUGUAGCUCUCCUCGCCUCAAGGAAACCCAUUAGUGGGAAGCGCCAAUAUAGGUAUGUUACCUUUUCUAAUUUACUUACCUUCAUCCGUUAUCCAUUUUGUCUUCUUUUUCCCUUUCGUUUAAAUGCUUGAAAUAUUCUAAAUAUAUAUAUUUCAAAAAUUAAUGUACUUACAUUUUAAGAGCGUUUUUCGCACAUUUAGAAAAGUUCGUGCAGUGUAGAAAAAUGGUUGUAACAUUUAUAAAAUGUUCAUCGCGAUCAAAAAAAAUGUUUGUGAUAUUUCUUAUAGAUUUUCAAAAAUAAGAUUGAUACAUUUAAAAAACAAUUGUACAACGUACAAAAAUAUUCAUGCAAUUAAAUAAAAUCUUACCAGUCACUAAAUAUCCGUGACAGUUCAAGAAUUGUUAAAGCUUUUCAAAAAAAUAUUUUUGCAAAAAUGUUUAUAAAUUUUAGAAAAAUGAUCACAUUGUUUUAGGAAAAAUUUUUGAACCAUUCGAAAAGAAAUAUUCAUAACAUUCAGAUAUAUGUUCUGACACAUAACAAAUAUUAUGCUUGUUUUUUAAGAAAAUCAUGGCAUUUAUUAAAAAUGUUCAAUAUGUGUUAAGAAUUGUCGACAGUACUAAAAAAAUGUUCAAUAUGUGUUCGAAUAAUAUUGGAAAUGCAUCUGAAUUUAAAGGUGUAUUCAGAAAAUGUUCAAUGUGUAUCUAAAAAAAUGUCAAACAUGUAUAUAAAAAAAUGUUUAACGUGUAUUUGAAUAAAAAUUGACGUGUUUUAAAGGGUGAAAAAAAAGGAAAACCAAAAAAAUUAAAUACCACAAUGAAUAAAAAGUUGAUUAAAACAAAGAGAGAAACACACACAAAAAAGGAAAUGGAUAAACGGAUAAAGAAACACAAAAGGGCAAAAAACAUGCAUGAUAGAUUCUAAACACGGUAUUCUAUAGAACCAUCCCAAAACCGCUAUACUGGGCCGACCCACUAUGGCGAGCACAUAGCCGAGCCGCUUAAGGCGAGACAGAGCUAGCUGUGGCAGUAAGCGAGACAUAGCUCCGGCAUUCAUGGAUGCCAAUGCGGCAGGUAAGCUACUGGCUGUUGCUCGUCCCCACUCGGAAUGGAACGAAAUGGAAUCAAAUGUGAUACCCCGAACAACAGCAAUUGACGUAAAGGCAUUUACAGUGGUGCUAUUUUAAGACAACCGCAUGGGAUAAAUACCGAAAUGGGGAGAGAGAAACUAGAAAAUGGUUUGUCCUGUCUUAAUUAAGAGAUGCUCUCUUUGUACGGUUUCUCUCGCCACACAUUUUGGUGUAUCUAGUUAGUAGAGACAAGACUGAGUGAAAAGCCAUUGCACAGAUAGUUUUAUUGGCAUUGGCAUGAUUAGGACAAGACUUGACAACUAAUGUAAAUUGCCCUGAACAACGAACAAACGCCACACUCUAUUCCAGGUUCUGGAUCCAGAGGCGAAGCGAUCCCACGGCACAGUGGUUCACACAUCAGUGCCACCCAUGAACAGAGGAUCUAGAUCGUCGUACAAACACGCUUCAGAAAUUAAAACGGCCCGCGAUUCAUUCGACAGUGCACGCAGGGCCAUGGAUCGGGAGAUUAGCCUUUUCUUCCCACGCCCCCCGCAGGCCCGAGCGGGCGAGGCUGUCGGCGCAUCGGCGGCAGCAGCCGUCGCACGCACUGGCCGGCGACGUUCCACCCAACCCAACCACCGCGAGCUCGAUCGAGGACGAGGACUGGUGUGACAACCAAACUGAACUCUGCCGCCACCUUUCCCACGACCCUCUGCCGGGCCGCUUUGCGUCACGUGAGGCGGCCCCCGCUUCGGGCGCGCGGCCCAUGUCGACGUCGGCGUCGACCGACCGACGUGAAACCAAAGGGGUUGGUUCCGUUCCAUGAUUCGAUGGGCCCUCCGUCGCAAUUUCCAACCUGUCGCUCUUCGCCUCACGCAAGCUCGCAGCCAUGAUCGUUUGAGUGUUGCGUACUUCGACUGGCACCGAUGUUCGCUGCAUGCAUGUUACUCAUCGUUUGCUCUGCUUGCUGUUUGGUUAUCAGUGAAGCUAAAACUGAACCAACAGUGGGUGUCGAAGGAUUGCUUGUUCCGUUUUUAUGAAGGAAAAGGUGUUGAGUUAUUGAUAUUGGCAGCUUUGAGGGUGAGUUCAGGUGCUGUUGGCGGUGGUGGAAGCAUGGGUCAGCUGCGCGCGUAGCGUAGGAGGGUCUGACAGGUACUACUGCUAGAUGUCUUGUCACCCACAAAGCUAGCCAUAGUGAAAGUAACAUAACGCACCCCAAGACAGAUAUGAUUAUGUGGCAUGGAGUUAAUGAAGAGAGAGGUGCUUGUGGUAGUAACAUAGAGGGUGCUUGGAUCCAAGGGACUUAUUUUAGUCUGACUAAAAAUAGUCUCUUUAAGCGGCUAAAGUUCCAAGCACCUCUGACUAAAGAGGGACUAAAACUAGUCUUGAGACUAAAAUGUUUUAGUCAGGGUACCCCUAAUAAAAUGUGGAUUAGUCCUCUCUCUCCUCAUUUAACUCCUCUCUUUAACACAUGCGAGUUCUGGAUUGAAGGGUUUGGAGGAUAAUAAAUGCUCAUUAACUUGAUUUUAGUCUCUUUAGUAUUUGGAUCCAAGCAUGGGUGAGGCUAGCAAGUUUUAGUCCCACUAUUUUUAGUCAUGAGACUAAAACAUAUCCAAGCACCCUUAUAAUAUAUUAUCGUAACAUAACGCACUCCAAUGCAAAAUGAGUCUACAACAUAAUAAAUGAAAACAUGCAUAACACUACAUUUAUGUCACUAUCCACUAUGACUAGCCGAAGGGAUCUGGCUAGCCAGCUAGUUUGGCCUAGCCGGGCAUCAAUCGAGCCAGCCGCCACUCGCCCAUAUUGGAGUACUACUCAUACUGUAUCAUCACCACAAAAACAAAGCAAAACAAGUCGUCCAUCGGUGGCAUUGCGGUAUGCGAUUGCGGUGGGACGUGCUGGAUGGUCUCCCGACUCCCAUCACAGGUCGUGCAAGUAUACUCGUGGCAUCAAUUCUGCGCUAGUACUGUGCAUACGCAUCAAUUCUGCGCUAGUACUGUGCAUAUGCAAGUAUACAGUAGCUCUGAGUAAAAUUUAAGCACGUACAGAUGCAGCUGCUGGCUGUAGCCUGCUCUAACGUGGUGGCACUCCUACGAACGACGUGUACUGUGCAGUAAUUACUGCCGUUUGGAUUUAUUUUUUCUACUACAAACUUGAUGCCACUGUGGCAUCAUUGAUGAUACAGCUGGGCUCCCGUUUCCUUGUGCCCAGCAGGCGGACAUGGCGAGAAAAGUCACCCCUUGUCAUUCAAUUCUGUGCAUAUGGGAAGCAGGCAGGCAUCUCUGACCAUUUGACUCCCUCUAUUUCCCGCCCCCCUCUUCCCGGCCCGAGCAAACGAGACGGAAGUUUCAGGAGCCCGGGGGUUCACUUUUUUCAAAAGGACAGAGCCGUUCGUGACACCAGUUUGGUUCUUCUUCAUGGACGCUCACAGGCAGGUCCACCCGCCAGCGCAGCAACGGAGUCCUGACCCUGACCGUGUGUGAGGGGGCAUGCCUCCUCCGUGCGAUCACGUGCCUGCGCUCUUCCCGGCCUCCUCGUCGCCUUCCCCUCCCUGUUUUACCCCAGCGCAGCGGUGCACAGGUGGCGGUGCGUGUUAAUGUUACCAGCAGUUAGAGCAACUCCAACGGCCGAUUCAAACGGACGACGUUUUUGUCCGUUUUUUUCCGUUUGGGUCAGCUGCCCGCCCGGCGUCGGUCCUUUUUUAAAUUUGGAUCGGCAGUGCGUCCAACGCGCCGAUCCAUUUCAUGAUCGCGCGCGCAUAGAUUAUGCCAGCGGCCAUGUCGUCGCCCUGGUUUUGGCGCUCCAGCGCGCGGGGAAAAUCGGCCUAGCGCGCGCUGGUUUUGGCGCUCUAGGGCGCGGAAAAAGUUCGUGCGCUGGUUUUGGCGCGCCGCGUCCGGCGCUCGAUAUUAAGAAGGUGCUCCCUCCACACUCUGUGCGCCGCCCACUCGUCUCGAACCCACUCACUAGCCUCGCCGCCUCUGCGCCAUCAUGUCGAUGCGUCGCCUGGGCGCUUCGGAUUUUCGCGGAGUCCGCGAGCGCCGCUCCGGCGCGUUCUCCUCCAAGAUCUGGUUUGGCGAGAAACGCCUCAUUCUCGGCACUUUCGACACCGCAAAGGAGGCGGCCCGUGCGCACAACGCGGCGGCGUGGCGCCUCCUGAGGCCUCGUCGGGAGAUGAAUUUUCCCGGCGGGCGCAGGAUCUCGCGCCUCUCCCGCGGCUUUUCAUCGACAAGGAUCGUCGUGACCACCGGAGGCGACAGCGUCGCCUCGCCAUCGCCGAGAUGGACGUGGAAACCAUGGUGGUGUGGUGCGAACGCUUCCCGCAGGACAUAAUCGACGAGCGCCAGUUCUACAAGCAAAGGAGGACGGAGAGGGAGGCGAGGAGGACGGAGCGAGCCGUCUAUCGGGAGAACAAGCGUGCGUGGAAGCAGGCCGCUCAAUUAAAAAUGAAGCUAGGAGAAGCGUCCUCCUGGGACUUCCAGGACGAGCAGUAUGCUGACGCCUACAUUCAAACGUCGGAGAAAGACAUUAUCGAGUCGGAGUCGGAAAACGACGAGUAGCUGAUCUUUUUUUUAACAGUCUAUCCUAUGAACUAUUUAUGUGUCCAUAUUAUCCGACCACCAUCGGCUAGAUCCUGCGCUGACUGCCGACGAAGUAGUUCAUCUUUUCUUUUAACAGUUGAUCCUUGGUAUUAUCGAUGUUGAACUGGCCGACGGCCGACGAAAGAGGCGGGCAAGGGUGCGCUGCUGGAUGAGGAAAGGGCAAUGUGCCACCGACCAGCGGACCUGAGGAGGGAAGAGGAUGUGCGCGCGCGUCCGCACCGAUACAAACCCGGCUAAAAAAUGGGUCGGGAAUAGGUCGUUCACGGACGAAAAACAAACGCACGUCCGUUUAGAUCGGCGCGUUGCGUUGGUCCGCCUUUUUGUGCCCCCACUCAAACGACGGCGGAAGAUAAAAUGGGUCGCCCCCCUAAAGUUGCUCUUAGGCCAACUCCACCGCGCGACCCCAAACGGACGUCCGGAUUGGCCGGAUUUUGUCCCUUUGGGGCGCCGAUGGGUUCGCCCGUGUCCGCCUUUGUCAGAUGGGUCGUGCGUGCGCGCACCGCGCGGUCGCACCCCAAAUCGUGUCCGGGAUGGACGUGAAUAAAAGAAAUAUUAAAACUAAAACGAAAUAACUAAAAAACUAAAUAAACACAUUUUAAAAAAACAUAAAAUAUAUAUAAGGGGCGGCUACAAAACGGUCCAGUUUCCACGGCCACUUAAAAGGCCCAUUUUUCAUAAUUAACAUAUAAAACAAAAUAAAAAAAGCCUCCGCCUCCCGCGUGCUCCUGCCGCGCCCGUCGGUGCCGUGGCCGUCGUCAUCUUCACUAGCCGCCGGUGUCGUCGUCGUCGCUGACGAGGUCGACUUAGUCCGGCGGCGUCCAGAGGUGGGCCGGAGGUGCGUGGUGGACGGGGGCCGGCUGGACGGCCGGAGGUGCCUGCACCACCUCCUCCCGUGGCGAGGCCUCCCGGUCCGGUGACCGCGGCGGAGUGGGGCACCAGUUCACGCCCACGCCGGCGGCCAUCUCCGAAGCAGUGCAGGACCAGCCCCACUCCUGGCCCAGCAACUGCUGGAACGCGGCCGGCGGGCCGUCCCUCCUCUCCUCCUCGACAGGGAAGGCGACGUCCCCGGCGGCAGAGAGAGCCAUGGCCUCCUCCAGGCCGUCCCACUGCCGCUCGUCGUGCGUGUACAUGGACUCGUCCAUGACACGCUGCAGGAGACGGGCCUCCUCCUCGUCUGUCAUGCGAGGAGGUGGAGGGGGCGACGGAGACGGCGAUGGUGUGGGCGUGACGCCGCGGACCCGCCUACGUCCGCGCUUCUGGGCGCGCUCCCGUGGCCGCCGCGGCCCCGUCGAGGUGCCGGCGAAGAAGGAGGCGCGCCUGGUGUCGUGCUCGUCACGAAACCAGGUGUCCCAUAGCGGGGAGUCGGGGGCGUACCUGGCGUCAUAGUAAAGGUCGUCGGGAAGGAGGCGGCGGCGGCGCUCGAUCUCCUCGGCGCGCGCACGGCCGCUCUUCGGGACCGGCGGGAUGGGGACCCGGUCGGCGGAGAGGUGUCAGUCAUUGGGGAGAUGGGCGUCGCCCCAGGGAGCGGUGUCCUCGUCUCCCAAUAACGGCGGCAGACCGACGCCCGGACGUAAUGCCGGUCGCGCGCGCCGGCGGACGUGGGCGCGAUGGAGAAGGCGGACGGCGCGGGGGCCCGGCGUGGUGGCGAUGGCGAGGUGGGCUCCUCCUUCUUCACCGAGCCGCGCGGCAGCGUCCCGACGAGGAGCCGGCCUCGCGGUCGUGCCUGCCUUUGCGGCCGUAGUUCCAGAGGCCCAUGGUUGCGGGCGGCCGGCCGGCGAGGUCUAGGCUAGGGUUUUGGGACGUGGUCGCCGCUGUCGGUUUCGAGGAGGCCGGGGGGUGGCGUGGGGCAGUGUGGACGAUGACCCGUCCACGCUUCCCACUUAAAGAAGGACGGCGACCGCUCGACGUGCGGAUGACAGGUGGGGCUGCCCGCUCGUGCGCAUUGAUGUGGAUGGGUGGGAGGUAGGUGGCCGCCUGCCACGCGGCCUCAAUGCGGACGAGCGCGCGUCCGUUUGGUGUCCGCCGCGACCCAAAUCCGGAGCAAGUUUGCGCUCGAAAUGGGUCGGCCCGAACACAAAACGGACAAGAUGGGUCCGGACCGUCGCGCACUGGACCGCCUUCUUUGUCCGUUUUACCCCAAACGGACGGGGCCGGACAGGAUAGGGUCGCGCAGUGGAGUUGGACUUAGUUACCCGACUGCGGCCGGCCGACUGACUGGACGUACGUACAGUACGCCGGCGACCCGCAGCCCCUUGCAUUACUGUGACGCGGGCAGGGCCUGGGACCCCGCGUUCAUGUAGAUCUUCGUUUGGACAGGCCGGCCUCAUGAGAUGAGAUUAGAUGAUUCAAACACACCCAGCGCCAGGGCAAGUCUUAUCUUGCUGGUGUCCCGGGCUUUGUGAUUGAUUUAUACUGUGAUCCUCGCACAUGGCCGGCACACGGUUUUAAGUGCGCGUACGGCGCAGCUCGCUUGGACGCCACCUCAGGUAGCACGUAUGCACGUCGAGAGAUACACGAAUCAUUGCACAUCCAGGCCACCCCAAAGUGGUUCGGCAAUAUACGGAGUGGUUGACUCUGAAAAUUACUCCAUUCUUCAGGUGGCUGGUGGUGGCAGCAAGCCAACGAGAGGAGGCCUGGUUCGCGACAUCUUUUCUUCUGGUUUCUUGAAGCAGGAGCCUGGCAGGAAACGUCGCGUGUGGGGUGGUGAGGGGAGAUGAAUGGGGGUGACGUCUCGCGUGGUACGCAGCCUUUGGUUUGGCCUACGCUUGUGUCUGAGUUCAAAAGCUUUCUGCUCGUACAGGAGUACCGCGCGUCAGUUUGGUCCGCGCCGGGACAUCGCUGGCAGCCGGCUCGGCCGCCGUGCGCGCGCUGCGGUGCCAGCGACGCAGGCAAAGGACCAUUGCAUGCGAGGCGGCUGCACCUGCUCGCCGAUGCAAACUCUUUUGAAGCGACCGAGAUUUUCUGAAGCAAGCCUGCAAACUCAUAAAGAGCAGUACUAGUAUGCACCUGCUCGCCAAUGGCCAACCCUGAACUAACCCUAAACUAACUCUAGCCAAAGAGGUGUUUGGAUGGCAGGGUUAGAUGAAGCGCGGAUACGGCGAGGCGCCUUCACGGGCAAUGCGAGAGGGAGGGAGGAAAAGGGCGAGAAGCUUCCAGAAAGUGGAGAGGGAUCUGCUACGGGAAAAGCGAGAGAAAAAAUGUGUUUUUUAAUGAUCCCAAAAAGAACUAACCCAAAUAAACACCUCUUGAAUGGGUUAGAUUUUUUAGAUGGAUUAAAUGCAUCUAAUCCAAACUAACCCUCAUGUUUGAAUACUUUUGAGUUAGUUAAGUACAAACUAACUCAGACUAACUCUAAUCCAUGGAUCCAAACAGGGUCAUUACAAGGUUGCAAUCCAAAGUAUGUUAUGUUUUCCCCUUUUGAAUACGGGCUGUACGGGUUUGGAGUCCAAUGACAGAUUGUCGGCGCAUGCGCUGCCGCGGCCGUAUAGCCUGGGUGGGCACCACGACGGCUGGCCGGCCGGGGACACGCGCACCGGCCUCCACUCCCAUCCCCGUACCACGUCCGAUACCACCGGACGAAGUAAACCCUGCCCUACCCGGCACCAACUCCAAACACGGCCCGAGAUCGGGCCAACCAACUCGACUUUUAGCGCGUCCUCACGUGGGCCGUUGGCUCGCUCUCGCUCUCGCUCUCGCAGUCGCACCCACCGGCACACCACACCUCGCGCCGCAAAAGACGUCGUCCACCGGUCCACGUAUGUACCCGACCUUUGCAUUAUUGCCAUGGGAAUGGGAGAUUUUCGCUUGGCCUCGCCGCCAACCACCAUCCACGUACGUACCCUGGACGCGCCAGCCAGCCGCAUGCACGACGCCGCUGCCGGUUGGGCGCUCUCGCGCACAGUGCCGCCGACGCCGACAGGCCAACGGGCAAGCCAUGUCAUCGUGCAGUGGCCUCGACGGCGGCCGCGGUCACUUCUUGCCGGGUGCUGGGGCAGAAAAGAUCGAUACGUGCACAUAGGUAGAGCAUGCAUGAAGUGCUGUGACUUCUUGUGCAUGGAGGGCGAUCGAAAGUAACUAACCGGAGUCAUGGCACUGUGAUCCGGUCACCGCGACUUGACUUGUGAACAUGUGAUGGGGUGACGUUCUUGCUGUUCAUCAAGCAACGGUUCAUUCUCAAGCUCAACAAGGUCAUAGCCAUGGGACCCGCGGAGUAGUGCUCUCGCUAUGUGAACUGUAAACGUGGGUCCUGCCUCUGGGGGAAACAGCUGGCGAGAUCGAUAAAAGGGUAAAAUUAUGUUGUUCCGUGUACCGCAACAGUGCAGGGAUUUAACGGGCCAACUGCCCGUGGAAACUUGUGCCCCCCCUUCCCCCGCGACAAGUCAACAAAAUGGGUUCGAUGCCACAAACGAUGUACUGGAGCUUUCAGAGCUCAUGUAGUGAGAAAGGGAACACCCACAAUGUUGUCAAUGGAGGAGGAAAUGGAACUGUUGUACGAGAGAUGUGGAUGACUGGAUGUAUUGAUGAUGUUGCUGUGUGCAACCGACGACUUGGUGUCUUGGUGACAAGACAUAUUCGGGAAUUAGGAUGGCGUCCUCGCAUUGCAUGUGGACAUGCAAAGUACGGUCUAUACAAGAUCAUGGUACUACGUGACCAAACCUAGCUCAAAAUUUCAAAUUCAGACCCCGAUCAGAGUAGGAGUGAAGAACACUUUGAGCAUAAAGUUGACUCAUUGAUUACAUCACUUAUCAACAUGUACAGCUAAGAUUGGGUGAUGGAGGGGAAGCGGCAUGCCUCCUGGCCGCCCAUCACGUGCACCAGCUGUCCAGCAAAGCCGAACCGGAGCCAGCCGGACACCUACGCAGCGGCAGGGACAGUCGCUCAUCCCAUGAUGCUCGCCGCGUACAGGUGCCCUCAUCCGGUGUAUCAUCCGGCGGUGAGGUGGCCUACGGAUGGCCCAUCGCCACCACAUUCCUGUGCUCCUUCCUAUCCCAAAACCACGAGCUAUCCCUCCCCGCUGUUCACUUAUCCUGUUGCGGUGCAACGUAGAUGCAGAUAUUUUGCUGAUGAGCGAAAAGUUAUUCGUUCCAGCAGCCCCCCGUCCCCAUUCAUUCAUGGCUUCAUGCAUGCAUCCAUCCAUGCAAGGCAGGCACGCGGUUCGUUUCUUCAGGCUUUGCCUGUGUUUGUUUGCCAUGUAGUAUCUCUGCCGCGCCCAAGACAUCUGCGUUUCAGCUCUGCUCUGUCUAGAUUGUCUCGCUCUUCGCACUGAAAAAAAUCCACAUCGGCAUUCUGUUCUGUCGCGUAUGUAGCAACAACAUUGAAGAAAAUGUGGAGGAAGCAGGGCAAGAUGGCCAGAACGGACCCAUGCGGCGUGGGCGGUAGAGGGACCCUGUUCCUACACAUGUUCAUUCCUGGAACGCAAAGCAUGGAACCACAUCAAAGCAGAUGAAAAGCGGGGGAGCUUAGCUUUAACCCUUUGCAUCAGCCGUAAGGCAACGGAAAGUUGCAUUGUGUCAGGCAGGCGCAACCUCUCCGUGGGCUUUUUUCUUGUGUACGUACGCCUCUGCGAGCCUGCGCUGCGCGCGAGGAGAUCUUGGACCUUGUGUGUGAUUGUGAAAGAAGCAUCCACAUCCGCCUCUUUUGGGUGAAGUUGUGCUCACUCCACGCACGAUGAUGAGAUGGCUCUGCAAGCCUGGCGGCACGUGAAGCAGCUAUGUACUCAGCUUUACAUGUAAAUCCCGCUACGACGCUUUGUUUAGAAUUGCACCAACUGACAGCUCCACCGUUUAAUAUAAAUACGUAUUCGGUCUACGAUUUAGAAUCGUCCGGAUCAGUGUCAAAGCUUGCAUCAACGUAACCUUUUACGAUGAGCUCUUUGUCACCUCCAUAUACGACAAAACAUAUCCUUAGUCCUUUUCAGGUAUUUCAGAAUAUUCUUGACCGCUGUCCAGUGAUCCACUCCUGGAUUACUUUGAUACCUCCCUGCUAAGCUUAUGGCAAGGCACACAUCAGGUCUGGUACACAGCAUUGCAUACAUGAUAGAGCCUAUGGCUGAAGCAUAGGGAACAUCUUUCAUUUUCUCUCUAUCUUCUGCAGUGGUCGGGCAUUGAGUCUGACUCAACUUCACACCUUGUAACACAGGCAAGAACCCUUUCUUUGCUUUAUGCAUUUUGAACUUUUUCAAAAUCUUGUCAAGGUAUGUGCUUUGUGAAAGUCCAAUUAAGCGUUUUGAUCUAUCUCUAUAGAUCUUUAUGCCUAAUAUGUAAGCAGCUUCACCGAGGUCUUUCAUUGAAAAACUCUUAUUCAAGUAUCCCUUUAUGCUAUCCAGAAAUUCUAUAUCAUUUCCAAUCAGUAAUAUGUCAUCCACAUAUAAUAUCAUAAAUGCUACAGAGCUCCCACUCACUUUGUUGUAAAUACAGGCUUCUCCGAAAGUCUGUAUAAAACCAAAUGCUUUGAUCACACUAUCAAAACGUUUAUUCCAACUCCGAGAGGCUUGCACCAGUCCAUAAAUGGAUCGCUGGAGCUUGCACACUUUGUUAGCUCCCUUUGGAUCGACAAAACCUUCCGGCUGCAUCAUAUACAACUCUUCUUCCAGAAAUCCAUUCAGGAAUGCAGUUUUGACAUCCAUCUGCCAAAUUUCAUAAUCAUAAAAUGCGGCAAUUGCUAACAUGAUUCGGACAGACUUAAGCAUCGCUACGGGUGAGAAGGUCUCAUCGUAGUCAAUCCCUUGAACUUGCCGAAAACCUUUUGCGACAAGUCGAGCUUUGUAGACAGUAAUAUUACCGUCAGCGUCAGUCUUCUUCUUGAAGAUCCAUUUAUUCUCAAUUGCUUGCCGAUCAUCGGGCAAGUCAACCAAAGUCCAUACUUUGUUCUCAUACAUGGAUCCCAUCUCAGAUUUCAUGGCUUCAAGCCAUUUUGCGGAAUCUGGGCUCACCAUCGCUUCUUCAUAGUUCGUAGGUUCAUCAUGAUCUAGAAGCAUGACUUCCAGAACAGGAUUACCGUACCACUCUGGCGCGGAUCUUACUCUGAUUGAUCUACGAGGUUCAGUAGUAUCUUGAUCUGAAGUUUCAUGAUCAUCAUCAUUAGCUUCCUCACUAACUGGUGUAGGUGUCACUGAAACAGUUUUCUGUUAUGUACUACUUUCUAAUAAGGGAGCGGGUACAGUUACCUCGUCAAGUUCUACUUUCCUCCCACUCACUUCUUUCGAGAGAAACUCCUUCUCCAGAAAGUUUCCGAACUUAGCAACAAAAGUCUUGCCUUCGGAUCUGUGAUAGAAGGUGUAUCCAAUAGCUUCCUUUGGAUAUCCUAUGAAGACACAUUUCUCCGAUUUGGAUUCGAGCUUAUCAGGUUGAAGCUUUUUCACAUAAGCAUCGCAGCCCCAAACUUUCAGAAACGACAACUUUGGUUUCUUGCCAAACCACAGUUCAUAAGGCGUCGUCUCAACGGAUUUUAAUAGUGCCCUAUUUAACGUGAAUGCGGCCGUCUCUAGAGCGUAUCCCCAAAACGAUAGCGGUAAAUCAGUAAGAGACAUCAUAGAUCGCACCAUGUCUAGUAAAGUACGAUUAUGACGUUCGGACACACCAUUACGCUGUGGUGUUCCGGGUAGCGUGAGUUGCGAAACUAUUCCAUAAUUUUUCAAAUGUACACCAAACUCGUAACUCAAAUAUUCUCCUCCACGAUGAGAUCAUAGAAACUUUAUUUUCUUGUUACGAUGAUUUUCAACUUCACUUUGAAAUUCUUUGAACUUUUCAAAUGUUUCAGACUUAUGUUUCAUUAAGUAGAUAUACCCAUAUCUGCUUAAGUCAUCUGUGAAGGUGAGAAAAUAACGAUAUCCGCCACGAGCCUCAAUAUUCAUCGGACCACAUACAUCUGUAUGUAUGAUUUCCAACAAAUCUGUUGCUCUCUCCAUAGUACCGGAGAACGGUGUUUUAGUCAUCUUGCCCAUGAGGCACGGUUCGCAAGUACCAAGUGAUUCAUAAUCAAGUGGUUCCAAAAGUCCAUCAGCAUGGAGUUUCUUCAUGCGCUUUAUACCGAUAUGACCUAAACGCCAGUGCCACAAAUAAGUUGCACCAUCAUUAUCAACUCUGCAUCUUUUGGCUUCAACAUUAUGAAUAUGUGUGUCACUACUAUCGAGAUUCAAUAAGAAUAGACCAUUCUUCAAGGGUGCAUGACCAUAAAAGAUAUUACUCAUAUAAAUAGAACAACCAUUAUUCUCUGAUUUAAAUGAAUAACCGUCUCGCAUCAAACAAGAUCUAGAUAUAAUGUUCAUGCUUAACGCUGGCACCAAAUAACAAUUAUUUAGGUCUAAUAUUAAUCCCGAAGGUAGAUGUAGAGGUAGCGUGCCGACCGCGAUCACAUCGACUUUGGAACUGUUUCCCAUGCGCAUCGUCACCUCGUCCUUAGCUAAUCUUCGCUUAAUCCGUAGUCCCUGUUCCGAGUUGCAAAUAUUAGCAACAGAACCAGUAUCAAAUACCCAGGUGCUACUGCGAGCAUUAGUAAGGUACACAUCAAUAACAUGUAUAUCACAUAUACCUUUGUUCACCUUGCCAUCCUUCUUAUCCGCCAAAUACUUGGGGCAAUUCCGCUUCCAGUGACCAGUCUGCUUGCAGUAGAAGCACUCAGUUUCAGGCUUAGGUCCAGACUUGGGUUUCUUCUCUUGAGCAGCAACUUGCUUGCCGUUCUUCUUGAAGUUUCCCUUCUUCUUCCCUUUACCCUUUUUCUUGAAACUAGUGGUCUUGUUGACCAUCAACACUUGAUGCUCCUUCUUGAUUUCUACCUCCGCAGCUUUCAGCAUUGCGAAGAGCUCGGGAAUAGUCUUAUUCAUCCCUUGCAUAUUAUAGUUCAUCACGAAGCUCUUGUAGCUUGGUGGCAGUGAUUGGAGAAUUCUGUCAAUGACGCAAUCGUCCGGAAGAUUAACUCCCAAUUGAAUCAAGUGAUUAUUAUACCCAGACAUUUUGAGUAUAUGCUCACUGACAGAACUGUUCUCUUCCAUCUUGCAGCUAUAGAACUUAUUGAAGACUUCAUAUCUCUCAAUCCGGGCAUUUGCUUGAAAUAUUAACUUCAACUCUUGGAACAUCUCAUAUGCUCCCUGACGUUCAAAACGUCGUUGAAGUCCCGAUUCUAAGCCGUAAAGCAUGGCGCACUGAACUAUCGAGUAGUCAUCAGCUUUGCUCUGCCAGACGUUCAUAACAUCUGGUGUUGCUCCAGCAGCAGGCCUGGCAUCCAGCGGUGCUUCCAGGACGUAAUUCUUCUGUGCAGGAAUGAGGAUAAUCCUCAAGUUACGGACCCAGUCUGUGUAAUUGCUACCAUCGUCUUUCAACUUUGUUUUCUCAAGGAACGCAUUAAAAUUCAACGGAACAACAGCACGAGCCAUCUAUCUACAAUCAAACAUAAACAAGCAAGAUACUAUCAGGUACUAAGUUCAUGAUAAAUUUAAGUUCAAUUAAUCAAAUUAUUUAAGAAAUCCCACUUAGAUAGACAUCCCUCUAAUCCUCUAAGUGAUCACGUGAUCCAAAUCAACUAAACCAUGUCCGAUCAUCACGUGAGAUGGAGUAGUUUCAUUGGUGAACAUCACUAUGUUGAUCAUAUCUACUAUAUGAUUCACGCUCGACCUUUCGGUCUCCGUGUUCCGAGGCCAUAUCUGUAUAUGCUUGGCUCGUCAAGUAUAACCUGAGUAUUCCGCCUGUGCAACUGUUUUGCACCCGUUGUAUUUGAACGUAGAGCCUAUCACACCCGAUCAUCACGUGGUGUCUCAGCACGAAGAACUUUCGCAACGGUGCAUACUCAGGGAGAACACUUCUUGAUAAUUAGUGAGAGAUCAUCUUAUAAUGCUACCGUCAAUCAAAGCAAGAUAAGAUGCAUAAAAGAUAAACAUCACAUGCAAUCAAUAUGAGUGAUAUGAUAUGGCCAUCAUCGUCUUCUGCCUGUGAUCUCCAUCUCCGAAGCACCGUCAUGAUCACCAUCGUCACCGGCGCGACACCUUGAUCUCUAUCGUAGCAUCGUUGUCGUCUCGCCAAUCUUAUGCUUCCAUGACUAUCGCUACCGCUUAGUGAUAAAGUAAAGCAUUACAUCGCGAUUGCAUUGCAUACAAUAAAGCGACAACCAUAUGGCUCCUGCCAGUUGCCGAUAACUCGGUUACAAAACAUGAUCAUCUCAUACAAUAAUAUUUAGCAUCAUGUCUUGACCAUAUCACAUCACAACAUGCCCUGCAAAAACAAGUUAGACGUCCUCUACUUUGUUGUUGCAAGUUUUAUGUGGCUGCUACGGGCUUAAGCAAGAACCAAUCUCACCUACGCAUCAAAACCACAACGAUAGUUUGUCAAGUUGAUGCCGUUUUAACCUUCGCAAGGACCGGGCGUAGCCACACUUGAUUCAACUAAAGUUGGAGAAACAGUCACCCGCAAGCCACCUCUGUGCAAAGCAAGCCGGGAGAACCGGUCUCGCGUAAGCGUACGCGUAAUGUUGGUCCGGGCCGCUUCAUCCAACAAUACCGCCGAACCAAAGUAUGACAUGCUGGUAGGCAGUAUGACUUAUGUCGCGCACAACUCGCUUGUGUUCUACUCGUGCAAAUAACAUCAAACCAUAAAACCUAGGCUCGGAUGCCACUAUUGGGUUUCGUAGUAAUUUCAAUAGUUUUCCUACGCCCACGCAAGAUCAUGGUGAUGCAUAGCAACAAGAGAGGAGAGUGUUGUCUACGUACCCUCGUAGACCGCAACGAAAGUGUUGACGCAACGUAGAGGAAGUAGUCGUACGUCUUCCCGAUCCGACCGAUCCAAGCACCGUUACUCCGGCACCUCCGAGUUCUUAGCACACAUACAGCUCGAUGACGCUCCCCGGGCUCCGAUCCAGCAAAGCUUCGGGGAUGAGUUCUGUCAGCACAACGGCGUGGUGACGAUGAUGAUGUUCUACCGACGCAGGGCUUCGCCUAAGCACUACAACGAUAUGAUCGAGGUGGAAUAUGGUGGCAGGGGGCACCGCACACGGCUAAGGAACGAUCACGUGGAUCAACUUGUGUGUCUAGGGGUGCCCCCUACCCCCGUAUAUAAAGGAUCCAAGGGGGGGUGCGGCCGGCCCUAUGGAGGCGCGCAGGAGGAGUCCUACUCCCACCGGGAGUAGGACUCCCCUCCCCUUUUCCUUGUCCAACUAGGAGAGGUGGAGGGAGAAUAGGAAAGGGGGGGCGCCGCCCCUCCCUCCUUGUCCAAUUCGGACUAGGGGGAGAGGGGGCGCGCGGCCUGCCCUGGCAGCCCCUUCCUCUUCUCCACAUUAGGCCCAUGAGGCCCAUUAACCCCCCGGGGGGUUCAGGUAACCCCCCGGUGCUCCGGUUUUAUCCGAUACUAAUCCGGAACGCUUCCGGUGUCCGAAUAUAGUCAUCCAAUAUAUCAAUCUUUAUGUCUCGACCAUUUCGAGACUCCUCGUCAUAUCCAUGAUCACAUCCGGGACUCCGAACUAACUUCGGUACAUCAAAAUGCAUAAACUCAUAAUAACUGUCAUCGUAACGUUAAGCGUGCGGACCCUACGGUUCGAGAACAAUGUAGACAUGACUGAGACAUAUCUCCGGUCAAUAACCAAUAGCGGGACCUGGAUGCCCAUAUUGGCUCCUACAUAUUCUACGAAGAUCUUUAUCGGUCGGACCGCAUAACAUCAUACGUUGUUCCCUUUGUCAUCGGUAUGUUACUUGCCCGAGAUUCGAUCGUUGGUAUCCAAUACCUAGUUCAAUCUCGUUACCGGCAAGUCUCUUUACUCGUUGUGUAAUACAUCAUCUCGCAACUAACUCAUUAGUCGCAAUGCUUGCAAGGCUUAUGUGAUGUGCAUUACCGAGAGGGCCCAGAGAUACCUGUCCGACAAUCGGAGUGACAAAUCCUAAUCUCGAAAUACGCCAACCCAACAUCUACCUUUGGAGACACCUGUAGAGCUCCUUUAUGAUUACCCAUUUACGUUGUGACGUUUGGUAGCACACAAAGUGUUCCUCCGGCAAACGGGAGUUGCAUAAUCUCAUAGUCAUAGGAACAUGUAUAAGUCACGAAGAAAGCAAUAGCAACAUACUAAACGAUCGGGUGCUAAGCUAAUGGAAUGGGUCAUGUCAAUCAGAUCAUUCACCUAAUGAUGUGAUCCCGUUAAUCAAAUAACAACUCUUUGUUCAUGGUUAGGAAACAUAACCAUCUUUGAUUAACGAGCUAGUCAAGUAGAGGCAUACUAGUGACACUAAGUUUGUCUAUGUAUUCACACAUGUAUUAUGUUUCCGGUUAAUACAAUUCUAGCAUGAAUAAUAAACAUUUAUCAUGAUAUAAGGAAAUAAAUAAUAACUUUAUUAUUGCCUCUAGGGCAUAUUUCCUUCAGAAGGCGGCGGAGGCAGCGGGCGGAGGGAGCCCGAGCGGCGCCGGGCAUGGGGCGGCGACGAGCGCGGCGCAGUAGCGCGCGAGCGGACGACGGUUGCGGUGGCGUGUGUGGGGGCGGCGGUGGCAGCUACGGAAGCGGGCGAGGCGGGGAAAUGCAGCGGAGCAGGCGGGGGCAGGGUAGCAGGCAGAGCGGCGCGCCGGGACCUGCCGAAGCGCGGGCGAACNNNNNNNNNNNNNNNNNNNNNNNNNNNNNNNNNNNNNNNNNNNNNNNNNNNNNNNNNNNNNNNNNNNNNNNNNNNNNNNNNNNNNNNNNNNNNNNNNNNNNNNNNNNNNNNNNNNNNNNNNNNNNNNNNNNNNNNNNNNNNNNNNNNNNNNNNNNNNNNNNNNNNNNNNNNNNNNNNNNNNNNNNNNNNNNNNNNNNNNNNNNNNNNNNNNNNNNNNNNNNNNNNNNNNNNNNNNNNNNNNNNNNNNNNNNNNNNNNNNNNNNNNNNNNNNNNNNNNNNNNNNNNNNNNNNNNNNNNNNNNNNNNNNNNNNNNNNNNNNNNNNNNNNNNNNNNNNNNNNNNNNNNNNNNNNNNNNNNNNNNNNNNNNNNNNNNNNNNNNNNNNNNNNNNNNNNNNNNNNNNNNNNNNNNNNNNNNNNNNNNNNNNNNNNNNNNNNNNNNNNNNNNNNNNNNNNNNNNNNNNNNNNNNNNNNNNNNNNNNNNNNNNNNNNNNNNNNNNNNNNNNNNNNNNNNNNNNNNNNNNNNNNNNNNNNNNNNNNNNNNNNNNNNNNNNNNNNNNNNNNNNNNNNNNNNNNNNNNNNNNNNNNNNNNNNNNNNNNNNNNNNNNNNNNNNNNNNNNNNNNNNNNNNNNNNNNNNNNNNNCAUGGUGACGAGGUGCAGGCCGGCGAGGAGGAGGAGGCAGGUCGGCGAGGUCGCGACGUCUUGGGCGUCGGGGCAGAGGAGGCGCCGGCAAGGUGGUCCUAGGCGGCGGCGGCGUGGUCCGAGCCCCCCUUUUUCCGAUCCAGAUCGGGAUCGAUGGGAGGUGGAGGAGAGACGUGGGGGAGUGGAAGGGGCGAGUGGGGCGGUGAGGGGUUAGGGUUUCCGUCGGGGUGGGAUAAGGGGAGUGAGGGGUGGCCAGCUGGGCCGGCCUGGUGGACGGAGCCGACUGGGCCAAGAGGCCCAAUGGGAAAAAAGCGGGGGGGGUGGCCUUUGCCUUUUUAUUUGUUUUCCUUUUUAUUUCUUUUCUGUUUUAUUACAUUCAUCAAUUUAUUUUAGUUUUGUAAAAUAUAUUAUUAAUACCUAAAUUAGUUUUAUUAAUUACACCAUGGCCACAAAAGUUUAAACCCCAAAUAAAUUAGUUUAAAAUUUUAUAAAGUAUAAAAGGUAUUUAACUAAAUGUUUUUCAUGCUGUUUUAUUUAUUCAAGAGCAUUUAAUUAUUUCAUAAAAAUGUGGUCUCUCCACCCUAAUUACCUAUGCAAUAUUUGGUUCACUCCGAACAUUUUAGUUUUAAUAUUUGAAAAAAUUUAUUGUUUGCUUGAUUUUGAAUUUGAAUUUGAAUCGGUUUCAAACUAACACGAGAUUAGCAACAGUAAUUGAAGUGAUGUGGCAUCAUUAGUAGAGGGUUACUGUAGCUUAAUUAUUCGGGCGUCACAGCUAUGCAUCACCAUGAUCUUGCGUGUGCGUAGGAAUUUUUUUUGAAAUUAUUACGUUCCCCAACAGCGCCGCACACGGCUAAGAGAUUGGCGUGGUCUUUUGUGUGCUACCCCCUCCCACAUAUAUAUAGGUGGGAGAGAGGGGAGGCAGCCAGGAGGCGCCCCAAGGGUGGCCGAAUCCCCCUUGGGCUCCUGCCCUUGGCUGCCCCCCUUUCCUUGUUUGUGCGCGGAAGGAAGGCACGGGGAAGUGGCGCCCCCUCCCCCUCCCCCUUUCCUUUCUCUCAUGAGGAGGGAAAGGCGGGAGGGGCCAACCCUCCCCCUUUCCUUCCCCUAGGGCCGGAGGCUAGGGAGAUGGGCGCACCAGCCCCUUGUGGGCUGGUGUGUUCCCCCCUUUGGCCCAUUAAGCCCAUAUAGCCUCCUGGGGCUCCUGGAACCCCUUUCGGUGAUCCGACGACUACUGGGUACCUCCCGAAACUCUUCCGAUGUCCAAAUAUUAUCGUCCUAUAUAUCGAUCUUUACCUCCGGAUUAUUCCGGAGCUCCUCGUCAUGUCUGUGAUCUCAUCCGGGACUCCAAACAACAUUCGUUCACCAAAUCACAUGACUCGUAUAAUACUAUAUCGUCAACGAAUGUUAAGCGUGUGGAUCCUACGGGUUCAAGAACUAUGUAGACAUGACCGAGACACCUCUCCGGUCAAUAACCAGUAGCGAAACCUAGAUGCCCAUAUUGAUUCCCACAUAUUCUAUGAAGAUCUUUAUCGGUCGAACCAUUAUGACAACAUACGUGAUUCCCUUUGUCUGUCGGUUUGUUACUUGCCCGAGAUUCCAUCGUCGGUAUCUCCAUACCUAGUUCAAUCUCAUUACUGGCAAGUCUCUUUACUCAUUCCGUAAUGCAACAUCUCGUAACUAACUCCUUAGUCAUUUUGCUUGCAAGCUCAUUGUGAUGUUUAUUGCUGAGAGGGUCCAGAGAUACCUCUCCGAUACACGGAGUGACAAAUCCUAAUCUCGAUCCAUGCCAACUCAAUAGACACAUUCGGAGAUACCUGUAGAGUAUCUUUAUGAUCACCCAGUUACGUUGCGAUGUUUGAUAGCACACAAGGUAUUCCUCCGGUAUUUGAGAGUUGCAUGAUCUCAUAGUCGAAGGAAUAUGUAUUUGACAUUAAGAAAGCAAUAGCAAUAAACUGAACGAUGAUAUGCUAAGCUAACGGAUAGGUCUUGUCCAUCACAUCAUUCUCCUAAUGAUGUGAUCUCGUCAUCAAGUGACAACUCAUGUCUAUGGUUAGGAAACCUUAACCAUUUUUUAUCAACGAGCUAGUCUAGUAGAGGCUCACUAGGGACACGAUAUUUGUUUAUGUAUCCACAUGUAUUUAAGUUUCCGGUCAAUACAACUCUAGCAUGAAUAAUAAACCUUUAUCAUGAUUAAGGAAAUAUAAUAAUAACUAUUUUAUUAUUACCUCUAGGGCUCUAGGGCAUAUUUCCAUCACGUAACAUGGUCAUCUCCGACAAUGCCCGACUCAACUUAGACCGACUCGUCGAGAAGAUUAAAUUGAAGGCUAGACAAUCGGCCUUAGCAGGCACAAGUAGGUUUAUAAAUUUCUUUUGGAAGCGAGCACAUCCUCGAUCGACGUAGGCGCUCGUGGUGCCUUAAGAGCAACUCUAGUAGAUCCGCUAAAAUCUCACCGCCCCUUAUAAUUCCGGGCGUUUUACAGGUUUUGCACAUUUUCGGGCCCGAGCAGAUCUGCUAAAAAUGGCUUGCCCGUAAAAGAAUAUAGAGGGAUCUCGUUAAAAUCCUCCUCCACUGCUAUAUUUUCCGGAUAGCGGUUAAAGUGCAUCUGGAGUUCCCAUCCUCCAUAUUCGGCGAUGCUCUUUGGUCGCACACCAAGAGGUGUCGCGAGACGGGGGACGAGCUCCUUGCCGAGCAGCGCGUAGGGGUGGCCGGAGAAGAAGGCGUCGACGAGCGUCUCGCCGCCGCCAAGGAAGAGCAUGCGUACGCCAAUGCUCUCCGGAGGUCGGCGGAGGAGCUCUACCUCAGCGGCAAGCCAUGAGCCGCCCACCCCUAGGUUUAGAUUAGUUUGAUCUAUGUUUUUAUGUUUAAAUGUACGAUGAACUCCCGUGGUGAACUUUUGUGGCACGAACAUCGUUUUAAAUUUACAGUGUCGUUUUUUAGCUGAUCUAUUCUGUCGUGUUGUGCGAUCACUGCACGGGUCGAGCCACACAACACUAGUAUCCAUCGUUUACGGCUAGGACUACUAGGGUCUCUAAUCACAUUUGCUUCCCUAGUUUUCGUCUCUCUCGAUGUCAGUGUCUGCCCAGUAGAGUGCUUUCGUUGUUGGUGUUCUUUCCGAUCUCAAAGCAUUUCACUACUCCAUCGAAGAUUCGCUCUGCCCCUACCGUACUUCAGCUUGGUGGUUUCCAUCGCGUGUCCAGGUUUGACAGUGCAAAUUCGUUUUAGAGGAUCCCUCAAACGAACUUGACGGUACAGAUUUUUAGCUAGAGUUGCUCUAAGCUGGAACCCUGCCGUGUCGGCCUCACCCCCACACGGCGCUGCCGGUGCUGCGCCUAUCACCACUUCACCAGGGCUCCUAGUCCUAUAUAUCCAUCCCGCUGCCCCCCUUCUCGUCGUCGUCUCACUCUCACCAGGCAGCAGAUCGAGCCCUGCCCUGCGCAGCGAGGGAAAGAGACACACACAGCACAGCGCCACCAGGCAAGUAGGAGUAAAAGGCAAAAGCACGGCACAUUAAAAGGGGAGGCCGGACCGGACCGGACCGGAGCCAAGCAGCAGCCGCAGCCGCAGCCGCAGCAGAGGAGAGAGAGAGAGAGAGAGAGAGAGAGAGAGAGAGAGAGAGAGAGAGAGAGAGAGAGAGAGAGCGGCAUAUAUGGCGAUGCCCUUUGCCUCCCUGUCGCCGGCAGCCGACCACCACCGCUCCUCCCCCAUCUUCCCCUUCUGCCGCUCCUCCCCUCUCUACUCGUAAGCCCGCCGGCCAGCUCCCUCUUUUCUUUCUUUGUAUCAACUUCUAUCUGUAGCUCGAGGUGUUAGCUAAUGCGGUGACCGGCUCCGGCGUGUUUGUGUGUGUGUGUGUGCAGGGCAGGGGAGGAGGCGGCGCAGCAGCAGCAGCAGCAGCAGCACGCGAUGAGCGGCGCGAGGUGGGCGGCGGCGAGGCCGGCGACCUUCACGGCGGCGCAGUACGAGGAGCUGGAGCAGCAGGCGCUCAUCUACAAGUACCUCGUCGCCGGCGUGCCCGUCCCGCCGGAUCUCCUCCUCCCCAUCCGCCGGGGCUUCGACUCCCUCGCCUCGCGCUUCUACCACCACCACGCCCGUACGUGCCCCCCCAUAGAUUCCUCCUCCUCCUACCACCUUCUAUCUACACGCUUUUGCAUUCCCCCGUGCGAUUUGCUCGGCUUGUUUAUUGGGAUCGAGAGAUUUCAGGUGUACUCGACCUCCUAGCUCGUCUCUUUGUUAAUUGCUCCGGUCAUUUGUUAAUCCUGCCCCGGAUUUGGUCGCGCAAAGGUCUCAUUAUUCUAAUCCAAGAAGCCCCGUGCCCUGUUCAAGAUUUGCUCCUACCACCUACUCCUACUACCAUCUAGCAUCUCCUGUCUUCUUGGUGGGUCUUUUAAUUUAUUUGGAUUCAAGAAGCCUCAUCCUCAUGUGGGUUUGAUUUGAUUAGAUGGCACUAGGCUUGCUUGGCCCAGGCUAAGAACGAAGCGAAAAGUAGAGGAGGUGGGUUGGGUUAGUAGUUUAUUGGUGCUUCCUUGUCAUGGGGGUUAUUCCUGUCUGGUUGUUGGGAGCCUUACCCACGCAUUCACUCGCUCACUGCCGUGGCUGGUCCUGCCACGGGCGAUUUCAGCGAUCCACCCUCACAUGGACUCCCGAGAAAAAAGAUCAAUAAUCAAGCGCUGCACUGUAGAUCGCGCGCACUUCCUCCUUUCCCCGGAAAUAAUUUCACAUAUACCUCGUUCCUUCCGGCGGGGUAAAUGAAUGAUUGGUUGGAUGGACAGAUAGAUCCAGGACGGCCGACCGCGACGGCUCUCGUGCUGCACGCCGUCUCCGUCCGGCCGGCGGCGCGAUUUGAUCUUGCGUCCGGAUGAGCACCGACACAGACGUACGUGCAGAUGUAUGGAGCAUCGUCACAUCAUUGUUGACCUGGGUUUUCUUAAUUUGCUUGCAGUUGGGUACGGGUCCUACUUCGGGAAGAAGCUGGAUCCGGAGCCGGGGCGGUGCCGGCGGACGGACGGCAAGAAGUGGCGGUGCUCCAAGGAGGCCGCCCAGGACUCCAAGUACUGCGAGCGCCACAUGCACCGCGGCCGCAACCGUUCAAGAAAGCCUGUGGAAACGCAGCUCGUCUCCCACUCCCAGCAGCUGCAGCAGCAGGCCCCCGCCGCCGCGUUCCACGGCCACUCGCCGUACCCGGCGAUCGCCACUGGCGCCGGCGCGCCCGGCUCCUUCGCCCUGGGGUCUACUGCUCAGCUGCACAUGGAUAAUGCUGCUGCGCCUUACGCGACCGCUGGCGCCGCCGGGAACAAAGAUUUCAGGUGAUCUCCAUUAACCUUCUCUGCAUGCUCUGCCGUCGUGCUGAUCACCUGCCGUUUUUAUCUUCUGCAUGCUCUGCUGCCGUGCCGAUUAGUUUUUCUUUACCUAGUGGUUGGUGUCAGGGCCGAUAACAUGUGAUGUUCCCAUUUUUGUGCUUGAUUGCAUCAGUAGACAGGCAGAGCCUGUGUUGAUCAGACUAGCACUAGUGCUCUUCUGACACCGUUAGUAGCAUGAUCUGUGCUUGCUUAGGUAAUUGCUUUGCAGUAUCUGGCCAUGCUUUGUGGGGCAGAUUUUAGCCUGAGAAGAUUGCGAAACAGAGUGGUGCUCUGCUCUGAUGCAAGUUCAGAGCAGAGCGUUCUUCUAAACUAGAUUCACACGCAUACUCUGCGUGCAACAGAUGAAACUGUAUCUGCGUUUUAUGUUCAGACCUAGCCCCUGCUGCUUGCUGCUUAUCUUUUAUUCUGCUGACCCAUGUUUGUUUUCCAUGUUUGGGGCUGGGCUAGAAAAUAAUGUCAGUUCUGCUGCAGCAAAACUUACCAGUUCCUGCCUUUCCCUACACCUGAAACCAUCUGAAAAGGCUAGCAUGAUUAUGGAAGCCCAUGACCUUUUGCCCAUCCAUCCAUCCAUCCUCGAGCUUUUAUUUCUGGGGUUUGCUUCAUCAGAACUUUGUGAUGAGUUACCAGCAGUGUCCCUUUACCGAAGCCCUGUCAUUGUAGUAGUAGGGUUACCUACCUGCGGGGCAGCCAACACAUGCAUGAUGCUGCGUUGCUGCCAAUCAUGUUUGCUUAGAUGUCUGGCUUCCUACUUUUGUUUUUCUCCUGUCAGGAGCUCCUGCUUUAAAAAUGUGCAGCAACAAUUGCUCGUAUAGUAGCAUGUCCCUUUUGUUUUGUCUAGUAGCCAAGAAAUGGGUUCCACGUUUAGAGAUAACGUGAAGCCUACUGUAUACAUAUCCUAGAUCAUUGCUGUCCAAUAAGUUUCAGCAAUAGAACUUCAGUACAGUGAGGAGAUGUUUGCAUUUGUUAUUAAUCACUAUGCUGCAAAUCUGACUCGUGCAAUUCAGGUAUUCUGCCUAUGGGUUUAGGACUUCGGCGAUGGAGGACCACAACCAGUUCAUCAGUGCGGCCAUGGACACCGCCAUGGACAACUACUCAUGGCGCCUGCUGCCGGCCCAGAACUCGUCCUUCUCACUCUCGAGCUACCCCAUGCUGAGCACCCUGAGCGACCUGGACCAGAGCGCGAUCUGCUCGCUGGCCAAGACGGAGAGGGAGCCGCUGUCCUUCUUCGGCGUGGGCGGCGGCUUCGACGACGACGAGUCGGCGGUGAAGCAGGAGAACCAGACGCUGCGGCCCUUCUUCGACGAGUGGCCCAAGGACAGGGACUCGUGGCCGGAGCUGCAGGACCAUGACUCCAACCACAACAAUGAGGCCUUCUCGGCCACCAAGCUGUCCAUCUCCAUCCCGGUGACCAGCUCCGAUUUCUCCACCACCGCCGGCUCCCGCUCGCCCCACGGUAUAUACUCCCGGUGAAGGUGAACGGCGUUGGCCGGCCUGAUCUCUGCUGAUUUGCCGAAGCUCUCUGGUAGUCUGGUCCACGACGGACGUCCUCAAAUCAUCACAGAUGAGUGAACCGAACCGACGACCCGGUCGAAUGUGUCUGUGAGCUGACCGCCGCUUUGUUUGCUUGCUUGCUCAUUUUGUAUGGAUGCUGCCUUAACUAUCAUCGUCGUGCAGCACGAACAAAACACUACUUCGUUAAUUUUCUUUCUUCAAUUUCACAACGUUUUGCUUGAUAUCCUGGGUUUUGAUUUGCCAUGUGUCGGCCGGAACUGUACGAAGUUAUCUAUAGCCUCGAUGGUCGUGCACGACAUCGUUGACUUUUCCCUCACACAUGUUUUUGAAAUAAUCUUCAGUUUUGCUAUAUCUCAGGUGCGUGGAAAUUUUAUUCGCAAAGUCACAUAUUCUAGUCCAUCCCGAUCUCGCAGGAGAAGAUGGACCUCGCCGGAGAAAACCAUGGCCCCACCAUCUAUCUUAGUGGGAAGCCAGGGUCUCACUAGGGCGGAUUCACUACCCCGUUAUCUAUCUUAGGGGUGGGGGUGCAGGGGAUCUAUCGAAGAUUUUCUCCGGUGGUGCAGGGCUUAGAGGGGUGGCCGGGGCGGCGAGGGAAGGNNNNNNNNNNNNNNNNNNNNNNNNNNNNNNNNNNNNNNNNNNNNNNNNNNNNNNNNNNNNNNNNNNNNNNNNNNNNNNNNNNNNNNNNNNNNNNNNNNNNNNNNNNNNNNNNNNNNNNNNNNNNNNNNNNNNNNNNNNNNNNNNNNNNNNNNNNNNNNNNNNNNNNNNNNNNNNNNNNNNNNNNNNNNNNNNNNNNNNNNNNNNNNNNNNNNNNNNNNNNNNNNNNNNNNNNNNNNNNNAGAUGGACAGUCUGCGGCAUGAUGGAGGCCAAAGUCAGGAAAUAAAAUGACUGAUGAAAACGUUAUUUCGGGCACCUGAUAAAUAGACGGUCCAGUAAUCUUCCCUUUUUGGCUCCCAAUGUAGUGUCAAUUCUUUGCGUAAAUCUGCGAACUAAUUAUAGAUGCGCUGCUCUUCUUUUACUUGAUGUGUUAAUACUUGUUCCUUGGGUCACAUGGCUGGGUAGAGCUCAGAGGUGUUUUUGCUUUGAGGUGGGGCGGCGGCAAGCCCUGAUCCGGGCAUAGCUUCCGGCGCAAUCCUCCGACGAGCAUCCUCCUCCUUUUGAUGAUGGGCAAGUUACGGGAGCAUUCGAGGCAUAGAUGGCCAUUCCUCUUUCCCCUUUUCGACUUGCUUUGGCGUGUUGAGAUGAGACGCAAGGGGGCACGGUUCGCCUCCCCUGGUCAAGAAUCAAGAUGCAUGGGCACCGAUGAUUUGCUUGAGGAGGAGGAGAAAGUGCGAUGACGCGAGAUGCUGGAUCUGCCCGCGCAAAGGCCAAGCUUCCGGAGUUGGUGGAGGAACAGGCUGUAAACCCUUGAGCGUGGGGCCGUGGCUGCACUUCCGUCCGUGUUGCCGCUCUGGGAAGCAGGCGGCUCGGCGGUACCGUUUUUAGUCCGUCCUGGUGCAGGGUACCUGAAGAGGUGCCUACUAUACGUCAGUGGUGUGCCGGCAAUUCUCUCGUGUGGUUUGGCACGCAGAUGGAUCGGGUUUCAGGGUGGGUGUGCUCUCUUUUCUUUGCUUCUGGUGUAGGACGAGUGGACGGGACGACGGGACGAGGGUGCAUCAUGCGACGGAAAGCGAAGGCUUAUCCGUCCAUGGGCAGUGGACGGAUCAUGGACGGGGACGGGGGACGUGCGCGCGUGUCUAGACCGGUCGGUGGGCAUGGCCGUGCGUCGUACGUGCGUGGUGCAACCGGUUUCGCAACACCCGGCAGGGCCGACGACGGGCAUGUGCGCCCAGGCGAGUGCGCGCCGCGAUCACGCAAACUCCUUCUCUUCCUGCGAUCGAGUUAGGUCGUAGUAGGAGCAGGACGGACGUGGUAAUCGUUGCGAGUUGCGUUGGUCCCCUGGCCCCGAUGGAUCGGAGUUCGGACGGGGCGCGCUGUGCUAUCCAUCCAUGUGUCCACGUACUAGUAUCUAGCUAGUGCCCCGUGCUAUUGUGCUAGCAACCUGAAUUGAUUGAUCUUGAUUCAUAAAGGCAUCACAUCUUUUUGUUGCUACAUUAUGAAAGCUAUUGACACUACUUUUACUCAGACGAGUAUCUAGUCUGCUUUUCUUGUUCCAGCAGUUGUCAUUAAUUGCAAAUGCAUCACUUCUUGAUUGCCCCUCAUUGUAAUCUCUGAAAAGGUAGGAGCACAAACAAAAGGCCUUAUGCUCCCUGUCACUAUACUCAAGCAAAUGACCAUAUUCAUCAAACCAAAUCUAGUUUAAAUCUCUGUUGAGUAUCUCCAAUCUCCCUCUACGGGUACUAAAAAUUAAGUGGUGGCAUGUAACGUCCCCUCGUUAAAUAUUGGAGCCUAAUCUCAUCUUGCUUCUUUAGAUUGCUUGUGUACUCUGAAAUCCUUUUUCGAUCAGCCUGAUCAGAAGGCAACUCAUCUAAGUUAAGUUCUGUGUGAAUAGUAGGUUUCGGGAGACUAGCUGCACUCACAUGUGAUGCACUUUAUUUGCUUACUCUAAUGGGUGACCUUAUAUGUGCGUGUAUCUUUAACCGGAUCUGGUGACUGAGUUUUCUUCGAAUAAUAUCGCUCCAUAGCCUAGAUCAAUCAAAGUCCACAGAAAAAAAAUAGGGCAACAAAUCACUAUUGUACAUUCGUACUAAUAGGCUAUUAGCUAGAUAGAACAUAGUAUAUGAAAGUAGAUGACGAGAUGUGAUAACAUAAUCCAGUUACCUCAAAUUUUGGGCUACAAGUGUUGCAGCUGGCAGCCUGCUUGUCGCCGGCGUGCGGCGGCCGAGGCGCCGAACAACACGAGCAGACAGAGGAGACAUGCGACUUGGAAAACGAGCGGACGACGAGGCUUGCGUGUGGCUUCGUGCUUACAUGACUAAUCACAAGGGGCCUGCUAAUCACGAUUUAGGCCAUGGACUCCUUGUGGGCUUUUGGCCCUUUGCGUAGCUUUUUUUUAGGGGUGGCCCUUGCAUAGCUGUUCACAUGGCCCUCGCGUUAUUUGAUGGGGUCAGGCAGGAUUUUUUACUGGGUUCAGAUCAGGCAACCCACGUACAUACAUACACGUACGAGGCAAAAGUUGUUGGGUUCACUUGAACCCAACGCUUCUAUGUUGGCUCCGCCCCUGCUGUGGGCAGUAGUGUGUGCCUGAUGCAAGUUGAUCGAUCUGCUUUCAAUUGGAGGCUGGUUUCAUGCGUGUUCGUGUUUUCUUGGGUAAUACAUAAAAAAAAUUGUUGAAAUUUCUUCGAGUCGUAGCAGCCGUUAUUGGCUUACCCAAAGGGAAAUAAAAUAAGAGCUUCAAUGAAUGCAAAAGAAAAACUAUAUUUAGGUUAAGUCUGAAUAUAACAUGCCUUCAAAAAUCAAUCCUCACAUACUGAAAGUGGAUAGAAAAUGUGUGAUUAAUUUCUUUGAUUGACCUUUAGCACAAAAUACUGGUAGAAAUUAACAAAAUAACAUUUAGUGGAAUGAGAGCCCCUGCCUAGAGCUUAGUAAGUCCACUAAUGUACUUCACAUAGAAAUUUACAGUUCUGAACUCAGUUUUAAAUAUUUAUAGACCCUUCUAAUUUGAAUGAACUGCAAUUAAUAUGAGGUAUUUAAAAAAACUAUGUAUAUAAAAGAUUAACAUGAACAAUAUAAAGAAUUGCUUUGGAUCCUAACUAAUGACAAACGUGAUCAUCUCAGACUUGGGGUUCAAAUGUGGAUAUUACUGCAUCAGAACGAUGAGCUGCCUGAAAUAGAAGAUUGGGCAGUGUACUCUUGUAGGGAUCCUCCUCUCUCCUCUUCAGAUACUUGAUGCAGCUCUCCACUUCAGAAUUGACAUGCAAAUAGAGGUGCUGGGCCUUCUCUUUCUCUUAACUCCUUCUCCCUCCCUAUGCAAACAAGUAAACCAAUCGAAAACACAAGAAGCAAACCUAAUCCGACAUGGGCUCUCUGAAAUACGUCUGCAUGCAUUCCGACUCAUUUUUCGAUUAUCUAAAAAGGAUAACAGUGCAGCGUAUGUUGACUUGCCACGAGAACAUGUAGAUAACUUUUCAGAUUACUAUUUGCUAGCGCAGCUGGCUACCUUUUGUUUCAAUAGGCUCCCCAAAAGAUGAAGCAAAAUCUUCCUGAAAUUUUUGGCGUAAGCACUACAGGAUGCAUAUCUUUACUCUUUAUCUCUCCCAUAAAAUCAGUCCCGAGGAACAAUAAGAUAAAUAAAGAUCAUUGAUUAUCAUGGACAAACUAUUAUUAUUUUGCUUCUAAAAUGAAAUCAAAACAUAAUUUAGCUUUAGGCCCUCUUUAUUUAGCUUGUUGUCAUGGAUAUCAUAAAAUGGGUGCUCCAGAAGAUCAUUGUAGUCUAACAACAUUUGAGGUGAAAAAUAUUGUUUCUAGACAUUAGAUAAUCAAGGGGAUAACAUAGUAAGAUAACAUAUUUUUUGAGGUUGCACUUACACCACAUAUAUCGUCUUCUCCAACCAAUCCAAAUGCUAUUAUUAUUGCUCCAAACCUUGAUGCCAGCUGCAGAAAUUCAGACUACUCAGGCCAAAAUAGCUAGUAUUCCUCUCCCCGUAAACAACUAUGUCACCUUCCAGAACAAUUGAUCUUUUUACUGUCUAGAAAGAUAUAUUAUGCUCUCUAUACCAAAUUCUUGCUACGAACGAUACAAAACAUCCGCAUCAGAUGCAACUCUUAGCAGCAACAAGACAAGGAUCAAUUAAUCCGCAUAGUGUUGGCCGAACAUUCCUUCCAACUGCAUGGGUCAAUAGAUCAUCUAAAAAGUGCUAAAUAUGAAACCAAAAGAGAGUGAAAAAGAAACCAAACAAACAAUAAUAUUUUGUAAAAAAAUCAAGCAAGCUAAACACUCACCAGACGAUGAAUCUACUGGAUGUUUCCCAUGACGAAUUUCUUGGUGUUCCUGCCACCGCCGACCUGCCUCACCUGCCCUGGAUCUAAAAAUGCACAAAUCAUGAAUACAACAAAAAGAUCACCAAAAUCAUCCCUUGCUCAUAAAAGUCUAGAAAGAGCAGUACGUACUCACCAAGCACAGAACCCAAACGACUUGAACCUCUCCCAGCCUCCCAAGUCCACAAAUUCAGAUUCUCAAAGCCAGCUUCCAACUCACCUGGCGAUUUGAUAAGCGUUUGGCACGUUCUGGCUUUUCCCAGCGAGGCAGCCCUGCUAGGGAGGCUCCUGGACUGAUGGGCGCAUGUGUAGACCGGUUGGCAAUACCGCCAGCCCCGACGAGUACUUAUAGGCAGCCAACAGGAAAGAGAAAACAAAAACGAAGCCCACCAGAAAAGUUCAGAAGGCAACGUGUCCAACUGCAUGUGAGACAAACGUGGCAACAUGCAUGGCCAUGCAGCCAACACAGCAAAUCUGAAAGGGUCAUGUGAACUGGGCCAGCGACAUGCAUGCCCAUGCAGGGACGCGUGGAACGAAGCAAACCUAGAAAAUCUAAAACGGGCACGUCAAUUUGACCGUGCAAACCGGCCAGUCAAACAAAUAUUAAAAAAAUAAAGGAACUCUCCCGUAUGACGUGUUGCACACGUAGAGAUAAACAAGGGCUGCACACGCGUCGCUCAAUGAAGCAUGGUAAAAAAAAUCCAAAAAAACCAGAAAAAAGGAACCCUUACGGGCCUAGUAUUCUUAGUAUUAGAGGGAGCCCUGGCGCGGAGGCAUGCAACUCACCACAAACGAGCCGUGCACGUGAAGCUCCUCCAUGGGCUCGGGGCUGGCUUUACGACGGGUCGACGCACCACGCGAAAGCCUAUCAUGUUGGAGAGAGAGCAUAGGGCGCGUCUGCGUCGGCCUUGGCCCUUUUUUCUCCUUUGAUUCUCUUUGGUUUUCACUAGUUUUCCUUGUUUUCUCAGUUUCUUUUCCCUUUUUGUAAAUACACUCCUUAUUUUUCAUACACAUUGUACUUUUUUGUGUACAUCCGAAUUUUCAUUUUUUUUCUAUUUAUUAAAUUUCUAAAAAUGCAUGAUUAUAAUUUCUCAAAUAUAUGUUUUAAUUUUUUGUACAAAUUUUACAUUUUUUGUAUACACCUAAACUAUUUUUAUAUGUGUUUAUUAUUUUUAAAUAGAUGAUUAGCGUGUUUGGAAAUACUUGUUUUUUGAAAAAAAAAUCAAGUAUGUGUUAACCAUUUUCAAAUACAUGCUGAAACUAUUUUUUACUAUGAAAACAUUUUUAUGCAUUGGAUAAUUAGUCUACCAAAGGUGUUAAAAACUUCUGUUGAAAUGAGUGAACUUUUAUCAAAAUGUAACGUACACUUUGAAUUUUACGAAACAUUUAGUUGGGUUACACAAACAUUUUUCUACAUUGUAUAACAUUUCGAAAAAAUGUCAGGAAUAUUUUUUUCUAUUUAUAAAAUUGUAAAAACGCUUUGAUAUUAUGAUCUGCCCGCGCAAAGGCAAAGCUUCCGGAGUUGAUGGAGGCAAAGCUUCCUUCCUUCCUCGCGCGUGGGUCCAUGGCUGCACUUGCGUCUUGCUGCGUGCUGGCCUCGGAAGCACGCUAUGCGGCCGGCGCUACCCGGUGCGGUGCUCCCCUACAGUUCCAAGUCCGUCAUGUCCUGGCACAGUGCAGGGUAGCAGCUACGUCAGUAAUGUACUCCCUCCGUUCCAAAUUACUCGUUAUGGUUUUAGUUCAAAUUUAAACUAAAAUCACGACGAGUAAUUUGAAACGGGGGAGUAGUACUAGCAGUAUCUCGUGUUUGGUUGUUUGGCACGAAAAUGGCAGGCAAAGGCACGGAUGGAUGAGGAUUCAGGCGGGGGUCAUUCUUUGUUUCUGGUCCAGGGACAAGGGGACGGGGCUAGGGUAGGGUGCAUCUGCAUCCUGCGACGGAAAACCAAGGCUUGCAUGGUGCUACGGCUCGUCAGCUCGCAUCGCAUCCGAUAGCUUGGGGUUGGGCUUGCUUAUCCAUCCAUGGGUACGUAGUAGAGAUGGAACCGGGUGGAUGGAUCAUGGACGGGGACGGGGCACGUGCGCGGUACCAACCGGCGGGCGGCGCCAUGUGUCCGGACUUCAGACCGGUUGGUGGGCGCGGCCGUACGUGUGUGGUGCAGCGGUUUCGCAACUCCCGGCAGGGACCGACGACGGGCAUGUGCGCCCACCCGAGUGCGCGCCGCGAUCAUGCAAACUCUAAGGUGUGUUUGGUUGCAGUUUGGAAUCAGGGACGAAGCUAGAAAAAAUGUUUGAUAGAAUUGUGUCUAUGACAAUGGGGUCAUCUUCUGCAAAUAGAUAGUGAUUGGUACUAAGUCAGUGAAGAAUUUCUUAAUUUAUUGGGGUUAAUUGACCCCAAUGCUUACAAGGGAGCUACGUCCCUGUUUGAAACAGUACCUGCAUUAUAUGUCCAUCUUAACCCAGCCUGAUUGCUGAAAUACAGCCUCAAAUGCAGCAGAUGCAACUUGUUUGGUUGCCUGCAUCGCAUCGAGAGGCGCCUACCCUCUGUUGUUUGGUUGUUUACAUUUGUGCUUAGGAUGUGAGCAGAUACAAACUUCAGCUCUUUGGUUGCAAACAGCGUUUGUGUUCUGCUCACCCCAUUCAAAUGUGGUGGCCUUACCACCACACAUGAUCAGCACAAACAGCAACAUCACAACAGCAAGAUCAAAUAAAGCAAGCAAUGUAAUGACAGCAAACUUAACACAACAAACUACUUAACUAGAUAGCAUAGUCUAGAUUAAGAGCAGGGGCAUCCUCCUUCCCUGCUGUGCCAGGGUGCUGCACCUGGCCAAAAUAUGAACAUGUUCACAACACAAGUCUCACCACACACCCUAAAAUUUCUUCACUAACACCUGACUUCACUUAAUUACAUAGCCUGCUCGAUGCCACCAAGGCAGUUGUGUCUGCUGCAACGGUACUUGCACAUCACCGACGAGUCGUGGUUGUAGAUCUGAACCUUCAGUCCGAGUCCGGAGAUGCGCACAACGACGAGGUCGUCGGGGACGAUCUUGUGGCAGCGGCAGAAGUAGUUCCACCCCGACCAAGCACCAUCUGGCCCUCGAAGUUCUGGACCUGCACCCAGAACACGCACCUCUUGUUGGCUGAGAGUCUGACCACGCGCGGGAGUCGCUUGAUGACUAGCCAGGUGUUCAUCACCUCCACGAACUUGGGAGGGACGACGAGCAUGGCGAGGUCCUCGUUGUCCUUGAUCUGUGCGUAGAAUCUCAUCGGCUCCCUGGACCCUCCUCGUGGCCCUGCCUCAGAGAUCGUCCCCUCAAACGAGGCACACUCAUGAAGGCGAUCCUGCCAGGAAGGUCCGCUGUCCUAAGCCACCUGUUCGUGGGGAUGAGAUCCUCGGCGCUCUCAGCUCCGGCCACGACCUGAACUCCUCCACUCGCCACAUCCCAGUCAGUCUUCAGUAUCUUGUCAGGCAACAUGACAAGUAUUAGUAUCAAACAAAGCAAGCAAGCAAGCAAGCAAAUGCCACUGAUCAGUGGACUUGCCCAACAACAAGUGCCACUGAUUAGUGGACUUGCCCAACAGUAAGUGCCACUGAUAAGUGGCACUGAUCAGUGGACUUGCCCAAUAGCAAGUGCCACUGAUCAGUGGACUUGCCCAACAGCAAGUGCCACUGAUCAGUGGACUUGCCCAACAGCAAGUGCCACUGUUCAGUGGCAUGUGCUCAUGGCCAAAUGGCAAUGAUCAGUGGCACUUGGUAUUGGGCAAGAGCACUAAUCUACUUGUUGUAGUGCAAAUGGCACUGAUCAAUGACACUGAUCAGUGACUUGCCCAAUAGCAAGUGCCAUUGAUAAGUGCCAUUUUGCCCAACAGCAAGUGACAUUGAUAAGUGGCAUUUGCCUAGGACCCUUGUUGUUGGGCAAGUCACUGAUCAGUGGCGUCUUCUUUGCUGCAACUGGCACUGAUCACUGCACUAUCCUAAACAAGGAAAUAUCUAAAAAUAGCAACAACAAGUGCCAAUAGCACCCAUGUGCAGCCAUGCAGAUUUGGGACCAUUGUACUACAUGCACGUAUAACAUCCACUCAUGGCACAAACCCUAGCUUCAACAUGCAACAUGAAAGAAGGACAUGAUCCUAACAUGAGCAUGCCAUCAGUCAACAUGAUUCUAUCAUUCAUCACUCAACAUGAACAUGACUCUAGCAUGAACACAUCUACUAGCAUGUAGCACAAAUCUAGCAUGUAGUAGCACUCGCACUAGCAUGAACAUGAUAGCAUUAACAUGAAUCUAGCAUGUAACACAGCUACUAGCAUUCUAGCAUGAACACAAGCAGUAGCACACGCACUGUACAAAACAAGAACAGAUCAGUCCGAUUGGAUUCGAUUGGGAUCGCAUCCAAUCGGAUCUGCUAGAAUUCUAUCAAUCCUAGCACAUGCCUAAAAAAUUAGCCGCUAAUCUACAUCUAGGAGCAAGAUUGUUGGGGAUUUGACUCACUGGAGCACGCGUAGCCGCGGCGAACCGAGGCCGGGGUGAAAAUCCCGGCGGAAACGAUAGAGGUGGCGGAGCAGAGGACGAGCCUACCCCGGCGACGGCCUGCGGCAUCGGCCCCGUGCUGAACGCCACGCCGGAGGUCGAGAAGGACGGCGCCCCGCCGACCGGAGAAAACCCUCGGACAAGGGUCAAGAAAACCCCCGAGGCCAAUGGUGUCCCAACAAGGGGUGGCUCCGUCGACGGUGCCGGCGCCGAGCCCAGGACCCCCAGGUCCAGAAUCGGCGGCGGAGCAGGAGCGGUCGGCACCACAUUGGCCGGCACCGGCGCUCGUGGAGGCCGGCAGUAGAUGGGGGACUGCGCCCGCAGCGCCGAGGCCAGGUCACGGCCCGAGUUCUGCAGCCCGGCCAGCCAGCGCUCCUAGAUGCUGGAGACGCGCUGGUCGACGGGAUCAGAGGGCGGCGCGGUGGUGGGCGUGGCGGAGCCAUCAGAGCAGAGGAGAGGAGAGGGAGGGGCCGUGAGGAAGAGAGGGAGCGGUGGGAACAGUGCGCCUGGGCGGUGACAGGAGAGUGGGGGACGAGUAAUGAGACGUCGCCUCUGUCUCCCGCGCUGCCCGAGGCAUGCAACUGCCCCACAAGCGCGGCCGCACCUGGCCAGGCUCGCGAGAAACUGCCGAUUCGGCAGUUCUCGCCGGGCCAGGCUGCGGGCUGCUUUGAGGUUCGUGCGGGCCUCAAACCGCAUGCAGCCCAGCCAACCAAACAGGCCACACACAUCCCGCGCGGGCCUGGUUGGGCUGCAUGCGGGCAACCAAAGACGCCCUUGUACUCUCUCGCGGUUGAGUCAGGACGCCGUAGUAAUCCUUGCUCCGGUCCCCAGAUGGGUCGGACGGAGCGUGCUAUCCAACCAUGUGUCAAUGUUCCUUCUAUAGAUCACUGCAAGCUCUACACAACGCUGAAUGCUACUAUUCUAGUGAAUGGGGCGCGCCCAGGGCGCGCCGCCUAAAGGGUGACUAGACGGUGCCAGGUAGGACAACGCUCAUCCAGCAGCCCUUUUUGGCUAGCUUUACAAUUGAGAGCACAUUUCAUUAAAAAAGACUGUUGCUUCAGUUCAGUACCAUUGCCAGAUUGGCGCAUUUCACCUGAUCAGUACUACAAAUUCUAUCUCUCUACAAAAACACUAUAGUGAUGCUGCGAGCUUGUCGCACUGCGCCGGCACAAAGGCCAGCAUGUCCUGUCGAGGUCAUAGACGACUUCUGUGUUCUGCUGCUAGUAGUUGCGGAUGACGGUUUGGUCCCCGCCAUCAUGUCUAGCACCAGGCACAUGACCUACACGCCGUUGUCCUCCAACACGUAGUACCCCAAGGCAGCUCCCAAUCGCUGCCGUCCAGGUGGAGCGUUAGCGACAGCACCAGCACGGGCGCGCCCCCUGUCCCCUGCCACUGCCAGUUCAAAGCAGAGGUCCAGCUCAAUUCAAUAGAUAGUAGGUUGUACCUCCUCUUUGAUAGUUGAGGAGGCUCGGAGCUCUAGUAUUACCUGCAUUACAUGCCUACUCAUAAAUUUAAAACCCGCUUGGUUAAAACCUCAUAUAACUUUCAGAAUAAAACAUGGCAAAGCAGAGUUUUGAUAAUAAAAGCAUGCAACGAACCAGGAUUUUUGAUAAAUAAAAUCAAGAGGCCAUGUUAUGCUCCAACAAGCUAUACUGCAAUAGUCAGUUCUAUCAUCAAACUGAUUACAUAAUAGAUGAUACAUUGUUCAGGCAUGUUCAGGAGAUAAGCUUAAGAUUUAAAACUGAAAAUACAUAAAAAUCAACUGCCAUAUACAUCCCCAUAACUAAAGUAAGCACAAAAUGAGAAAGUUAUAGUUUUUUUAACAUAUUGCUUCUAGGUCUGUAGCACACUAUACAUUAAACUACACAUGCCCCCUAAGCAAUUUCAGAUCUCCUUUCGAACUACAAAGUUCAUCUAGAACUGUGAUAACACAUAACAAUGAAUAAUCCAUAUAGGCAAAAACACCCAGAGUCUAUCCAAGAAGACCGCCUUGACAGUGCAGAUAUAUCAAACAGAUCAGUCUAGAUUUUAAGCACUAACAAAUUCAGUUUUUGCUGCUCCCCAGAAAUGGGAAAGCGAUUUGCAGUCUCAUACCUCUUUUCUGAGGUUGUCGCCGACGCCUCCUUCAUCCCUGAGAUCCUCCUUCGGAGCUCCACUCGCUUCAAGCUCUGUAAACAACACACACGCCACACCACAGAGAAAACACCAAAUCAAGCGGUUAGCAAUCCAUCACUGCCAUAUAGGCAUCGAAUCCGAUCCGAUAGGCGCAAUGAAAGAUUCAAAACCUACUCAUUGUUUCGUCGUCGUCGAGGAAGGCAUCCUGAGUCGGCUCUGGCACACGAGCGGAUCCUGAAGAAACUCCCGAAAAAACAGAUCAUCGUCAUGUGGACCAAAAAUCAGACGAAGAUUUUACCUAGAUCGGGCGCGACCAGUCACCUUCUGACAAUCUGCAGUAAGCAAAAUGGAAGCGAGGUGAGCAAACCGUCAAACCGAUGGCAGGCACAAUAAACAUGCAUGUCAAUGAAGCAGUAUUCUCAAAUGAUGUACUUACCUUUAAUUAUCUGUUGCAGGAUAGAAAGUUGAAGCGAUACUUGACUCCCUUUGAUGUCAGGCUGGAUAGAGCUCCGAAGAACUACUCUGGUUGUGUCGAUAGAGCUUUGAAGAACUACUCUGGAUAGUUACUGCUGGCUAAGUUUAAGAGUUAAAAUAGUGUUCUGGUUGUGUCGAUAGGCUCUGUUUCUACUCUUUGUAGGAAGAAUGAUUUGUAGAUUUGGAGUCUACUCCAACUGAAUUUUGUGUACAUUGAAAUGGAGAUGCACCAGUAAUUUUGUGUACAUUGAAAUGGAGAAUUAGGCUUGGAUUCCCAUUACUCUUAUCCUACCUCGGCAAUUUCGGGUUAGGAUAAAAUCAUGGGUUUUCCCAAAAUAAAAUAAAACAUCCCAGUAAGAAAGUAACAUAAGAAUCAAAGCCUAUCAGAGAAUUAGGCACUUCUGUUGGCAUGACAACAAUCAGAUAGAACAAAACCUACAGUCCUCAAUUUUUAUUCCAUCUGUAAAAGAUGAACAAUAAACUUAAUCUAUAAAACUCGUCUCGAGACUGCCAUACUUCACCUAGGAGCCAGGAAAGCUAGAGUGCAUAUCACACAUACAUUCAGGCAAGCAAAUAACUUCGAUUGAAUCCAAUCCUUUGCAUAUAUGGCAUAAAGGCAUCUAGAGAAGAAAAAUACUUGAUGAUGUCAGUCUACCUUGCCAAGCUCAUCAAAUCCAUCCAGCUGAUUAAGAAGCUCCAUCCGCAUCCGCGGGAAGUCAUCACUGGUUCCCCCACUAAAUUUUCUCCCAAAAAUUUCAUUGAUUUCAUCCAUAAAGAUAAUGCAUGGCCAGAAAUAACAACUUUAAAAAAUGAAACAAAAUUUAUGAGCAGCAUAAAUAAACAAAAUGGUGAUAUAAGUUGAAAGAUCUCAUAAAUGCAUUUGUACUUAUACUGAGAUCAAUUUGAUUUCUUCUUCUCGGGCAAAGUUGGUACUGAGAUCUAAAGUUUAAAAUCCUUCAAAGCUCUAAAUCAUAUGAGUUGAUUAGCACUGGUGUUGUGCGAAUUACCAAGUAAGAUCAUUGUCCCGUGUUGUGACAACAUUAGUCCUUAAGCAGUAAAGUUGUGUUCAUGCAAAUAAAAAUGAAAACCAAGGAGACCUUUCCAAGGACAAAAGAUAACUCACCUUCAAAUCCUUGGCAAAGCAUAGCCUUAGUUCUUGAACUGAGCUCUUCUUGCAGAUGAUCUGCAGUGAGCCCCAAAAGAAUGUUUGAUAGUAUCAAUAGUAUGAAUGACAUCACUGAGUGCACAUUUUUUACCGUUGGAGAUCAAGAUAUCCCCGAUCGCCAGUAUUCCCUGCAAUUCAAAUUGAAAUUAUAAAACUGUAAAAGAGACAAUUUUCUAUGACAUAUUUUAGUAGGAGUCAAAUUCAUCCUCACUACAACUCAAGUGGUUUUAUGUUUGUUUUCUUCAUCUAGAAACCAAGCUAAUUUGAAUAACAAAGUUUUAGGUGUAUAGCCAACAAAAGAAACCAACAAUUCCUACAAGAAAAGACAGUAAUAAGCUAUGCGUAAUGAGUUAAUGGCCAUAUGCUUACUGUAACAUUAUAUCUGAUGUAGAGAUCACGGGCAGUAGUGAAGUACUGUAAUUCUUCCUGUACAGCAGGGGCCGAGCAUGUUCCAUGCCUAUGUACAAAUUAAACAAAUGGCAUAGAUUUAGCAAUGGAAAUGAGACAAUGUUUGUGCACAUGGAUAACAAUUAGCAAGUCUUUCUUAUGACAAUAAUCUAAUUCAUUAGGUAAAUGGAUUGAAGAAAUUUCCACACUAAAGGAUCCAUGAACAACCGAUUGAGCAGCACAUAUCAAUGCCAUUAUGCAAAACAACAUGCAAAGGAACAACACAAAAGGUUAAUGACAAUUCCAACCAAGGAGUAAUUCUAGAGUCCAAUCCACAGUUCUCACACUAUACCUCAUCAUCGUACACAUAGAAAUUCGACAUGAUCGACCUGAACUAUCUCAACACCAUCCCAAAUUCGAUAUAGAUAGUUUGAGAUUUCUCAGCAGCAACUUUGAAUUUUCCAUACAUGUUCACUGGCAAUCGUCAUCCUCCUCCUCGAAGAAGAAGAAGAAGAGAUUUCACACCCUAUCUAUCCUGGAGAGAAAUUUAAUCUGCAGAGAUUCAGAUUAGAUUUGGUAUUAGAUCCAAAAGACAUCCACGCUACUUCAUGGAUAGCGGGAAGACCGAAAGGGAGAAGGCCAACACAGAGACCCUCUAUGCAAGAAACUUGUAGCUUCAUAGGUAGCCUGAGCAAUGGCUGAAAUCAUGCAGAACACCCAACAAACAUAUCACUUAGCACAAAACCAAUAGCUCUAUUACUACACCAGAAGGUUCAUAUAAGUACAGUUCUUGUGAAAAUUAAAAGACAUGCUUCAAGAACACCUAAUUGGCAGCAUUAAGCUUCUACGAUAUCUGCACAAACCAAUUCUCUCACACGUGAGCUGCAGCUUAAUUAAAUAGAUUCAGAAGAAACACGAGUACAUAUAUCAGUGCAUAAACCACUCUUCUCAAAGCUCAGCUGGUCUAAGUUCUGAUAUCUUCAUUCUUCAUAUCCUCCAAAAAAAUGCUUUGAUGUGCAGAAACUAGACCACUUCAAGUUCUAGUGAAUAAUACAAUUGUCACUGAAAUAGCAUAAGCACUUGCAUUCCUAUGUACUUUAGAUAAUGUGUUGGGUGGAUAAACUGGUGUAUUGCAAAGGAACACAUGACAGAAAAAUCGAAUAACAUACAUCAAAGACAAUAUUUUACCAUCUCAAAUUAACUACUGCAACUAUUUGAUUUUGUUAAUCACAAAAAAAUCAUCUUUCUCGUUUCCAUCCUUUGUGAUUCCUUUUGUCGUCUUAUAAAGAUUGUUUUCAGCACACAUUCUUCAUUUAAGCGCUAUCCUAUUAAUUCUUUCAUUAUUCACAUAAAAAAAUUCAGGUAGGAUAUUAUUUUGUUUGUAUAAAUAUGUUACUAUUAUUAUUUUACUUGACAAAAAAGACAACUCUGCCUCCAAAGGUUUGCUUUACAUCUUCAGGCCAGAUAGGUAUGUGGCACUAUACGACGAAUUCAGUUAUAAUUCAACCAAAUGGAGGACAAGCGUCCGAAUUGCCGAGCAUCAAAAUCAAAAUGAAAAAAAAAGAACCAGGAAUUUCAGCAAUUACUAACCUUCUUUAACCAAUCCUAGCAAGACUGGCAAGUACUCUUCCAACGCCUGCAGGAUAUUACCAGUGCUAGAUCCUUCACAAACCAGUGACAGAGAAAAAACAAACUCAGUGUCAGUUCAGAGACCAACAUCUUGCACAUCCUACAGAUUUCUCUAUUUUCUGUGUCGUACAUGAUUGCACGAUGAUUGAACUUAACAAAUCGUGUUACAUCUCCAAUGCAGUCAGCGACCAUGCAUCAUAUGCCUUCAAUAGUUACAGAAAAAGAGGCGUACGGAAGAUAAGAAAGGAAAGAGACGCAGUCACCUAUACUCGAUCUCCAGACAGAUCGUCUCUCUCUGUCGCUAUGCAUGAGGGACGAGGACGACGGCGGCGACACCACGGACUGGUUGGCCUCCUGGUGCGUCUCUCCGGCGCAUCAGCCUAGCAGAUUUCCUGUUUAUCCUCCUACUUGCAUUGUUCAAAACUGAACCUGCCUCACUUGUUAAAUGAUUUCAAAUUAAACACUGUCUUAAAAAACGACCAUGCUAUUUAUAUCUUUAAUGCCAUUGAUAAUAGAAUCUAAAUUUCCAUUCAUGAUUUUUUUAGCAGACAACGAGGCCAAUAGAUUGCUAUGAGUUUUCUGGCAACCAAGGUGGAGUUUUUUUUUCUAAUGUGUAUCAUGCAUACAAAAGUAAUAUAAUAGAACAAAGGAAAUUCUGAUGUUGCUAUUAAUCUGUUAUCACCGUAACGCGAAAAUAUAAACAUAUAUAACCUCCAGGUCCUUCGUCUGAAACCAUCUUCUCUUGAGCAUAAAUCCUGCUCCCAUAGAUCAUCGUUUGGACUGUAGUCAGCUCUGCAACGCAAGAAUAUAUCAAAUAGGUUAACAGAGUACGAACCAUCAAGUUAGGGAGUUACCUAAAUAAGCGCAGCUACUCAUGCUCGUCUAAUGAAUAUUUACUUGUACCCACAUCAACUUGUCUAACUCCCGGUAAUAGGAAAUCUAGGAAUUUUUGUACUUAGGAGAAUAGAUUAGCUUGCUGAGGUAGAACAGAAGCACUACUUAAAAAAGCAUAGGAUAGUAGAGUUCAAAUGCCAUAGUACCAAUUUCGUGAGCACAACACCACAACAUUUGCAGGCAGGCAGGCAGCCACUCAAGUUCAUUUGUAACCUAAAUUAAUCGCCAUCAAUCUGAGAACCGAACUGCUAGUUCCAUCUAUAUCAUUAGCGUAAACCAAAUGACAAGGACGAAUCUACCAGAAAUACAGGACCACGUGAAGCAAUCAUCCUACCCCAAUUCAACAACAAGCAAAUCGUAUCGUAUGGGAGGCGAGCACAACCGACCACGCAAGCGAGUUGAACCCAACGCACCUCAAGCCCGUGUGGCUCAGAUCCAAUCCUACGCCUACCAAAUCGAGACAGUGGGGCGGGGUGGGGUGGCUGAAGGAACGGAACAAGGGAGCUCACCUGGGCAGGGUGGAUGAUGAAAUUCACCAGCUUGGACUGGGCGUCGGUCUGGCCGGGCCUCUCGACCUAGAUGACCCCCUUGAGGGGCAUGUAGCCGUCGCUGACGCCGAGGAGGAUAGGGUCCUCGGCAGAGGGAGAUCAGGAGGGCCCUCGCCCGCAGCCGCGUGGGUGGGAAGGGAGGCGCGGUGGGGCGCGUCCCGCGCGCCGGUGGCUCCCCAAAUUCGGCGAAGCUGAUAAACGAGCAGAGGAGGCGGCGGCUGUGUUGGCGUGCGGAAGGAGAGAAGGUCGCGUGCAGGGAGAGCGUCGGUGGCUCGCGUCUAUUCUUUUUAUCGCUUUGUUCGUACAGUAAAAGCUGGCACAGUAAAAGUAGACAGAUGGGCAUCGCGAGGAAGCGCCGUUAAUGCGCACCUUAUUGUUUUGGAUGUGCUUGAAUCGCUACAGAACUAGUGCGAGUGACCCAGUGUGCUAGUACUACAGGACGAGUACAUCUCUUAUCUCUAGUGUUGUUAGUUAGAAAAAUUCUCAUUUGAUUUGCUUAACAACGCUUGGCUCAAGCAUGUAGUAGCACGCUUUAUCCUCGCUCCUGCUUCACCUCCUCCGUUUGUGUUGGCAGCCCCUGCCCACCUCAAUACAAAAGAAUUCCAUUUUAAAUUUCAAACACAAAAUCAAGUACUGUAAUACAAUUGCAACAUCGAAUCAAACACGAAUGAUGGAGAAAAUGCGACAAAAAAAGCAUCACCAAGAGAGAAGUCCAUUUUUAAUCCCUCAACUCUUCGACCUGUCUGGCUUUGGUUCCUCAACUUGAAACCAGACUAGUUGCACCCUAACAUCCUAUGUGGCGUGGACAUUUUGUCGAGCAAUUGGCGUGCAAUUUCUGCCGCUGCCAGUAAACGCCUCAGCCACCACCAACAUCGUUGCGUCGGUUAAGUCCACAUGGCGAGACACUGACCCCAUCGUUGUGGUCGUCGUCAUCAUGCGACGGAAAGCGAAGGCUUGCAUGGUACUACACCUCGUCACCUCGCAUCGCAUCGGCUCGGCAUCGGCAUCGGCAUCGGUUGGGGCUUAUCCGUCCAUGGAUCAUGGACGGGGACCAGGGACGUACGCGCGGUACCUAUCGGCGGAAUGCGUGCGUCCACACCGAUCGGUGGGCACGGCCGUGAGUCGUACGUGCCGUGCGUGCGUGGUGCAAGCGGUUUCGCAACGCCCGGCAGGGCCGACAACGGGCAUGUGCGCCUAGGCGAGUGCGUGCCGCGAUCACGCAAACCCUUCUUCCCGCGAUCGAGUUUGGUCGUAGGAGGCCUGGGCGUUCGGUUAGACCGAACUGAUCGGUUCGGUGACUCGGUCUAUUUUAAAUUUCGGUUUCUCGAUUUUCCUGACCGAACGGUCCUACGAGAAAUCAACAACCGAGCGUUCGGGUCACUGAUAAUACGGUUCGGUCUUAGGUUACAACCGAACAGAUCCGAAAUUGGUGGGAAGUAAGAAAUCGGGUGGGCAAAAUAACAUGAAUGGCAGAACACGAAUCAAACGAAACAUCAUACAGAAGAUGUGGGGGGUUCCGGGAAUGGUAAGAGCGAAAAAAUGCCGCAGGAUAUCGCUAGAACCGGGACGCCGACCGUGAAGAAGUGAUUGCCGCGACCGAGUCGGAGCUCGAUGGAAGUCCUCGGCCACCGCCGCGCGGGAGUCAUGAGCGCCUCCAGCCGCCGCCGCGUAGGACCCAUGGGCACAGCCGGCCACCGUGCACCGCUAUGUUUGCUCGAGGUGAGAAAAUGGAGGAGGCGGCGCAGUGCGUGCCUGUAUUUGGAUAAGGUUGCUUUUUUUUAGGUGCACUAGGGACUAUUAGAACUCAAUGACGUUUGGAAUACAAAUAAUGUCUGGUAAGCACCCUAGCCACAUGUGGCGACCUACUGGCAGUGAUACAGCUGCCUUAACUAAAUCAUGAGCUUCAAAAUUACAUUUUCUAUGCUCAAACUUGAAACAAACAUCCCUGAAGUCGCUGCUCCGAUGCUUAAUUUCAGUGACCACCAUUGCGUAAACAGUGGCUGCUCCCUUGUUGAUACUCGUCCCCACCUCAAGGCAAUCUAAAGGAAUAACCAGGCUUUGGAUGUGUAGGUCUUUAGCUAAUGCCAAGGAUUCAUUAACCGCAUGUGCCUCCAAUGAUGCAGCAUCCACAAGACCAUCAUAGACUGUAACAGAAGCACCAAGAUACUGUCCGGUAUGAUCUCUACAUACAACCCCCGCUGCACCUCGAUCACCUUGGCGGGACAGGCCGCCGUCUGUAUUUAACUUCGCAGCUGUGCCUGCUGGUGGAAUCCACCUCCGAGCACGCCGUGCUGGUUGUGCUAUCGGUUCAUGCGAUUUUCUAGCAGAAGCAAUUUCCAGGUCUUGAAGAUACCUAUUGAUGAAACACCACGUAGAAAUCGGGCUUUGGAACUCAUUGUCAUGUAUGGCCCUCCGUCGAGCCCACCAAAUUGCCCACAAGGUCACCAAAAUCCGUGCAAGAUCCUGCUGUGUUGUCGACUCGAAUAACCAAAAAAGCCAUAACCGAGCAUCGUCGGUGUUGUUUGAUAUUACGUGCUCCAGGAGCUCCUCAUCUCCUAACGCCCAUGUACACCUUGCCAUGCGGCAGUUGAUUAGAGAGUGACGCCAUGUAUCAUCCGACGCCCCGCAAAUUGAGCAUGCAUCGGUCGUGGACAUAUUCCUUGAGCAUCGAACGGAUCCAAUAGGAGUGAAGUAUGAGCUAGCCUCCAAACAAAGACUCGAACCUUUGACGGAAUUUUUACUUUCCACAACUCGGUCCAUGACUUCUUUUCAGCUGCUAUGUUUGACUGGCCAGAACGGCGCUCAAGCCAGUCUUCACGCUGUGUCUUUACUGCAGCGAUCAUCCUAUACACUGACCUGACCGAGAAUACUCCCCGCUUAUCAUAAUGCCAUGCCCAGAAAUCUUCCUGGACGUACAACAUCCACAUCAGGAGCUAUCAAGUGUUCCUCAAGCCGCUGCCUAUCCCACGUUCUGGUAAUGGGAUCAAUUAGUUCAGAUACAUGUACAGGUGGAUUUUCAGACCUCGGACAGAUUGGCCUGAGUUUGUAGUCCCUAGGUAUCCAGUUUUCCUGCCAAAUAGUUGUCCCAUUACCAUUGCCAAUCCUCUUGAUUAACCCUAAAGCAAGCACUUCCCGUCCCUCGAGGAUCGAGCGCCACACCUGAGACGGAGCUGAGUCCAAAGUAGCUUCCAGUAAAUGACAGUUUGGGUAAUACCUCGCUUUAAGGAUUCGAGCACUAAGUGAAUCUGGCUCCUGCAUUAGCCUCCAUGCCUGACGGGCUAGUAGCGCCAAGUUAAACAACUCUAUGUCGCGAAAUCCCAUGCCUCCCAUAUACUUGGGCAUCGACAUAGUCUUCCACGACACCCACACAGUUUUCCUUUGCCCAUCCUUACAGCCCCACCAAAACCUUCGAAUAAGUCCAUUAAUAUGUUCACAUAAGCCCCGAGGCAACUUGAAGCAUGCCAUUGAGUAAGUAGGUAUUGAUUGUGCAACAGAUUUAAUCAGUACUUCCUUUCCGCCAGCAGAGAGACAUUUCUCCAUCCAUCCCUAAACACGUUUCCAAAUUCUAUCCUUCAAAUAUUUGAAGCACCCUUCUUUAGAUCUACCCACAUCCGAAGGCAAACCCAGGUACUUUUCUGACAAAGAUUCAUUUUGCACUUCUAGUAUAUUUUUAAUGCUUGCCCGAUUAGUCUCAGUAACACCUUUACUAAAAAAUAUAGAAGAUUUAUCCACAUUGAUCCUCUGGCCGGACGCGUCACAGUAUUGCUGCAAUAGAUCCUUCACUUUGGUGGCACUGUCACUCAUGGCCUCAAAAAAUAAUGAGCUGUCGUCUGCGAAGAGUAGGUGAUUAACUGCAGGUGCAUCAGCAGCCACUGAGACACCCCGGACACCUUCCCCUUGUGCCUUCAACAUGCAUGAUAGUCCCUCGGCAGCAAGUAAGAAAAGGUAUGGUGAUAUUGGGUUGCCCUGCCGAAUUCCCCUGGUAGGCAUAAACGCAUCCAAACUUCCACCAUUAAAAAGGACAGAAAAGGAGACCGAAGACACGCAUCUCAUAACCGUAUUCGUAAACCUAGGGCUGAUCCCAAGUUUUAACAUCACCGCCUUCAAAUAAGGUCACUCUAGUCUGUCAUACGCCUUCAUCAUAUCAAGGUUCAAAGCACAAAAACGAUUACCCUUUACUCUUCUGGUUUUCAUAUAGUGUAGGCACUCAUAGGCUGUGAUAAAAUUAUCAGUGAUAAGUCAACCGGGAACAAACACCGACUGCUCUUCGGAGGUGACAUCGGGGAGGAUAAGUUUCAGCCUGUUAGCUAAGACCUUUGAGGCGAUCUUGUAGAUCACAUUACAAAGACUUAUUGGCCGAAAUUGCCCUAAAACUUUUGGACUAGCAAUCUUUGGAAUCAUUACGAUGAACGUUUUGUUUAUGUCCUCCGGGGAAUCCUCUCCUUCAAGCACUCUAAUGGUCAUUCUUGUUACUUCAUCACCGCAAAGGUCCCAGUGCCUUUGAAAAAAAUAUGCCGGAAAACCGUCUGGACCAGGUGCUUUUGUUGGGAACAUCUGAAGAAGAGCCUCUUUGACCUCCUCUCUGCUAUAGUCUGCAUUCAGGCGGGAAUUCAUCAAACCAUCUACCCGAACUGGUAUGUGUGACAACACCUCUUCCAUGCCAAUCGUCCCUUCUGAUGUGUAUAAAUUAGCAUAAAACUCAUUUGCCAUGUCAGCUAACUCUCUCGGAUCCGAACAAGCAGACCCAUCUUGACGAUCUAGCUGGGAUAUUUUAUUCUUGGCCCUCCUAGCACUAGCUUUCCGUUGAAAGAACUGAGUAUUAUUGUCGCCUUCCGACAACCAUGUCACUCGUGAUCGUUGCCUAGCCAUUAUCUCCUCUCUAUAACAUAGUUCAACCAUGCGAUCCUCAAUACGCUUCUCCUCUGGUCCAGGCCCCACCCGCGUUGGGUCAACUCGUAUUGUGGUUAGCUGCAUGCGAAGCAUGCGCAAUUCCUGACGGACCGAGCCAAAAGUGCUCCGUCCCCAGUUGGACAAAGACUUAGCCACUGAAUUUAACUUGUCUGCCAAACCAGUUACGGACUCAGCCACCCCUUCAGAUCGCCAUGCAUCCUCUAUCACUCUUUGGAAUCUAGUAUCUGUCUCCCAUGUACGCUCGUAGCGGAAUGGACGUUUGACCGCAAUUCUCAAGUUAUUUACUUCCAGCUCAUUUAUAAGAAGAAUCGGGCUGUGAUCACUCUUAGCUGCUGUUAGAUGCUCCACACUUGCAAAAGGAAAGAGGCUUGACCAGCUCGGACUGGCCAGAGCCCUAUCUAGACGAACUCUGCAAUAGUGACCUCUAGCAACACGUUUCUCCCACGUCCAGUCCAGUCCUUUGUAGCCUAGAUCAUACAGGCCACAGACGUCGACAGCAUCCCUGAAUCCUGCGAUCUGGGAGCUAUCUCGAGGGUUAGGCCCCAUCUGUUCUUCCGGCCUUAGGACCUCAUUGAAGUCUCCAAUACACACCCAUGGCAAUGUGCUUUCCCCUCUUAAUCUCUUCAUGGUAUCCCAUGUUUUAUAUCUCAAACUACGGUUCGCCUACCCAUAGAAGCAAGUAGUGAGGCGCCACUAAUCCUUCCCUGGUUCUGAAAUCCAUGAAUCAAUGUGAUACUGUGAAUAAUUUUUUAUUUCAAGAUUGAUAACAUCUUUUGAAAAAAUACAAAGACCACCACUUCGUCCCAAGCUCGGAACGGCAAACCUAUUAUUAAAACCUAAAGAAACCGCCAAUCCCUCCACUUGGUUUUUCGCUAGUUGAGUUUCAACGAUGCAAAGAACCGACGGCGCACAUGACUCCACAAGAUCGCGGAGCUCUCGAACCGUCGCAGGGUCGCCAAUCCCACGACAGUUCCAACACAAAGUCCUCAUUAGACUCGGCGGCCCUCCUCAAAGGAGGCCGCCUCAUAGGAUUGAUCCAUGUCUUGUACUUCCUCACUCCCGUCUUGCCUCCUUCUCUGUACUACCGGGUCCUUCCCCGGGGUGCUUGUCGAGGGGUCCAAGGAACUUGGAGUCGACCCCUCAAUCAAAAGAACUAUGCCAGCCACCUUACCAACCAGAUUCGGGAUGGGCUGGCCCCUAAUGUUAACUGUACCAUCAGCCGAAACUAAAUGUUUUCGGGCAUUGUUUCCAGACGGCACCUCAAAAAAUUGGCAAGUGUAAUCCUUUGUUGUGGGUUCCCCUUUGUUGCCUCCAGGAUCUCCAGUGCUCCCGGCUCCUCUUCCUCUCCCAUCUGAACCCCCUCGACCAAACCUUCCUCCACUUUCUCCUCUCCCCCCAUUCUGCCUCGCCCUCCUCCAUUACUUCCUCCCCGAUUGCCCAUGGAGCUGUCAUUUAUCAGUUCCGGGGCCCAUAGCAACCAGUCACCCCAUUCGAACGAGAUUGGGUCGUGUACACCGUCACCACAUUCUUUAGCUAGGUGACCCAUUAAUCCACAUACGAAGCAAAAGUCCGGCAACUUUUCAUAAUAGACUCCAUACUUCACUCUCUCCUUCAGUGUUAUUGGCACAAAACGGACAAGUGGUUUAUUAACAUCCAGAAAGACUCGAGCCCAGAGUGUACUCGAUGGAUUGAUACACCCUUCAUUGACCACCACCGUUGAAAGGAUCAAUAUAGUUGACUAGAGGGGGGGGGGUGAAUAGGCAACUAACAAUUUUUAGCUUUUCUUUAACAAUUUAAACUUUGCAUCAAAGUAGGUUGUCUAGAUAUGCAACUAAGUGAGCAACCUAUAUGAUGCAACAGCGAUAGGAACACAAGCAAGCAAGAGAUACAACAUAAAUAAGCUUGCACAAGUAAAGGCACGAAAUAACCAAGAGUGGAGCCGGUGGAGGCGAGGAUGUGUUGCCGAAGUUCCUACCCUUUGAGGGGAAGUAUGUCUCCAUUGGAGUGGUGUGGAGGCACAAUGCUCCCCAAGAAGCCACUAGGGCCACCGUAUUCUCCUCACGCCCUCACACAAUGCGAGAUGCUGUGAAUCCACUAUUGGUGCCCUUGGAGGCGGCGACCGAACCUUUACAAACAAGGUUGGGGCAAUCUCCACAACUUAAUUGGAGGCUCCCAACAACACCAUGAAGCUUCACCACAAUGGACUAUGGCUUCACGGUGACCUCAACCGUCUAGGGUGCUCAAACACCCAAGAGUAACAAGAUCCGCAAGGGAUUAGUGGGGGGAAUCAAAUUUCUCUUGGUGGAAGUGUAGAUCGGGGCCUUCUCAACCACUCCCGAGAAAAUCAACAAGUUUGAUUGGCUAGGGAGUGAGAUCGGGCGAAAAUGGAGCUUGGAGCAACAAUGGAGCUUAGGGUUGGAAGAGGUGGUCAACUAGAGGUAGGAGACGACCCUUUUAUAGUGGUGGGCGAAAUCCAACCGUUAUCCACUUAACCAGCCCGCGACGCGCGGUACUACCGCUCUGGAGGCGUAGUACUACCGCAAGGCCACGCGGUACUAUCGUGGGCCACCACAGUACUACCGCGGCAGCAGCGGGGGCUAGAGUAGGCCUGACAGGGGGCAGUACUACUGCGAGCGUGGUACUACCGCUCCGCCUUGUGGUACUACCGCAAGGCAGGAAAGCCCUAGCCUGGGAAGGGUGCAGAUGAAUAAAAUUACAUCUGUGCCUACUUCCGCUGGAAAACAAACGGUGCAAAAAUCCGACACGGUACUACCGCUGGGGAGCGGUACUACCGCGUGGCUGCUGGAUUAGGCCGCGCACGGUACUACCGCGCACGGGGCGCGGUACUACUUCGGAGGCGCGGAUGUAAAAAAUUACAUCCGCCCCUACUACCGCAACACAGAGGUACUUGGCCUGGGGGCCACAGUAGUACGGCUCCAUGAAGGAAAUAUGCCCUAGAGGCAAUAAUAAAGUUAUUAUUUAUUUUCUUAUAUCAUGACUAGAAAAUUGCCCGUGCGUUGCAACGGGAGUAUAAACAUUCUAGUAGAUUAGCCCCUGACUGCACGUCUAUUAUUGUAUUAAUGUUUUUGUGAAACCAUGUAUAUUAUUAUAUUGAUACGCUAAAAUCUUACCAAAUCUUUGUAUGCAAUCGCCAUGAUUUAUCUGCGAUUUUAUUGUUAAGCACUUAUUUGGUAAGAAUUUAAUGAGUUGCCAACAAAAUAUGUGUUUAUUUUGAUAAGAUAAUAAAUAUGAGACAAUUGAAUGGAUGGGAGAAAAAUCAAAUAUGGGAGGAAAAAAUCAAAGAGGAUAAGGAAAAAGUGGGACGUAUAUAUGGAAGGUUAGACGAAAGAGAUGUGAAAUGGAAACCUUACGUUCUUUUUAGUAGUAGAGAUAAAUGUUUAUUAUUCAUGCUAGAAUUGUAUUAACCGGAGACAUAAUACGUGUGUGAAUACAUAAACAAAUAGAGUGUCACUAGUAUGCCUCUACUUGACUAGCUCGUAAAUCAAAGAUGGUUAUGUUUCCUAACCAUGAACAAAGAGUUGUUAUUUGAUUAACGAGGUCACAUCAUUAGUUGAAUGAUCUGAUUGACAUGACCCAUUCCAUUAGCUUAGCACCCGAUCGUUUAGUAUGUUGCUAUUGCUUUCUUCAUGACUUAUACAUGUUCCUAUGACUAUGAGAUUAUGCAACUCCCGUUUGCCGGAGGAACACUUUGUGUGCUACCAAAUGUCACAACGUAAAUGGGUGAUUAUGAAGGAGCUCUACAGGUGUCUCCAAAGGUAGAUGUUGGGUUGGCGUAUUUCGAGAUUAGGAUUUGUCACUCCGAUUGUCGGAGAGGUAUCUCUGGGCCCUCUCGGUAAUGCACAUCACAUAAGCCUUGCAAGCAUUGCAACUAAUAAGUUAGUUGCAAGAUGAUGUAUUACGGAACGAGUAAAGAGACUUGCCGGUAACGAGAUUGAACUAGGUAUUGGAUACCGACGAUCGAAUCUCGGGCAAGUAACAUACCGAUGACAAAGGGAACAACGUAUGUUGUUAUGCAGUCUGACCGAUAAAGAUCUUCAUAGAAUAUGUAGGAGCCAAUAUGGGCAUCCAGGUCCCGCUAUUGGUUAUUGACCGGAGAUUUGUCUCGGUCAUGUCUACAUUGUUCUCGAACCGUAGGGUCCGCACGCUUAACGUUACGAUAGCAGUUAUUAUGAGAUUAUGCAUUUUUGAUGUACUGAAGUUAGUUCAGAGUCCCGGAUGUGAUCACGGACCUGACGAGGAGUCUCGAAAUGGUCGAGACAUAAAGAUUGAUAUAUUGUACGGCUAUAUUCGGACACCGGAAGUGUUCCGGGUGAUUUCGGAGAAAACCGGAGAGACCGAGGGUUACCGGAACCCCCCCGGGAGAAGUAAUGGGCCAUAUGGGCCUUAGUGGAGAAAGAGAGGGGCUGCCAGAGGUGGGCCGCGCGCCUCCUCCCCCCUGGUCCGAAUUGGACUAGGAGAACGGGGCGGCGCCCCCCCCUUUCCCUAUCCCUCUCCACCUCUUUCCCCCUCCUAGUAGGAGUCCUACUCCUACUAGGAGGAGGACUCCUCCUGGCGCGCCUAUGGGGGCCGGCCGGCCUCCUCCCCUUGCUCCUUUAUAUACGGGGGCAGGGGGGCACCCCUAGACACACAAUUGAUCCUCGUGAUCGUUCCUUAGCCGUGUGCGGUGCCCCCCUCCACCAUAUUCCACCUCGGUCAUAUCGUUGCAGUGCUAGGCGAAGGCCUGCGUCGGUAGAACAUCAUCAUCGUCACCAGGCCGUUGUGCUGACGGAACUCAUCCCCGAAGCUUUGCUGGAUCGGUGCCCGGGGAGCGUCAUCGAGCUGUACGUGUGCUAAGAACUCGGAGGUGCCGGAGUAACGGUGCUUGGAUCGGUCGGAUCGGGAAGACGUACGACUACUUCCUCUACAUUGCGUCAACGCUUCCGUUGCGGUCUACGAGGGUACGUAGACAACACUCUCCCCUCUCGUUGCUAUGCACCACCAUGAUCUUGCGUGUGCGUAGGAUUUUUUUUGAAAUUACUGCGUUCCCCAACAGUGGCAACCGAGCCUAGGUUCUAUGGUUUGAUGUUAUAUGCACGAGUAGAACACAAGUGAGUUGUGGGCGAUAUAAGUCAUACUGCCUACCAGCAUGUCAUACUUUGGUUCGGUGAUAUUGUUGGAUGAAGCGGCCCGGACCAACAUUACGCGUACGCUUACGCGAGACCGGUUCUCCCGACGUGCUUUGCACAGAGGUGGCUUGCGGGUGACUGUUUCUCCAACUUUAGUUGAACCGAGUGUGGCUACGCCCGGUCCUUGCGAAGGUUAAAACGGCAUCAACUUGACAAACUAUCGUUGUGGUUUUGAUGCGUAGGUGAGAUUGGUUCUUGCUUAAGCCCGUAGCAGCCACGUAAAACUUGCAACAACAAAGUAGAGGACGUCUAACUUGUUUUUGCAGGGCAUGUUGUGAUGUGAUAUGGUCAAGACAUGAUGCUAAAUUUUAUUGUAUGAGAUGAUCAUGUUUUGUAACCGAGUUAUCGGCAACUGGCAGGAGCCAUAUGGUUGUCGCUUUAUUGUAUGCAAUGCAAUCGCGAUGUAAUGCUUUACUUUAUCACUAAACGGUAGCGAUAGUCGUGGAAGCAUGAGAUUGGCGAGACGACAAUGAUGCUACGAAGGAGAUCAAGGUGUCACGCCGGUGACGAUGGUGAUCAGGACGGUGCUUCGGAGAUGGAGAUCGCAGGCACAAGAUGAUGAUGGCCAUAUCAUAUCACUUAUAUUGAUUGCAUGUGAUGUUUAUCUUUUAUGCAUCUUAUCUUGCUUUGAUUGACGGUAGCAUUAUAAGAUGAUCUCUCACUAAAUUAUCAAGAAGUGUUCUCCCUGAGUAUGCACCGUUGCGAAAGUUCUUUGUGCUGAGACACCACGUGAUGAUCGGGUGUGAUAGGCUCUACGUUCAAAUACAACGGGUGCAAAACAGUUGCACACGCGAAAUACUCAGGUUAUACUUGACGAUCCAAGCAUAUACAGAUAUGGCCUCGGAACACGGAGACCGAAAGGUCGAGCGUGUAUCAUAUGGUAGAUAUGAUCAACAUAAUGAUGUUCACCAAUGAAACUACUCGAUCUCACGUGAUGAUCGAACAUGGUUGAGUUGAUUUGGAUCACGUGAUCACUUAGAGGAUUAGAGGGAUGUCUAUCUAAGUGGGAGUUCUUAAGUAAUAUGAUUAAUUGAACUUAAAUUUAUCAUGAAACUUAGUACCUGAUAGUAUCUUGCUUGUUUAUGUUGAUUGUAGAUAGAUGGCUCGUGCUGUUGUUCCGUUGAAUUUUAAUACGUUCCUUGAGAAAGCAAAGUUGAAAGAUGAUGGUAGCAAUUACACGGACUAGGUCUGUAACUUGAGGAUUAUCCUCAUUGCUGCACAGAAGAAUUACAUCCUGGAAGCACCGCUGGGUGCCAGGCCUGCUGCAGGAGCAACACCAGAUGUUAUGAACGUCUGGCAGAGCAAAGCUGAUGACUACUCGAUAGUUCAGUGUGCCAUGCUUUACGGCUUAGAAUCGGGACUUCAACGACGUUUUGAACGUCAUGGAGCAUAUGAGAUGUUCCAGGAGUUGAAGUUAAUAUUUCAAGCAAAUGCCCGGAUUGAGAGAUAUGAAGUCUCCAAUAAGUUCUAUAGCUGCAAGAUGGAGGAGAACAGUUCUGUCAGUGAGCAUAUACUCAAAAUGUCUGGGUAUAAUAAUCACCUGAUUCAAUUGGGAGUUAAUCUUCCAGACGAUUGCGUCAUUGACAGAAUUCUCCAAUCACUGCCACCAAGCUACAAGAGCUUCGUGAUGAACUAUAAUAUGCAAGGGAUGAAUAAGACUAUUCCCGAGCUCUUCGCAAUGCUGAAAGCUGCGGAGGUAGAAAUCAAGAAGGAGCAUCAUGUGUUGAUGGUCAACAAGACCACUAGUUUCAAGAAAAAGGGCAAAGGGAAGAAGAAGGGGAACUUCAACAAGAACGACAAGCAAGUUGCUGCUCAUGAGAAGAAACCCAAGUCUGGACCUAAGCCUGAAACUGAGUGCUUCUACUGCAAGCAGACUGGUCACUGGAAGCGGAACUGCCCAAGUAUUUGGCGGAUAAGAAGGAUGGCAAGGUGAACAAAGGUAUAUGUGAUAUACAUGUUAUUGAUGUGUACCUUACUAAUGCUCGCAGUAGCACCUGGGUAUUUGAUACUGGUUCUGUUGCUAAUAUUUGCAACUCGAAACAGGGACUACGGAUUAAGCGAAGAUUGGCUAAGGACGAGGUGACGAUGCGCGUGGGAAACGGUUCCAAAGUCGAUGUGAUCGCGGUCGGCACGCUACCUCUACAUCUACCUUCGGGAUUAGUAUUAGACCUAAAUAAUUGUUAUUUGGUGCCAGCGUUGAGCAUGAACAUUAUAUCUGGAUCUUGUUUAAUGCGAGACGGUUAUUCAUUUAAAUCAGAGAAUAAUGGUUGUUCUAUUUAUAUGAGUAAUAUCUUUUAUGGUCAUGCACCCUUGAAUAGUGGUCUAUUCUUAUUGAAUCUCGAUAGUAGUGAUACACAUAUUCAUAAUGUUGAAGCCAAAAGAUGCAGAGUUGAUAAUGAUGGUGCAACUUAUUUGUGGCACUGCCGUUUAGGUCAUAUCGGUGUAAAGCGCAUGAAGAAACUCCAUACUGAUGGACUUUUGGAACCACUUGAUUAUGAAUCACUUGGUACUUGCGAACCGUGCCUCAUGGGCAAGAUGACUAAAACACCGUUCUCCGAUAAUAUGGAGAGAGCAACAAAUUUGUUGGAGAUCAUACAUACAGAUGUAUGUGGUCCGAUGAAUAUUGAGGCUCGUGGCGGAUAUCGUUAUUUUCUCACCUUCACAGAUGACUUAGGCAGAUAUGGGUAUAUCUACUUAAUGAAACAUAAGUAUGAAACAUUUGAAAAGUUCAAAGAAUUUCAGAGUGAAGUUGAAAAUCAUCGUAACAAGAAAAUAAAGUUUCUACAAUCUGAUCGUGGAGGAGAAUAUUUGAGUUACAAGUUUGGUGUACAUUUGAAAAAUUGUGGAAUAGUUUCGCAACUCACGCCACCCGGAACACCACAACGUAAUGGUGUGUCCGAACGUCGUAAUCGUACUUUACUAGAUAUGGUGCGAUCUAUGAUGUCUCUUACUGAUUUACCGCUAUCGUUUUGGGGAUACGCUCUAGAGACGGCCGCAUUCACGUUAAAUAGGGCACCAUCAAAAUCCGUUGAGACGACGCCUUAUGAACUGUGGUUUGGCAAGAAACCAAAGUUGUCGUUUCUGAAAGUUUGGGGCUGCGAUGCUUAUGUGAAAAAGCUUCAACCUGAUAAGCUCGAACCCAAAUCGGAGAAAUGUGUCUUCAUAGGAUAUCCAAAGGAAACUAUUGGAUACACCUUCUAUCACAGAUCCGAAGGCAAGACUUUUGUUGCUAAAUUCGGAAACUUUCUGGAGAAGGAGUUUCUCUCGAAAGAAGUGAGUGGGAGGAAAGUAGAACUUGACGAGGUAACUGUACCUGCUCCCUUAUUGGAAAGUAGUACAUCAUAGAAAAUUGUUUCAGUGACACCUACACCAGUUAGUGAGGAAGCUAAUAAUGAUGAUCAUGAAACUUCACAUCAAGAUACUACUGAACCUCGUAGAUCAACCAGAGUAAGAUCCGCGCCAGAGUGGUACGGUAAUCCUGUUCUGGAAGUCAUGCUACUAGAUCAUGAUGAACCUAAGAACUAUGAAGAAGCGAUGGUGAGCCCAGAUUCCGCAAAAUGGCUUGAGGCCAUGAAAUAUGAGAUGGGAUCCAUGUAUGAGAACAAAGUAUGGACUUUGGUUGACUUGCCCGAUGAUCGGCAAGCAAUUGAGAAUAAAUGGAUCUUCAAGAAGAAGACUGACGCUAACGGUAACAUUACUGUCUACAAAGCUCGACUUGUCGCAAAAGGUUUUCGACAAGUUCAAGGGGUUGACUACGAUGAGACCUUCUCACCCGUAGCGAUGCUUAAGUCUGUCCGAAUCAUGUUAGCAAUUGCCGCAUUUUAUGAUUAUGAAAUUUGACAGAUGGACGUCAAAACUGCAUUCCUGAAUGGAUUUCUGGAAGAAGAGUUGUAUAUGAUGCAACCGGAAGGUUUUGUUGAUCCAAAGGGAGCUAACAAAGUGUGCAAGCUCCAGCGAUCCAUUUAUGGACUGGUGCAAGCCUCUCGGAGUUGGAAUAAAUGUUUUGAUAGUGUGAUCAAAGCAUUUGGUUUUAUACAGACUUUCGGAGAAGCCUGUAUUUACAAGAAAGUGAGUGGGAGCUCUGUAGCAUUUCUGAUAUUAUAUGUGGAUGACAUAUUACUGAUUGGAAAUGAUAUAGAAUUUCUGGAUAGCAUAAAGGGAUACUUGAAUAAGAGUUUUUCAAUGAAAGACCUCGAUGAAGCUGCUUACAUAUUAGGCAUAAAGAUCUAUAGAGAUAGAUCAAAAUGCCUAAUCGGACUUUCACAAAGCACAUACCUUGACAAGAUUUUGAAAAAGUUCAAAAAUGGAUCAAGCAAAGAAAGGGUUCUUGCCUGUGUUACAAGGUGUGAAGUUGAGUCAGACUCAAUGCCCGACCACUGCAGAAGAUAGAGAGAAAAUGAAAGAUGUUCCCUAUGCUUCAGCGAUAGGCUCUAUCAUGUAUGCAAUGCUGUGUACCAGACCUGAUGUGUGCCUUGCCAUAAGUUUAGCAGGGAGGUACCAAAGUAAUCCAGGAGUGGAUCACUAGACAGCGGUCAAGCACAUCCUGAAGUACCUAAAAAGGACUAAGGAUAUGUUUCUCGUAUAUGGAGGUGACAAAGAGCUCAUCGUAAACGGUUACGUUGAUGCAAGCUUUGACACUGAUCCGGACGAUUCUAAAUCGCAAACCGGAUACGUGUUUACAUUAAACGGUGGAGCUGUCAGUUGGUGCAGUUCUAAACAAAGCGUCGUAGCGGGAUCUACAUGUGAAGCUGAGUACAUAGCUUCUUCGGAAGCAGCAAACGAAGGAGUCUGGAUGAAGGAGUUCAUAACCGAUCUAGGUGUCAUACCUAAUGCAUCGGGUCCAAUGAAAAUCUUUUGUGACAAUACUGGUGCAAUUGCCUUGGCAAAGGAAUCCAGAUUUCACAAGAGAACCAAGCACAUCAAGAGACGCUUCAAUUCCAUCCGGGAUCUAGUCCAGGUGGGAGACAUAGAGAUUUGCAAGAUACAUACGGAUCUGAAUGUUGCAGACCCGUUGACUAAGCCUCUUCCACGAGCAAAACAUGAUCAACACCAAGGCUCCAUGGGUGUUAGAAUCAUUACUGUGUAAUCUAGAUUAUUGACUCUAGUGCAAGUGGGAGACUGAAGGAAAUAUGCCCUAGAGGCAAUAAUAAAGUUAUUAUUUAUUUCCUUAUAUCAUGAUAAAUGUUUAUUAUUCAUGCUAGAAUUGUAUUAACCGGAAACAUAAUACAUGUGUGAAUACAUAGGCAAAUAGAGUGUCACUAGUAUGCCUCUACUUGACUAGCUCGUAAAUCAAAGAUGGUUAUGUUUCCUAACCAUGAACAAAGAGUUGUUAUUUGAUUAACAAGGUCACAUCAUUAGUUGAAUGAUCUGAUUGACAUGACCCAUUCCAUUAGCUUAGCACCCGAUCGUUUAGUAUGUUGCUAUUGCUUUCUUCAUGACUUAUACAUGUUCCUAUGACUAUGAGAUUAUGCAACUCCCGUUUGCCGGAGGAACACUUUGUGUGCUACCAAACGUCACAAUGUAAAUGGGUGAUUAUAAAGGAGCUCUACAGGUGUCUCCAAAGGUAGAUGUUGGGUUGGCGUAUUUCGAGAUUAGGAUUUGUCACUCCGAUUGUCGGAGAGGUAUCUCUGGGCCCUCUCGGUAAUGCACAUCACAUAAGCCUUGCAAGCAUUGCAACUAAUAAGUUAGUUGCGAGAUGAUGUAUUACGGAACGAGUAAAGAGACUUGCCGGUAACGAGAUUGAACUAGGUAUUGGAUACCGAAGAUCGAAUCUGGGGCAAGUAACAUACCGAUGACAAAGGGAACAACGUAUGUUGGUACGCGGUCUGACCGAUAAAGAUCUUCGUAGAAUAUGUAGGAGCCAAUAUGGGCAUCCAGGUCCCGCUAUUGGUUAUUGACCGGAGAUUUGUCUUAGUCAUGUCUACAUUGUUCUCGAACCGUAGGGUCCGCACGUUUAACGUUACGAUGACAGUUAUUAUGAGUUUAUGCAUUUUUUGAUGUACCAAAGUUAGUUUGGAGUCCCGGAUGUGAUCACGGACAUGACGAGGAGUCUCGAAAUGGUCGAGACAUAAAGAUUGAUAUAUUGGACGGCUAUAUUCGGACACCGGAAGUGUUCCGGGNNNNNNNNNNNNNNNNNNNNNNNNNNNNNNNNNNNNNNNNNNNNNNNNNNNNNNNNNNNNNNNNNNNNNNNNNNNNNNNNNNNNNNNNNNNNNNNNNNNNNNNNNNNNNNNNNNNNNNNNNNNNNNNNNNNNNNNNNNNNNNNNNNNNNNNNNNNNNNNNNNNNNNNNNNNNNNNNNNNNNNNNNNNNNNNNNNNNNNNNNNNNNNNNNNNNNNNNNNNNNNNNNNNNNNNNNNNNNNNGGGCCAUAUGGGCCUUAGUGGAGAAAGAGAGGGGCUGCUAGAGGUGGGCCGCGCGCCUCCUCCCCCCUAGUCCGAAUUGGACUAGGAGAAGGGGGCGGCGCCCCCCCUUUCCCUCUCCCUCUCCACCUCUUUCCCCCUCCUAGUAGGAGUCCUACUCCUACUAGGAGGAGGACUCCUCCUGGCGCACCUAUAGGGGCCGGCCGGCCUCCUCCCCUUGCUCCUUUAUAUACGGGGGCAGGGGGGCACCCCAGACACACAAUUGAUCCUCGUGAUCGUUCCUUAGCUGUGUGCGGUGCCCCCCUCCACCAUAUUCCACCUCGGUCAUAUCGUUGUAGUGCUUAGGCGAAUCCCUGCGUCGGUAGAACAUCAUCAUCGUCACCACGCCGUUGUGCUGAUGGAACUCAUCCCCGAAGCUUUGCUAGAUCGGAGCCCGGGGAGCGUCAUCGAGCUGUACGUGUGCUAAGAACUCGGAGGUGCCGGAGUAACGGUGCUUGGAUCGGUCGGAUCGGGAAGACGUACGACUACUUCCUCUACAUUGCGUCAACGCUUCCGUUGCGGUCUACAAGGGUACGUAGACAACACUCUCCCCUCUCGUUGCUAUGCAUCACCAUGAUCUUGCGUGUGCAUAGGAAAUUUUUUGAAAUUACUGCAUUCCCCAACACUCCAGAGGAGCGGUACUACCGUGGGCUCCCGUGGUACUACCGCGCCUUAGGCACGGUACUACCACAGGUGCCUGCGGUACUACCGCUCCAAGGAGCAGUACUACCGCAAGCAUAGCAACAGCAGUCCAGACAAUCGCAAAGAGGAUAAACGGGGGAUGCUCCAAAGUGCAAGGGAAAGGUGGAGACAAGGAAGGGAAUGUGUACGUGAUGAUUCCACCCAAACCUUUCCGACGCGGACCCCCUCUUAAUAGUACGGCUUUCCUACGACUCAAAUCCACCAAAAAGAACAUAGAGAAACGCCAUCUUCAAUGGUCUUCGAGGGGCACCACACCGUCUUGUGCCUAGUGAAGAAAUGUCUGAGAAACUCAAGCACACGAUUAGUCUGCAAAAGCAUUGUCAUCAAUCACCAAAACACCUUAGGGGUAAAUAUGCCCUUACAAUCUCCCCCCUUUUGGUGGAUUGAUGACAAUACGGGAUUUGUGCAAAAGGGUAAUAAACUAGAGCAUAGGCAAACCCCUCCUCUCUAAAAUAUAGAAGGGCUCCCCCUAGAUGUGUGCAAUCUAGAUGGAUGCUUUGGACUGCACAGCACACAACUAGGAUCAACACUCCCCCUAUGUUUUAGAGACAAGGCAUAUCUAGCAAUGAUAAGGCUAAUCAACUAAUCAAGAGCACAAAACAUGGGUAGCACAAUAUACAUAAGCUCGCUAAAAUAUGAUAAAGUGCAUAUGUCUUACACCAUAUAAAGGAUAAGUCUCAAACCAAACCAAAGCAAACGAAACGAGGUUCAAACGAGAUAGCAAACACACCAAACACAAUGAAACACGAGCCAAAUCCCUACACUCUCUCCCCCUUUGGCAUCGAGACGCCAAAAAGGCAGAGAGGACACCUACACACUCGGGGUGGCUCAAGCGGAGAAAUCAUCCCAGUGCUCCUCAUCAGACUCGGCGGCAGGGAUGUCCUCCUUGAUGUCCUCGUCAGAAUCAGUCCACUUGAAGCCCUGCUUCGACAUCCACUCGGCCUCUGGAGUGAUGUUCCUCUCUGACCCGCUGGAUUGUGCCUCACCAAAGACCCUCAGGAUGUGCAAGUCAUGGCGGCGAGCCUCCUUGGAGGCAACAUGAGUCCUGUACUGCCCCUUAGCUUGCAUGCAGAAGAGAGACUUCAUCUUGUCCUUCAGCUUCUUGGCCCACGAGGGCUCAGAGGAACUCUGGGAAGACCUAGCAGCACGGUCCUCAGCAACAUUCUCUGCUGCAGUCUCCUCCUCACCAACAGCCCUCCUAGCAGCAGACGCCUCAGCACGAGUAAUAGUGUUGGCCCAGUUGGGCUUGACACGGAGACUGUUGGGAUCAUGCCUAAUCCAGUCUGGUGCAAGGAACUCAUCCCCAGGGAACAACUUCUCCCAAGUCUUGGAGAUCAGCAGAAACAUGUAUGGCCCAUAGAUAGGCACCUUGCGAUUGAACACCGCAAACCAAAGCUCAUGGUGUGAGACAUCAAGAGGCUGAGUCUGAGACACCCGGGCCUCCUCGCACAUGAGCAUCAUAUCCAUCAUAUAUGCAUGAACCUUAUCCUUGUCGCCAAUGCACGGGAAUAGAGAGUUGCGGAAGAUGCGAUACAUGAUAUCCAGAAAGGAGUUCAGCACCCAAGCUAACUUGCCAUUGGUGAGCACCUUCUCAACAUAGUACUGCUGGAGCCUGUUCUUGUUAGCAGACUCAAGAUUGGCAUGGGGAUGAACACCAACAGGAGUGUUGAGUCUGUCAUCUUGAACAUGCAACAGAUCCAUGAACUCCUUCCAGGUAGCGGUCAACUGACGGCUGUUGGUCAUCCACGUCAUCCGCCGCUCCUCCCCAGGGUGAAAGUACAUAGAGGCAAAGAACUGACAAACAAGCUCAGGGUCAAAGUCCAGAUGGAAGGAGAUCACAUGCUCAAUACCAUACUGCUCCACCAAGUCCAGAGCCUCUCCAAAGUACUCACGAAACUUUUCCUUCCUCAUGUGAUGCAUGUCAAUCCACUUGACCUCCACGUAGGUAUUCUUCUUGUUCUUGAUGACAUCCAGAUACGUGAGAGUCUGCUCCUUGGUCCAGAACAACUCACAGCCUCUGAUGGUAGCAUGAGGAUUCACAUAUGGGUUCAUCUGCCUGAGACAGACGUACUCAGAAAGGGGUACCUCAUCCAUGCUCUUAGCGGGUUCCUUGUUCUUGCUAGCGGUGGUCUUGACAUGACGCUUGGGGGCAUUGGAUCCCUCUGGUGCUUCACCUUGAUUGCGCGAACACUUGGAUCCAGUGUCGCGACUGGGAUUGGAACGGCGAGAGCCACCACUUGAGACACAAAGCGCAAAACACACACGACAAGCAAGAAGGAUCAAUGCGAAGACCUCAGCAAAGCAAAAGAAACACUUAGGAAGCAUACAUGCUAAAUGCCAUGAGAAAGAUUUGAUCCCACGGUAGUACUGCCAGGUGCUGCGGUACUAAAAAUCUAGUACCGCUCCAAGUCGCGGUAGUACCGUGCGAAGUCACGGUAGUACCGGGUCUGGGAGCGGUAGUAGGGUCUUAGUGCCGCAGCUAGCGCGGUAGUACCGCACCUAACGGGCGGUAGUACCGCAAGAGCGGUAGUUCCGCGCGCGAGGCGCGGUAGUACCGUACCGCGUCAGAUCCGAACCUAGUUCAAAUCUGAGAAAAACCGCGAAACCUCGGCGGUACUACGGUUGAUCAAAUCUAUCACAGGACAACAUAUCAAGUAUAAUUCCUACGCAACCCGACUCUCCUACAUCCUACUCUUGCACAGAUUUGGCCUAAAAUCUCAAGAACAACAUGCAUCUCCCCAAAAACCUAGAAGCGAAAGAACAACCAAGAAGAGAGGGAUUUGGGGAACACCUUGUUCCAUGGCAAGAGUAAGUGGUGGGGAACGAUCCCACCGAUCGGAAUCCGAGGAGAGUGGCCGGAGAUGGAGAUCCGGUGAGGACCUCCGGCGCUGUUCGUGAGCGAGAGAGAGAGACGUGGGGAGAGAGAUAAGUGAAUGGGUAUGGGGAGUUGGAACUCCCCUGCCCGAGAGAUAACCCCCACACUCACUCGCGGCGCGAUAGUACCAUGUAUCAUCGCGGUAGUACCGCUCGGCGGAAGUACCGCACAUGAGCGGUAGUACCGCUCUCCUGGGCGGCAGUAAAAAAUUACUGCGGCGCAGGCGCAGUAGUACCGUGCCCUCUCAACGCGGUAGUACCGUGGCUAGCCGCGGUAGUACCAUGAACUCAGGAAGUUGCACGUUUCAAGCACACGAAAACGAGGUCUUUGCAUGAAAACUUUGAGGCAACACGACAUCACAAGAACACGCGACACACGAAGACAGAAAGGCAAACGAUAACACGAAAACAACCACGAGACACCACCUCUCCAAAGAGAGGGCGGUGGCCGGAGCCACCUAUGUUUGAGUUAAUUGGUAUGGCACCGCGAAGAAUUAUCCUUGGGCCCAUGACCAAAACUCGUCUUUGAAGCACAAGUACCAUAAAAAAUGGCUAAUGUGAAAGAGAUGAUCGAUUUAUGCAUAAUGGGGGGAGGGAGAGUUCAUUGAGAGAACAACACUCCCCCUAUGUCCAUGCCUACACCUAAACAAGAUAGCAAGUUGAGUAUGGUGGGGUGUGCAAGGGUUCAAGCAACAUUGCUCGAAUCAAUGAUAUUUAGCUCAUGCCUUAACUCGCGAAAUUUUGCUUCAUCCAAAGGCUUCGUGAAGAUAUCUGCAAGGUUAUCAUGAGUGUUGACGUAGUUGAGCUCGAUCUCCCCUCGCCUAAUGUGAUCCCGGAUGAAAUGAUACCUAAUCUCAAUAUGCUUCGUCUUGAAGUGUUGCACCGGGUUGAGAGAAAUCUUGAUGGCACUUUCAUUGUCACACCAAAGAGGCACUUUGUCCCAAAUGACACCAUAAUCCUUUAAAGUUUGCCUCAUCCAUAAGAGUUGUGCACAACAACUACCGGCCACUACAUACUCCGCUUCGGUGGACGAGAGAGACACACAACUUUGCUUUUUGGAAGACCAACUUACCAAAGAGCAACCAAGGAAUUGGCACCCUCCGGAAGUGGACUUCCUAUCCACUUUGUCUCCCGCCCAAUCGGAACCCGAAUAACCUACAAGCUUGAAGUUUGCUCCUCUUGGGUACCAUAAGCCAAAGUUUGGGGUAUGAGCCAAAUAUCAAAAGAUUUGCUUGACCGCCACAAAGUGGCUUUCCUUAGGUGCGGCUUGAAACCGUGCACAAAUUCCCACACUCAACAUGAUAUCCGGUCUAGAUGCACAAAGGUAAAGCAAGGAUCCAAUCAUGGAGCGAUAUACCUUUUGAUCCACCGCUUUACCAUUGGGAUCAAUGUCAAGUUGGCACUUGGUAGGCAUUGGAGUGGAAGCCGGCUUGACAUCGCUUAGCUUGAAUCUCUUGAGCAUGUCUUGAGUGUAUUUGGCUUGGUUGAUGAAGGUACCUUCUCUUCUUUGCUUCACUUCGAAACCUAGAAAGAACUUCAACUCUCCCAUGGAAGACAUCUUGAACUUUGAGGUCAUUAGUGCGGCAAAUUCAUCAUUGAAAGCUUUGUUAGGGGAACUAAAGAUAUGUUGGAAAUAUGCCCUAGAGGCAAUAAUAAAUUGGUUAUUAUUAUAUUUCCUUGUUCAUGAUAAUCGUUUAUUAUCCAUGCUAGAAUUGUAUUGAUAGGAAACUCAGAUACAUGUGUGGAUACAUAGACAACACCAUGUCUCUAGUAAGCCUCUAGUUAACUAGCUCGUUGAUCAAUAGAUGGUUACGGUUUCCUGACCAUGGACAUUGGAUGUCGUUGAUAACGGGAUCACAUCAUUAGGAGAAUGAUGUGAUGGACAAGACCCAAUCCUAAGCCUAGCACAAAGAUCGUGUAGUUCGUAUGCUAAAGAUUUUCUAAAUGUCAAGUAUCAUUUCCUUAGACCAUGAGAUUGUGCAACUCCCGGAUACCGUAGGAAUGCUUUGGGUGUGUCAAAUGUCACAACGUAACUGGGUGGCUAUAAAGGUGGACUACGGGUAUCUCCGAAAGUGUCUAUUGGGUUGGCACGAAUCGAGACUGGGAUUUGUCACUCUGUGUGACGGAGAGGUAUCUCUGGGCCCACUCGGUAGGACAUCAUCAUAAUGUGCACAAUGUGACCAAGGAGUUGAUCACAGGAUGAUGUGUUACGGAACGAGUAAAGAGACUUGCCGGUAACGAGAUUGAACAAGGUAUCGGAUACCGACGAUCGAAUCUCGGGCAAGUACAAUACCGCUGGACAAAGGGAAUUGAAUACAGGAUUGAUUGAAUCCUCGACAUCGUGGUUCAUCCGAUGAGAUCAUCAUGUAACAUGUGGGAGCCAACAUGGGUAUCCAGAUCCCGCUGUUGGUUAUUGACCGGAGAGUCGUCUCGGUCAUGUCUGCAUGUCUCCCGAACCCGUAGGGUCUACACACUUAAGGUUCGGUGACGCUAGGGUUGUAGAGAUAUUAGUAUGCGGUAACCCGAAAGUUGUUCGGAGUCCCGGAUGAGAUCCCGGACAUCACGAGGAGUUCCAGAAUGGUCCGGAGGUAAAGAUUUAUAUAUGGGAAGUCCUAUUUUGGCCACCGGAAAAUGUUCGGGAUUUUUCGGUAUUGUACCGGGAAGGUUCUAGAAGGUUCCGGAGUGGGGCCCACCUGCAUGGGGGGCCCACAUGAACGUGGGUAGUGGGGGCAAGGCCCCACACCCCUGGUCAAGGCGCACCAAGAUCCCCCCUUAGAAGGAAUAAGAUCAUAUCCCGAAGGGAUAAGAUCAAGAUCCCUAAAAAGGGGGGAUAACAAUCGGUGGGGAAGGGAAAUGAUGGGAUUUCAUUCUCCCACCUUUGCCAACGCCCCAAUGGACUUGGAGGGCAAGAAACCAGCCCCUCCAAUCCUAUAUAUAGUGGGGAGACACAUGGGAGCCGCACCCUAGCCCCUGGCACCUCCCUCUCCCCUCGUAACACCUCUCCCUCUCGCUGAGCUUGGCGAAGCCCUGCCGAGAUCCCCGCUGCUUCCACCAGCACGCCGUCGUGCUGCUAGAUCUCCAUCAACCUCUCCUCCCCCUUGCUGGAUCAAGAAGGAGGAGACGUCUCUCUCAACCGUACGUGUGUUGAACGCGGAGGUGCCGUCCGUUCGGCGCUAGGAUCAUCAGUGAUUUGGAUCACGACGAGUACGACUCCAUCAACCCCGUUCACUUGAACGCUUCCGCUCGCAAUCUACAAGGGUAUGUAGAUGCACUCCUCUAUCUCGUUGCUAGAUGACUCCAUAGAUUGAUCUUGGUGAUGUGUAGAAAAUUUUAAAAUUCUGCUACGUUCCCCAACAGUGGUAUCAGAGCCAGGUCUAUGUGUAGUUUCUAUGCACGAGUAGAACACAAAGUAGUUGUGGGCCUCGAUUUUGUCAAUUUACUUGCCAUUACUAGUCUUAUCUUGAUUCAGCGGCAUCUUGGGAAGAAGCGGCCCGGACUGACCUUACACGUGCACUUACGUGAGACAGGUUCCACCGACUGACAUGCACUAGUUGCAUAAGGUGGCUAGCGGGUGUCUGUCUCUCCCACUUUAGUCGGAUCGGAUUCGAUGAAAAGGGUCCUUAUGAAGGGUAAAUAGAAAUUGGCAUAUCACGUUGUGGUUUUGGCGUAGGUAAGAAACCUUCUUGCUAAGAAACCUAUAACAGCCACGUAAAAAUUUGCAACAACAAUUAGAGGACAUCUAACUUGUUUUUGCAGCAUAUGUCGUGUGAUGUAAUAUGGCCAAAAGGAUGUGAUGAAUGAUAUAUGUGAUGUAUGAGAUUGAUCAUGUUCUUGUAAUAGGAAUCACGACUUGCAUGUCGAUGAGUAUGACAACCGGCAGGAGCCAUAGGAGUUGUCUUAAUUUAUUUGUGACCUGCGUGUCAACUUAAACGUCAUGUAAUUACUUUACUUUAUUGCUAAACCGUUAGCCAUAGUAGUAGAAGUAAUAGAUGACGAGACAACUUCAUGAAGACACGAUGAUGGAGAUCAUGAUGAUGGAGAUCAUGGUGUUAUGCCGGUGACGAUGAUGAUCAUGGCGCCCCGAAGAUGGAGAUCAAGAGGAGCAAAAUGAUAUUGGCCAUAUCAUGUCACUAUUUGAUUGCAUGUGAUGUUUAUCAUGUUUUACAUCUUAUUUGCUUAGAACGACGGUAGCUAAAAUAAGAUGAUCCCUCGCAAUAAUUUCAAGAAAAGUGUUCCCCCUAACUGUGCACCGUUGCGAAGGUUCGUUGUUUCGAAGCACCACGUGAUGAUCGGGUGUGAUAGAUUCUAACGUUCGAAUACAACGGGUGUAAGCCAGAUUUACACACGCAAUACACUUAGGUUGACUUGACGAGCCUAGCAUGUACAGACAUGGCCUCGGAACGCGGAAGACCGAAAGGUCGAACAUGAGUCGUAUAGAAGAUACGAUCAACAUGAAGAUGUUCACCGAUGAUGACUAGUCCGUCUCACGUGAUGAUCGGACACGGCCUAGUUGACUCGGAUCAUGUAUCACUUAGAUGACACUAGUAGAAAAAGGGUCAAACGUGAAGCACACUAGUGCCGGUUUGUAUUUGAGCCGGCACUAAUGUAUACAUUAGUGCCGGUUCCAACGGCUAGCCGGGCCGCUUUCAUUAGUACCGGUUCGUGGUGAACCUUUAGCACCGGUUCGUUCCACGAACCGGUACUAAUGAGAGUGGUGGCAGGAUGUUGUCAGACUGGGGCCCCUCCAGCCCCUUUAGUACCAGUUCUUGGCACGAACCGGUACUAAAGGUCGUCCUACAUAAACCCUUCGUCCACCCGAGCUCGCUCUGUUCUUCCCCUUUCCCCUCUCCUCUCUGUUCUUCCCCUCUUCCUCUCGAGCUCAUCACACAUUUUGCCCAAAAUUUAUCAAGAUUUGAAGGCCCCCAUCCAUUCAAAUGAUCACAAAGGUUAGCAACUUUGUCCUUUCAUCUCUCAUUGCUAGAUUAGCUCUUGCAAUGCUUUAUAUAGUGAUUAAUUUGUGAGUUUAGUAAUUUGGGAGGAUAUAUAUAUAUAUAUAUAUAUAUAUAUAUAUAUAUAUAUAUAUAUAUAUGUAUGUGCUAGUAUUUGAUUUAUAUGCAAUUUGAGGUAAAAAAUAACACUUAGUUUGCAUAUGUAGGUGUGGUUUACUUAGUGCCUUCUAAAUCUCCAUCGUAGCCACCGUCGAUCGCCCGCACCGUCCCGUCGCCGGCACCACCUUGUGGUGAGCCUCUUGUUCAUGAAAUUUUAUAUAAAAAUUGAUGUUUGUUUGAUUUGGAUAUAUAGUUACUCAUAUAAUUAUCUUACCCGUACGUUGUUUGUUAUACAUAUAGUGCCAUGGUUUUGAUAUUCGUCCCCGUCGGCCCUCAUCCUUGUUAUGAUUCGGAUGUGGUAUGUAUAUUCUCUUUUAAAACUAGUUGCAUUUCGUGUUUAUGACAAAUUAUGCCCAUCAAGUUGACAUAGAAAUUUUUUCUAGGAGGCAUGUGAAUCGGAAAUUCCAACUGACCCUAUUGCCGAGAGGUUAAAUUUAGUUGAAAGAGAAAAUGAGUACUUGAAAGAAAAAUUGAAAAGAAUUGAGGGGGAGAAGAUGGAAUUGGAGUUGCAUGUUGCCGAUGUCGUUGAUGAUCACAAGAUCAAGAUGGAGAAAAUGCGCUUGAAGAUUAGAAAGAUUAGAAAAUAUGCCAUCGAUAGUGAGGCUUGGUAUCAUUAUGUUGUUGGAUCCAUUGUUACCUUAGUUGCAAUCUUAAUCGUAUUUGUUGUUGCAUUUAAAUGCUUUAGCUAGAGAGUUAUUUGUUUGUUGCACUUAAGUUUUGUAUGAACUUUAUGUAUGAACUUGUAUUAAUUUGGUCUAUUCGGUGUUGUGUAAUGAAGAUGAGCCGGCAAUGGAUGUACGAUGAUCGAUGCUCUCCCCAGUUCGUUGAGGGCGUGCAUACUUUUCUGCUUGCGGCUGAGGCAAACAAGCGGGCGGAUGGUUUUAUGCCUUGUCCAUGUGCUCGUUGUAAGAAUGGUCACAAUUACUCUACGUCAAGAACCAUUCACGUCCACCUGUUUAAGUCUGGUUUCAUGCCCCAUUAUAAUGUUUGGACCAAGCACGGAGAAAGAGGGGUUAUGAUGGAAUACAAUGAAGAAGAAGAGGAUGACGACAGCUAUCCUGGCCAUGGGUUCCCUGAAUACGAUGAUACAACAAUGGGGGAAGAAGCUGAGCCGGUAAUGCGGGAAGAAGCUGAGCCGGCAAUGCGGGAAGAAGCUGAAGAAGAGGCAUCAGAUGAGCCCGUUGAUGAUCUAGGCCAGGCCAUUGCCGAUGCAAAGAGAAACUGCGCAAGUGAUUUGGAGAAGAAGAAGUUGCAGCGCAUGUUAGAGGAUCACAAAAAAUUGUUGUACCCGAAUUGCGUAGGUGACAAGAAAAAGCUGGGCACCACACUGGAAUUGCUGCAAUGGAAGGCAGAGAAUGGUGUAUCUGACAAGGGAUUUGGAAAGUUGCUGGUAAUGAUAAAGGAUAUCCUUCCAAAGGACAACGAAUUGCCCGAGAGUACGUACGAAGCAAAGAAGGCUGUCUGCCCUCUAGGGUCAGAGGUGCAGAAGAUACAUGCAUGCCCUAAUGAUUGCAUCCUCUACCGUGGUGAGUACGAGGAUUUGAAUGCUUGCCCGGUAUGUGGUGCAUUGCGCUAUAAGAUCAGCCGCGAUGACCCUGGUGAUGUCGAGGGCCGGCGCCCCAGGAAGAAGAUUCCUGCCAAGGUGAUGUGGUAUGCUCCUAUAAUACCACGGUUGAAACGUUUGUUCCAAAACAAAGAGCAUGCCAAGGCGAUGCGAUGGCAUAGAGAAGACCAUAAGAAAGACGGAAAGUUGAGAGUACCCGCUGACGGGUCGCAGUGGAGAAAAUCGAAAGAAAGUAUGGGAAGGAGUUUGCAGAUGACGCAAGGAGCGUAUGGUUUGGUCUAAGCGCAGAUGGCAUUAAUCCUUUUGGGGAGCAGAGCAGCAACCAUAGCACCUGGCCUGUGACUCUAUGUUUGUAUAACCUUCCUCCUUGGUUGUGCAUGAAGCGGAAGUUCAUUAUGAUGCCAGUGCUCAUCCAAGGCCCUAAGCAACCCGGCAACGAUAUUGAUGUGUACCUAAGGCCAUUAGUUGAAGAACUCUUACAACUGUGGAAUGGAACAGGUGUACGUGCGUGGGAUGAGCACAUGGGGGAAGAAUUUGACCUGAAGGCUUUGCUGUUCGUGACCAUCAAUGAUUGGCCUGCUCUCAGUAACCUUUCAGGACAGACAAACAAGGGAUACCGCGCAUGCACGCACUGUUUGGACGAUACCGACAAUAUAUAUUUGGCUAAUAAGAAUGUGUACCUGGGACAUCGUCGAUUUCUUCCGAGCAGGCAUCCCGUAAGAAAGAAAGGCAAGCAUUUCAAAGGUGAGGCGGAUCACCGGACGAAGCCUCGCCACCGUACUGGUGCUGAUGUACAUGAUAUGGUCAAGGAUUUGAAGGUGGUUUUUGGAAAGGGUCCUGGUGGACAACCUGUUCCGAAUGACGCUGACGGACGCGCACCCAUGUGGAAGAAGAAAUCUAUAUUUUGGGACCUGCCCUAUUGGAAAGACCUCGAGGUCCGCUCCACAAUCAACGUGAUGCACGUGACGAAGAAUCUUUGUGUGACCCUGCUUGGCUUCUUGGGCGUGUAUGGGAAGACAAAAUAUACACCUGAGGCACGGGAGGACCAGCAACGUAUGCACGGAAAAGACGACAUACAUCAGGGUCAUGCAAGCUACGCUCUUACCAAAGAAGAGAAGGAAAUCUUCUUUGAAUGCCUGCUCAGUAUUAAGGUACCGUCUGGCUUCUCGUCGAAUAUAAAGGGAAUAAUAAACAUGGAAGAGAGAAAGUUCCAGAACCUAAAGUCUCAUGACUGCCAUGUGAUUAUGACGCAACUGCUUCUGGUUGCAUUGAGGGGGCUUCUAUCGGAAAACGUUCGAUUAGCCAUUGUGAAGCUAUGUGCAUUUCUCAAUGCAAUCUCUCAGAAGGCAAUCGAUCCAGAAAUCAUACCAAGGUUACAGAAUGAUUUGGUGCAAUGUCUUGUCAGUUUCGAGUUGGUGUUCCCACCAUCCUUCUUCAACAUCAUGACGCACGUCCUAGUUCACCUAUGCGAAGAGAUUAACGUUUUGGGUCCUGUAUUUCUACACAAUAUGUUCCCCUUUGAGAGGUUCAUGGGAGUCUUAAAGAAAUAUGUUCAUAACCGUGCUAGGCCAGAAGGAAGCAUCUCCAAGGGCCGUCAAAAUGAGGAGGUCAUUGAGUUUUGUAUUGACUUUAUUCCUGACCUUAAGCCGAUUGGUGCUCCUGAAUCGCAGCAUAAGGGCAGACUGGAUGGAAAAGGCAUGCUAGGAGGGGAACACAUAAUAUGUAUGGACAGACAUUCUCUCACUGAAGCACACUACACAGUUCUACAGAAUUCUGCCUUGGUGGCUCCGUAUAUGGAUGAACACAAGAAUUUGCUACGCUCCAAACACCCAGAGCGGUCUGAUGACUGGAUUACACGUGAACAAACCAGGAGUUUCGCCAGCUGGUUGCAAGCACGUACCAUGCAUGACACCUCUAUUGAAGAUGACCUGUACUUGCUGUCCCAGUUACCAUCUUCGAAUAUAAUGACUUUCAAAGGGUAUGAGAUAAAUGGUAAUACAUUUUACACGAUCGCCAAGAUAAGAAGAGCACCAACCAAAACAAUGGUGUCCGCUUUGAUGCAGAAACCAAGACGGGAAAGGAAACAUAUUAUGGUUAUAUACAGGACAUAUGGGAACUUGACUAUCGACGUGGUUUGAAGGUCCCUUUGUUUCGGUGCAAAUGGGUCAAUAUGACACGAGGCGGGGUAACGGAAGACCCGCAGUACGGAAUGACAACAGUGGAUCUCAACAAUCUUGCGUAUGCAGACGAACCAUUCGUCCUAGCCAAUGAUGUGGCAAAGGUUUUCUAUGUGAAGGACAUGUCUACCAAGCCAAGAAAAAGAAAAGAUAAGGAAGCGAAUGCAUCGUACGAUGAGCCAAAGCAGCACAUAGUUCUUUCUGGGAAGAGAAACAUCGUGGGAGUGGAUGACAAGACAGACAAGUCAGAAGAUUAUGAAAAGUUUGAUGAAAUUUCUCCAUUCACAGUGAAUAUUGACCCGGGCAUCCCGUUAAAUGAUGAAGAUUUUCCAUGGUUACAGUGCAAAGGGACACACGCGAAGAAAAAAUUUCACACCCAAAGAUCUGGGAUGUGAUCGGCUUCACUAGCUAUCAUCACUUUCUUUUGUGUUUCACACCCAGAAGGGAAUCUCUGUAAUAGUUAGGGUAGUUAAUUAUGUGUUUUGGCAUUUGAAACGUGAAGAAAUUUUAUGUGCAAACAAAUUCUUUCAUGCCUUUACUGAUUUUUGAAGUUAAGUUAUUCACAAACUAGUGAUUCACACUAAUUUCAAAUAAUUCAAAAUUUAAACUAUUCAAAUUUGAAAACUACGGGCACUAACAGAAAGUUUGUAAUUUUUUGUACCUAAAGCAAAAAUAUUCACAAAGAAACUCUAAAUACAAAAAAAAAACAACUCAAAAAUAAAUAAA
rnacentral:lncRNA from 1 species